GAAAGGACAGGUUCAUAUUUCAUGAGGAACCCAUGCAGAUGAUUGCAGAUAGUUCUAAACAUGGUAGCUUGCAUUAGAUCGACAUGAGAACCAACGCAACUCAUUUCUCCAUUUCUCCUCUUUGAUUGUGUUUCAAGUGCACCAGCAUUAUAUAUUAAGCAAAAGCUUCAACACGAUCAGAGACAUGAAAUGACCAACGAUCAUAUCAGGAGAAAUGAGAAAGUCAGAUUUUAUCACGUCCAAAAAUCCAAAAAAGGUGUUGACGAAAGAGGCUUGAAUCUGUGGGGGCUGAUUUAAAAUCGAAAAUAGAUAGGAUUAGGCUAACAACAAAUCCAGCCAGAAGGCCAGGUGAGCGGACACGGAAAACUAGGACGAAAAGGAGUGUCAUGUGAGUCAAAAGGAAAUGAGCAACACAGCACUAUUUUAUUCAAUGGGCUCCAUGAAGCUUUGAUUCAUGUUCAUAACUUUACUCUCAACAAGCUUCACUAUAAAAAGUUGGUAUCGAUCAAAAUGAAAUUUGGGGUUGUCACCUAGUUGUCACUGCAAAUUUUGCGGAAAAAACUCAACACCUGAGUUUGAAAACGCCUGGAAAUUUGACUACAAUGGAACUCAUUAACUUUACACCAGUCCUCUAUCCAACACGAAACUCGUGUUUCUGAUAAAUUAUUACUGAGGAAAACAGUAUGGCAUUCUUCUUCAGUUGGCAGGAGCUUUCUUGCAGUGAUUCUCAAGCAAUUCCAUUGUAACACUCUUUGGCCUCUCCAGCGGCAAUCCAAGAGCUCGAUCCCAUAUCAGCUGAAUGAACAAAAGUGUAUCAGUAAAAUCUAAGGCAUCAAACAGGAUCACAGAAAAUGAUAAUGACUGUAGAACAAACCUGAGAGCAAAUGCCAAUACUCCUUGAUACACCGAAAAGUACAGUAUAGUACCUAUCAAAAAGCAAUUUAAAGGAGUGUUAUCAUCUUUCCUCAUAAGUUAUGUAGUUGCUAUUGAAAAGUCAAUGUGGUAAUAUAUUAUUCAAAGAAACAUAAAUGGAAUACCUAGCUUCAGUUAAACCGUAGUAGUUCAGCAACACCCCACUGUGAGCAUCAACAUUAGGCCAUGGGUUUUUAACCUAAAAGCAGAAAUAAAAUCCAUAUUAGAAUAAGAAGCCACUCCCAGAUAGGAUUGCAGGACCAUCAGAAUUUGCAAGCAAUUGGAUCCAUGGACAAAAAUACAGACGAUAUUUUUACUACCUAAAAGACGAGCAUUAUUCUAUGUUAUUUAUGUUUUCAGCCUAGAGCAAAAGGAUAAACAACUUGCCUUGCCCAGCUGGGUAAGAACUGGAGGUACAACUUCAUAUAGCUUAGAGACCUGUAAGGUCAAAACUAGGUUAGCUAGUGAAAGAAUUGUCCACGGGAUUAAAAAAAACCAUGUGUAUUAAAAAGGCAUGGCCUUGUUAAUGUAACAUGAUCAGGAUAAAGUGACAACCAGCUGGAACAAUGGAUCAUCAGGUAAAUGCUUCAAUGCAAACUCCCUUUGACAUGUAUAUCUUGGAUCAGUUUUGCGUAGAACUCCAUGACCAAAUCCAGGAACAACCUGCAAAAUAAGGGAGUGGUGAAUGAAGAGAAAUGUGUGAAUUAAACACAACAAAAGCAGAAGCAGGACUAUUGUGAAGUAACAAUGUGAGAGGAACUAAGAUAUUUAUAGAUUUUGAAAAGCAUCAGCCAACUGUUCUUAUUUCAAAAUGACAUAAAGUCAUAAACUACCUUUCCGCUAUUUAAUGUUUUCCAAACAUAGUCUUUAAGUUGUUCUGUGGUUAUAUUCUCUCCACACUCUUCUACCACGGAUUUGAUCCAAAGGAGAACUUCCUGCAACCACAAAAUUCUGAUGAGCAAGAAGAGAAGCAAUAACAAUCAUCUACGGCAGAAAGAAAGUGAUGCCAGCAUUCAAAGGAACUUGUUUUUUGUAAUAGAUUACACAGUUGGUGAUCUUGAUGUUAGAAAUAAAUGUGAAAAACCCUACACAGAUAGCAAGAGAAACAUUUUGGUUUAUAAAUCUAUUUAUGGUACAAAGAAAAGAGGGGCAAACAAGAGCAACAAAUGCCUGAUAUAUUGGUUAAGUUUUAUAAGAUCUCCUCAUUUUUAUAUUAACAAGUGAUUUAGUCUCAAUAUCACUCAUGGACUUUGUACUCACAAUUUGCAAAAAGGUUUUUUUUAUUUCUAUUUUUAUAUAUGAAUUGCUCCAUUCAAUGGUUUUCAGUGAAGUAUUGCCUAUAAAUGAGAAACUCUUAUUGCCAGACAUGGUUUCCCACCCAUUUGCAUAGAUAUGUGACAAUGUUCGGGCAUCUUUGCUUUUGCAGUUACUAAGGAUACGUGACAGUUUGAGUGUCUAUAGCCAAUACCAAAACAAUCAGAACUUCUAGAGAGCAUUCUUGAGUCCAGAUUUUUGCUUGUCUUUAGUUCAAAAAUACAACGCAAGUUGGGUACCUUAUAAUCUAAGAGAUCCAUAACUUUCAAGUUGCAUAUUUAGAAAUCAAGCUCAUUGUCAAGUGUCAACAAUUAGAAAUCUUUAGGGUAAUAUGAUAGCGCCCACAGAAAGGGACAACCUAAGACCUUUGGUCCUUGUUCUUAAUAUAUCUUCUUCAGCACAAACUAAAAUGUUGAUCCUACUCCAAAGCCCCAGAACAGAAGAAGAAAGGACAUCAACGAAGAAUUAGGUGAGAGAGAAUAGAGAGUAAGCUGGAUCAGAAGAUAGGACUUAAGCUGCCAUACCUGAUUUGCCAAGCCAUGGAGUGGCCCAGCUAAACCAUUCAAUGCAGCUGCAAAUGAAAGAUAAGGAUCUGAAAGUGCACUAGCAACCUGAACACAGCACAACAUUGAUUCAAGGAAAACCAUAUGCAUUAGCAUUUAACUGGAUAAGAAGCCAUACACAAUACCCCUCCCUUCCCACCAAAAAAAAGGGGGGUGAGUAGGUGAAGUCCUGGAAAUGCAUAACUUGAGUAACUUACCAGGUGACCAGUAUGAGCACUGACAUUCCCACCUUCAUGGUCACUGCAUCACAUUAAGAAAAGAAAGAAAAAUUAGCAUGAUAAAAUGCUUCUCUGUUUACCACAUGCAUCACAUGAAAGUCACUAGAAUUUUCUUCAAUCCAAGAAAAGAACAAGAUAUACAAACCUAUGGAUUGUAACAUAAAGCCUCAUAAGCUCUUGCAUUUCAGGACUAUCAAAUCCCAACAUGUGUGAAAAAUUUCCACCAUAAUCCAAAGAGUCAUUCAUAGGAAUAACUUUCCCAUCUUUGUAAAUCCUUCAAGAAACACGAAAAGAUCAAGGAAAUCAAAAUCAAUUUCAUGAAAUGUAAUAUUAUAAGCACAGUGAAUUAAGUCCCGCAUAAAACACCCAACUACCAGAAAUUUGUGUUUGUGUGUGUGUGUGUGUGUGUGUGAGAGAGAGAGAGAGAGAGAGAGAGAGAGAGAUUUUGCACGCUCAUAGAUUUGUAAAAGUGGCUUAAGGAUGAAAAUAUUCACAGAGAGUUCUUGCUCAAGAAAAAAAAUUAUCCCCACAAUACAGGAGUAGCGAAAGUUUUCAAAACACUACAUUCAACACCAUGCCCCAGCCUUUUCUGAUGCUAUCAGGCACAAUAUGCAAGGUUGAAUGCUGUAUAAAAUGCUCACUGACCUUCGAUAAAUAUAUGAAGCUACUAUUGGCACACGAGCAAUCAGACUAAGAGAAUCCUCAUAUGUUGGCUCCCAGUACCUAUGAAUUUACAUUGUUAUAACACCAGCAUAACACAUAUAACACUAAUAAAUGAGGAGAAAAAUCCUAAAAACCUUACUUUGAUUUAUGAAUCCCUUUUUCAUAGGCUUUUUGAAAUUCACUCUGAACCUGAAAGACCAUCAACAAAUACAAAAAUACAAAAAUACAAGUCAACUAACACUAUUUAAUCUGUCUUCUUCCAGAUAAUAUGUUAAAUUAUUCAGUUAAUCUUUCCCCACUCCACAAUUUUAUCUCUUAGAGCCUCAAUUGGUCACGCAUGACACAGAAAAGCUCUCAAAAAGUCAUAUUAGAAAAUCAAAAACAAUAAUGGUCAUUUUGAAUUAGCUGAACUGUGAUGAUAAAUACAAUCUAAGCUAUGAUAAAAGAGGACAGAAGGUGGGCCACAUAUAUAUAAGGGUGUCAGAGCAUUUCUCUACCUGUAGGGCCAUAACACCAGUUGCAAACUGAGUCAUUGGAUGAGCAGUGACAGGUAAGGCAUCAAUGGCCUUAAAGACAUAAUCUGCAACCAAGAACAAGAGGUCAUUCGCCAUGCUAAUCACGAAUGCAAACAAAAGAAUUAAUACUUCCAGGUCAAUAAACAGUUGAAAAUCAAUGAGAGGGAUGCAUUAAACAGGACCAGCUGCCACAAGAAAUAUACUGUGCCAUCCAGCUGCUAAAAAACUUAUUAGCGGCGCAGUUUCUCAUAAAAAAAAAAAACUAUGGACCUGGAACAGAGGCACGGUCACGCAAUUCCUUCGAUAAGGCACCGACUUGCUCUUUGGUUGGUACCUAAAACAAAAGAAGAGAAGAAAUGCUAAAUGAUGGUGAGAGAAAAUUUUCCAGAGACAAGAGAUUAAGAUAACUUAUGAUGUUGUGUACCUUUCCUGUUAAAAGAAGCCAAAGAAGACCCUCUGGCAAAGGUUCUCCACCAGGCUUUGCAGCUGGCAACAAUUUUUGGCAUUCAGGAAUUGACAUGCCCCUAAAGCGAAUUCCCUGAGAAACAAUGCACAAUAACUGAAAUGUGAUGCAGGCCUAUAGUAGAUUUUUUCAAGUCUACUUAUUUUGGGAAAAAAAAAAUUGGGCUUAAUCUUAUUAUUCUAGUUUCCUAUUUCUAUUAUGACUUAUUUUAUUGGGUGUCAGUAAAUGAGUACCCUAAGGAGACAAUUAGUUUUCAAUUGGAAAUAAUGACUUGGAUUGUUUACAAGAUUGGGCGUGCUCUUGAUUUAGUCCUUUAAGAUCAAGAUUGUCUCUCUUAUUUGUGAUUUUUUUGUUUCUAUUCUACAUCAAUUUUCUUGUUUUGAUGAUUUUUCUCUCAUCCUAAAUCAAUUCGGCACCCGCUGUAAUCAAAUUGUUUAAAAUAAGAGAAAUAGAAUAGUUUAUGAUGAUUGAUUAAUUAAUAUUUAUCCAUACCUCAUCUGGAUCAAGUAAUGAAGUCUCCCACAGUAAUCCAGUCAUUCCUCUCAUCCCCCCAAGCACCUUACCAAUUCAGUGAACAAAUAAUUCAAUCAGAAGUUACACAACAAAUAACAACUGUUAUAUUAAUAGAAAUUAAACAGAAUUGUGACUUAUUGAUCUAAAAACAAACAGCAAAAGCUCAGAACUAUAAUUACCAUGUCAACAGUAAUAUUUCCCAAUUGAACUUUUCCAUACUCUGACUUAAGCUUCUUCAGGCGCUCCUGCAACGAAAUGAAAAAUAAGAAACUAUGAAUACUUGUAGCAAUCUGCAAGAACUAGCUUCAUCAGAUUUUGUACAAAAACUUGUUGCGACAAAGUUAAUUGAGUGUAAGGUGCAAGCACCAAAAAGUUAAGACAUAAGAGAAAUUAUCAUUGCUUUUUAAACGAGGAAAUACAUACCUGUUGUUCUGGGAUCAAUUCCUUCAGCUGAGAAUGAAGGUCCUAAAAAUUCAAGAGAGAGAGAGAGAGAGAGGAAAAGAAUCACUAUAAAAGAAAACGAAGCAGAUCAAAUAACAAAUUGCAACAGAAACCACAUUGGUCCGCGUCAAAAACAUCAAAACCCUAAACACCAUCCCGAUGAUUUUUAAGAUAUGGAGGAGAGAGAAGAAAAGAUGAGUACAAGAUCAGAAGAGAUGGUCUGCGUUUGAAUCCAUCUGAAAGAAUUGCUGAGGUUUGACUGUUUCUGAACCUGAUGCUGCUGCAUUAAUCCAAUCUAAUCAAAUCAAAUCAUCCUUCUAUCAAAAAAUAAAAAAAUGGAGGCUUGUAAAGAGAGAGAACAGCAGAAGUUACAGCAUGAGAACGAAGCCUGGAAAGAAGAGGAACGCUUCGAAAGAAAACCAUGGCGAGCAAUCAAUCACCUACACAGUCAGUCAAUGAAUCAAAAAAGGUUUAGGUUUUGACUAAAUGAAGAAUUGAUCAAAAACUACUCAAUCGAACGAUCAAAUCACGCAGGUGAUCAAAGUAAUACCCAAUAAUUGAAACGGAAGUGCAGAGAAAUAAAGGGAAAAAAAUACUGAAAUGAAGGAUGGAGAGAAUGUUAAUCGUAGACGAUCAAUUUUAGAUUUAUGAAAUGCCUUCGCCGUUGUUUAGUCUUAUUGAAAAUUAAACCUUCACUUGAUUGAAUAUUCCAUUCCAAUUACCAUGAGUUAAUACCGAUAUUUUUUCCCUAUUUUAUUUUGUUGACCAACCUACAAGUCAAACCCUAAUUUUAGUUUUUUUUUUUCUUCCAAACGUUGUGAAAUACUCAAAUUUGUUUUAUUUCAUUGACACGAGAGAUUCAUCUAUUGAUUAACGAGUUUUUAUUUGUUUUUAAUUUUUUUGUAUUUAAUUUAAAAAAAUGGUAUAAAACUAACGUUGGAUGUGUGUUUUUAAAAUGAUUCGAUCAAAGAAUUUAGUCUAAAUUAAUAUAUAAAUUAAUCUAAAUUGAUAUAUAUAUAAAAAAAAACAAAGGCAUUUUGAGUGAGAAAACAGAGCAACAAAGACCAAGUUCAGAUUUUCUUACCUGAGUUCUUGGAAAUUUGAGGCUUCGUCGCUUUGCUAAUUAAAAUAAUGUGGGGAGAAAGAAAAGGGGCUGGUUGAGAGAGAAAGGGGCUUGGUUGAGAGAGGCAGGGGGCUUGUGUUAUUUAUAGAGCCAAUAUAGGAAAGAGAGACCGGACACAAACAAGACCAUUCUAUUUUCUCGUGUACUGCUGCUAUCUAUUCAUGUUUUUUAAUAUAUAUAUAUAUAUAUAUAUAUAUAUAUAUAUAUAUAUAUAUAUAUAUAUUUCUACUUAAUAAAAACUAAAUUUAUAAGUUUUGUUUAUGUUUAUUAUUUCUAACUUUUCCUCUCAUCGUUUGAUUAUUACCAGCUAUUUGACCCGUAUAUCACAGGCAAUCAAAUAAUUAUUUUUUUAAAAAAUAAUAUACCAGCUUUUUCAAUAUAUUUUUUACAUAAAAAAUCACAAUCAUAAAAUAAGAAACUGAUAAUGCCUUACAAGCAAGAAAAAUCAUCAAAGACCUAAUUACAAGCUUAUUUGAUUAUUAAUGAGAAAAAAUAGCAGAAGUGGUGUUUUAUACAAAGAAAACUCAUUUUUUUCACCCUAUAUCUAUCGUCUUAAAGAUUUAAAAAAACUUGAUAAUGCCUUAUAGAUAAUUUAAAAAUUAUUAGCCAUAAGGGACGUAGUGUGAUGGUAAAGGAUUUAAGAUCUGUAUAGCAUAUCUCGAGUUUGAGUUAAGGCAUGCACCUCUUCUAAAAGCCUUGAACAGCAGAAAUUUUACUUGCUCACCUGGAUCCACAAAGUGCGCUUUCUGGAGGUGGAGUUUUCUCGAAUAAAAAAAAUUAAAAAUUAGUUCAAGAAUAAAUAAAUAAAUAAAUGUUCAAUGUGGCCAUAAAAUAAUGCAAUUAAUGAAAACAAUUGUUGUUCAAUUUGGCCAUAAAUAAAGUAAUAGAUGAGAAAAAGGUUCGAUAAUCAAGAUGAAAAAAGAAUCACCGAAUAGAGUUUCUUAUAAUAAUUAUAAUUGUCUGGCCAAUUGCCCUUUGGACAAAUCAUACAUGAGCGUGCCACAUAUUCAAAUGUCAAAGAGGUAUCGAAUUUUGACCAGGCACUUUUCAUUAGUUGGUGGUGGGCUAUUUACGUCAUAUUUGGAUAAAUAAAAGUUGAAGUCAAUCACAUCAGCAAAAAUCUGCACGUUUCCGCAGAACUGGUUGGCAGGGGAUUGUUGCCCUCGCUUUGAUUGGCUGAAAAAGGUGGCACCAAUAUUUUACAGGAGAAUCGCUCUUGAUGCCAGGUGUAAGAUGCUUAUUCUGGCAUAACUGAAGCAAAGCUCGCCUGGAGCACAUAUUGUCUGGUGGAUGAAUGCUGAUGCCCAUGUGAUGGAGAAUUUAGAACCUUGACUGUGAGUAUGAUUGUAAUUGUUUUUAAUAUAGUUAUCUUACAUGACUUGGUAAUUAACUUGGUAAAAUAAUUAGUUCAUAAUUUUUGUGGGUUAACCCAGAUCAAAAACAAAAACACAUAUUAAUAUGGUUCUUUUGAUAUAAAACAUCACAUUAAUAUAUAUGCUAGCAUAAUUAAUAAGAAAAUAUCACAUUAAUAUAUAUGCUAGCAUAAUUAAUUAGCAUCAAUAGAUUAGAAGGUGCAUAAGAUGCAUUUAUCUUCAAAUAAACAAACGUGAUAACAUAUUUCAGAAGAAAGGAUGCAUUCAUCAUGUUCAACUAAUAAUCCAGAUUUAAAAAUAACAGUUCCAGAACAAUUAAUCUAUCACAUGAUGAAUAGCUAGUAUUGACACAAACAAACAUUAUUGAAUAAAAAGGUUAUGUGUUGGAAGUGGUACUUGCAGAAAUAUUGCUCAUGUAAUCUUAUCAAACCGAAACUGCAUACAGGAAGAUAAUAUUGCUCCAAGUGCAAGCAAUUAUUAAGUUAAAGAACUCUAAAACGCGUGGGAAAGCACUGUAGCUUUCCCCACGCCUUUUAAACUUUCCCUGUAUAUAUAUAUAUAUGAUUAUAUUAUUAUAUUAUACAUAUAUCUCACUUGCUUUCCAAACUAUCUCAUGAUGUCGCUUUUUUGAAAUCUAAAAAGAAAAGUGAGAUAGUUUGGAAAGCAAGUGAGGUGUGUGUAUAUAUAUAUAUAUACAUGUUAUUAUAUUAUGCAUAUCCCUUGCUUGCUUUCUCAACUAUCUCACUUUUCUUUUCAGAUUUCAAAAAAGCGACAUCAUGAUUUUGAUAUUUUAAAUACUUUGAAAAACUACGCUGUUAUUUUUUUCUUUCUCUAUAAUUGCGUCUUCUUUUCCUUCUAUAAAGUUUAUAAAAUUAAGGGAAUAUUGAUUUAUCUAACAUGUCAUCAGCUUCAAGAUAAUUAAAAGGACAUGCAAAGAGGCAAUAAACUUUCACGUCUUCAAGUUUCAUUUAGACAAAGUCAAGCCAGCCAGUCUUUUUAACAGUGCAUUAAAUGAAUGUAACGUUGGCAUCAUUAUGCACACAUACUUGCCCUUGUGUUUUCAUUAUUUCCUGUUCUGUUUUAGUUGGCAUUUCUAUUUUGGUUAGUGUAGUUGGCAGGCACUUCUAAUUGUUUUAUUACAUGCAAUAGUGCUCUUCAAAAAUGGUUAUUUAGCAAUUUAAUUCUCUCGGCUCCCAGCUCUUUUAUAAUAUUUGAAGGUGUAUUUUUGUGCAACUUUUAUUUGUUGAGGGUUCCAGUGGGAUAUACUUUUGUUUUUGUCAGUGUAUACUAGCCAUAAUUUGUUAUGCUUUUCUCUGCAGUUCGGUUUUUCCUUUAUCAUAUCAUCUUUCAGGAGAGGACGACUUCAAGGUUAAAUUAUUUUUUUGUCUGUUGCUUUUUAAGACUCUGUUAUGACAAAUAAAUAUGUUCAUGUUGCUGUCUGCAUCUUAAAUUAUUGUGCAUGGGCUAUGCCCAAUCAUUUUCGACGUUUACAUAAAUUUGCCACCUGACAAGAACAUUUUUAUUUCGUUGAACAUCAAGUAUCUUUGCCUUUUGUGUUUGAUUAUGCAGUUUAGUGGUGCAUUCUUUUUUAUUUUCAUCGUCGCCAUGUUCUUCAAAAACUCUUCAGAGAUAUCAAGGCAUAUCACAAUUAAAAAACUGAACUUCAAAUAUGAUAGUGGCUAUCUCAAUUAUUAUUUGUUGAACACAAAAUAAUUCAAUAUUACUCUUAGGUCAGGCGUUGCAGCCAUACCCGAGAUUCUUGAGUAUAGCUUUGCAGAAAAACCCAAGAUUUUUAAAUUUUUAUUUUUUUUUAAUAUUUUUUAUACAAAAAAAUAACCCGCGGCAUCGCGCGGGUCAUAUAUCUAGUAAUAUUCUAAAAGGCGUGGGGAAAGCACUGUAGCUUCCCCACGCCUUUUAACUUUCCUCAUUAUUAAUAUAUUAUAUUAUUAUAAUUAUUAUAUUAUAUUAUAUUAUUCUAUUCUAUUAUAUUAUUUUGUUUUUUGUCCUCUAUUAUAACAUAUCCUAACAUGUGAUGGAGAAUUUAGAGCCUGAUUGUGAGUAUGAUUGUAAUUGUUUUUUACAUAGUUAUAUAACGUGACUUGGUAAUUGACAUGUAAAAUUAAUAGGUCACAGGUUUUGUGGGUUAAUCCGAGUUAAAAACAAAAACAUAUAUUAAUAUGGUUCUUUUAACAUAAAAUAUCACAUUAAUAUAUAUACUAGCAUAAUUAAUAAGAAAAUAUCAUAUUAACAUAUAUACUAGCAUAAUUAAUUAGUAUUAAUAGAUUAGAAGGUGCAUUUAUUUUUAAAUAAACAAAUAUUUAGUAACUUGACAGCAUAUUUCAGAAGAAAAAAUACAUUAAUCAUGUUCAACUAAUAAUCCAAAUUUAAAAAUAAUAGUUUCAGAACAAUUAAUCUAUCACAUGAGUAUUGACACAAACAAACAUUAUUGAAUAAAAAGGUUAUGUGUUGGAAGUGGUACUUGCAGAAAUAUUGCUCAUGUAAUCUCAUCAAACCGAAACUGCAUACAGGAAGAUAAUAUUGCUCCAAGUGCAAGCAAUUAUUAAUUAAGUAAUAUUCUAAACGGCGUGGGGAAAGCACUGUUGCUUCCCAGCUUCCCCACGCCUUUUAACUUUCCUCAUUAUUAAUAUAUUAUAUUAUUAUAAUUAUUAUAUUAUAAUUAUUAUUAUAUUAUAUUAUAUUAUAUUAUUCUAUUCUAUUAUAACAUAUCCUAACAAGUACUGUAGCUGUCUUUUUUUUGUUUUUAAUUUUUUUUAAUGAAUUUUUUUUAUUUAAUUUAGUUUGUUAAUGUUAAUUUUUUUAUUUAGUUAUCAGAUUUUCAUGACUAAGUUCCUGAGUUUGAUGGGUUAACCUGGUUUGACGAGUUAACCCGGAAUUUUUUUCUUUUUAAUUAACUUUUUUCGUUUAGUUUAGUUUGUUAAUGUUAAAUUUCUUUCUAUUUAAUUAUCAGACUUUCAUGACACGUAUUUCGGGCUUGACGGGUUAACCCAGUUAAUUCUGGGUAAACCCGCCAAUUUUUUUUUAUUUAGUCAUCAAACUUUCAUGACACAGAUCCCAGGUUUGAAGGGUUAACCCAGUUAAUUCAUAUUUUUUUUCUUUUUCUUCAUUAGUUUUUUUCUUCCUAUUGGUUUUUUUUCUUUGUUUUUUUAAUUAAUCUAUUUAAUUAUCACACUUUUAUGACACGACCUUAUAGCCAAACCCACAUCCAAUGCUCUUGGGUCCGAUGUUGCAGCCACACUCACUUAAACUUAAGUCAUGUAAGUUUAAUAUUAUUAUUAAUAUUAUAAAUAUUACUCUUGGAUCAAGCGUUGCAGCUAGACCCAAGGCUUUUGGGUAUAUCUUUGCAGAAAGACCUAACACUCUUAAAUCUUAGCCUUUUUGAUAUUUUUUAUACACGAAAAAAAAAUUAACCCGUGGCGUAUGCCUUUGGUUUUUUCUUUUCUUUUCCUUUUUAAGCCUUUUAUUAUGGACUGCACAGUGCAGUUCACAGUAAACAGGCUUAUGCCUUUAGUUUAUUUUUAUUUUCUAUAGUUUCUUAAUAUUAAAUUUUUUCUUCAUUAGUUUAGCCCAGUUGAUUCAAAAUUUUUUUCUUUUUCUUCAUUAAUUUUUUUCUUCCUGUAGGUUUUUUUUUUCUCUUUGCUUUUUCCUUUUUUAAUUAAUCUUUUUUUUUAAUUUAGUUCAUUAAUAUUAAAUAUUUUUUCUAUUUAGUUAUCACACUUUCAUGACACGGAUCCCAGGUUUGACGGGUUAACCCAGUUGAUUCAGAUUUUUUUUCUUUUUCCUCAUUAGUUUUUUUCUUCCGAUUUCAUCUUUUAAUAUUGCAUGCAGUCAACAGUGAAAAGGAUGAUGCUUUUAUUUAUUUUUUUCUUUUUUUUCUUUUUAUGCCUUUCACUGUGGACUGCACAGUGCAGUACACGGUGAAAAGGCUAAUGCCUUUCUUUUUUUUAAUUAAUUUUUUAUUUUGUUUGUUGAUAUUAAAUGUUUUUCUAUUUAGUUAUCAAACUUUCAUGACACGAAUCUUAGGUUUUAUGGGUUACCCAGUUAAUUUAUAUUUUUUUUCUUUUUCUUCAUUAGUUUUUUUCUUUUUAUAAGUUUUUUUCUAUUAUUUUUUCUUUUGAAUUAAUAUUUUUUUAUUUAAUUUAGUUUAUUAAUAUGAAAUUUUUUUCUAUUUAGUUAUUGGUUGAUGUCUUUGUUUUAUUUAGUUAUCUUAGGUUUGGCUAAUGAAAGAAUUUUUUUUUUUUACAUUUUUGCCAUUUUUAUGCCUUUGACUGUGGACUGCACAAUGCAAUCCACAGUGAAAAAGCUGAUGUCUUUUGUUUGUUUUAGUUUUUUUUCUUUUUAAUUAAUUUUUUUCGUUUAAUUUAGUUUGUUAAUGUUCAAUUUUUUUUAUUUAGUUAUCAAACUUUCAUGACACGGAUUCCAGGUUUGACGGGUUAACCUGGUUUGACGGGUUAGCCCAAUUAAUUAUGGGUAACCCAUCAAUUUUUUUUUCUGAUUUAGUUAUUAAACUUUCACGAUACGAAUCCAAGGUUUGACGGGUUAACCUGCUUUGAAAAGUUAACCCAAUUCAUUCAGAUUUUUGUUCCUUUUCUUCAUUAGUUUUUUUAAAGAAAAACUUAUGGAUUACUACAAUGUUUCUAUACAUGGCUUUUUUAUGAAUUUUUCUUCUUCUUUUUUUUUUCCAAAAUAGUCUUUGUUGAUUUUGCUUCGUAGUUUUUUUCUUUAAAACACUGUGGAUUAUUAUAAUAUUUCCCCAUAUUGUUUUUGUUUUACUACAGUGUUUCCCCUCAUAUUUUUUUAAAAAAUUAUCUUUGUCGAAUUGUUUUUUUAAUAUUGAGCUGGUUGAGAAUUCAGCUUUAAUUUUCUCCGCAUGUUUUUUUUCUAUUUUUUUCAUUUUUUUUAUUUUUUCCCAAAAUUGUCGUCUUCUUCUUUUUUGUGUUUUUUUAGAAUUGUUUUUUUUAUUAUAUUUUUUUAAUAUCGAGCUAGUUGAGAAUUUAUCUUUGUAGUUUUUUCUUUAAAACAUUGUAGAUUGCUACAGUGUUUUCCCAUAUGGUUUUUUUUUUCUUUUUUUAUGAUUUUUUUCUUUUUUUUCCAGAAUAGUCUUUGUCGAUUCUAUUUUUUUUCAUAUUGAGCUGGUUGAGAAUUUAGCUUCGUGGUUUUUUUAUUAAAAACACUGUGGAUUGCUAUAGUGUUCCCCCACAUGAUUUUUUUUGUUAUGAUUUUUUUCAAAAUUAUCUUUAUCGAUUUUAUUAUUUUUAAUAUUGAGCUGAUUGAGAAUUACAACUGUAGAUUUUCUCAUGAAACACUAUAGAUUGCUACAGUGUUUCCAUGCAUGUUUUUUUUCCCUUUCGGUUUUUUUUUAUGAUUUUUUUCAAAAUUUUCUUUGUUCAUUUAAUUUUUUAAAUAUUAAUCUGGUUGAGAAUUUAGCUUUGUAGCUUUUUCCUUGAAAACAUUGUGGAUUGCAACAGUUUUUCUACAUAUAAUUUUCCAAGGUUAUUAGGUCUGGUAUUGUAGACAAACCCACUUAAACUUGGGUCAUGCAAGUUUAAUGUUAUUAUUAAUAUUAUAAAUAUUACUCCUAGGUCAGACGUUGCAGCCAAAACCAAAACUCUUGGGUAUAGCUUUGUAAAAAGAUCUAACACUUUUAGAUUUUAGUUUUUUUUCAUAUUUUUUAUGCAAAAACAAUUAACCCGCGGUAUCAUGCAGGUCAUGUAACUAGUGUAAAUAAAAAUAAAAAGAAACAUAUGGAAAGACAGGGUCGUCCAUGUUUUGCCAUGUAGUGUUAUCCAUACACCACUAUAAGCUAAAUAUAAAAGUGUUUUUUGCCAAGUUCUAACAAAUCCUGUAAUUGAAUCUGACUAUAUUUUUAUAUUGAUCCGAGUGUGAAAAAAAAACACUAACCUAAUGAUGAUGCAUGAAACAAGAUGAAGAACCAGUUAGGGGGCUGAUCAUAAGAGUUAACUGUUGAAAAGUAAACUAACACAAAGCCAGAAACCAUCGACUCCCGAAUAAAUUUCAAUGAGUGGUAUUCAGAUCAAAUCACUAGAGCACUCGAAUUUCGAAGGCCAUAACUAAUCAAACUUGAAGCAUAUAGUAAAAGACAACUUGAGCGAAUUCCAAAUAUUCUAAAUGGCAGGUAGGUUCUCAAUUUAGCAGACUACUAAAAACAGGGGUAAUUAGCAUCUGAAUUUAGCAACGGAUAAUUCCAUUGCUAAAUUCAGUAAUAGAUUUGCAACGGAUUACACAUGUAUUAUUUUUUAAUAUUAGCAACGGAAAAUCCGUUGCAAAAUUUACAUUGAAUUUAGCAACGGAUUUUCCGUUGCUAAUUGAAAAAAUAAUUAUUUAAAUUUUAAUAUAAAACCAAAAUUACGAACAUCGUUGAUUACACUUACUAGGAUAAAAUCUCAACCGUUUAUUUUUCGCUGGCUUUUGUAAAUCUACAUCAGUACUCUCCCCCCACACCGAAAUGCAAACAGAGACCAAUUAACAAAACCAACAGAUGAAAAUUAAUGAUCUUCCAUUCUCCUUCGUCCCUAGUCUCCUUCGUCCCUAAUAACAUCGAUCCAUAACUGUAGAAAAAUCACCCUCUCUUCAUCGAUUUGAUUUUCCUUUAUCCUAAACAUUUCAUCUUCUUCGCAUCUUCAGCAGCCCUAAUUUUUUUUCUUCAUCUUCUUCUCCUUCAUCUGAACAGUUUCAAUCUUUCUCUGUAAACCACCAAAAACACAGACCCAUCAUUAUCACCAUCGAACAUGCUGAUUUAACCCUUCUCCUUGUAAAUGGGUUGGGUUUUUCACGCUUUUCUUCAAUAGUUCAGGUAAUUAAUUUAGGGUUUUUGUUUUUCUUUGUUGCAAUUUAACUUACACUAAAAAAUUUUCACCUAACUUUCCCAAUCUCAGGGCUUUUUUUGUCCUGUAGAUCCAUCUCGGUCACCUGUUACUCAAGAACACAGGUAACAUUUUUUUUCGAUACUUUGAAUAUUGGUUUUAGGCUAUUAAUUCGAUAAUAUAAGGGUUUAUGAAAUGUUUUUACCAUGAUCUAUAACCUAAUUAUGCAUGUUUAAUUGAAAAUUUAUCAAAACCCCCAAUUUAAUUUUUAGGGUUACGGUUUAUAAAUUGAAUGACUUUAGGCUACUGGACUAAUGCUGGUAAUUCAUGUGUCUGGAAGAGAGUGAUCGAUGGAAAUUAUGCAUCAGUUCAAUUUCUUCACUUUCACUGAGAUGUUUCAUGCUGUUAUAACUUGCUACCCUGUUGCUUCAACUUUUUUCCUUGUAAUGCUCUACUUCUAUAAUUUUUUAGUGUUACAGCAGCGUAUGGAUGCUGUUAAAAUCUAGAGAGUCUAGCAACUGGUUAACCUGUGAUGCAUUUUCUUCUUCUGUAGCAGUCCAAGUGUUUCUUUUUUUCUUGCUGUGAUUUGAUUGAGCAUGCUUGCAAAGUUUUAGUGCUGCCUUUUAGUCACAGCCAAUCCAACUUACUAGGAUGUGGUGGUUGCUGAUUCGUGUGGAUAUUUUUUCAAAAUAUGCAAUUAUUAGUUUUAGUUGCAAAACUUAUACGCACUUAUUUUCCUUGACAAAAUUCAAAUUUUGCUGGAAUAAUCCACCUUUUAUUUUGUUGUGUUAUGCAGGAGAAACCUCAACUAUUUCAGUUUGUUCCAAAUUAAAAGCAGGUACUAUUUGUUCAGACCACAUUGUAUUCACAAAGUUGUAUUUAUUGUGAUAGAUUCAUAAUUUUGUUUAUCUGAUUUAUGCUCUCACAGGUCAAGGCAGCACACCAACUUCUCAAGACUAUUCCACAUAGCUAUGGGAGCAGGAGGGUUGAUGAAGUUCUUGUUUUUAGCAAACAAAAUUCAGAUAUUGCAAUAGCUACCAAAGACCGGAUUAAGUGGUGUGUAUUGAUUCUCUUGUAUCAAAAUUUAAAUAUGCAUAUUUAAAUUUUCAGGGCAUAGGACUGUUUUUUUUUUCCUUAUUCAAUUCCAGUUUGUAUAUUGGUUAUAUUCAAUUAACUUUUCAGGGCACAAGACUUUUUUUUCCUUUCCCUAUUCAAUUCUAGUUUGUAUAUAAAAAAAUUAAUUGAAUGAUUUUCUUUCAUUAAAUCUGAUAUUAAAUUUCUUUUUAGAUGGAAAUUAUGAGACCAAAAUGAAACCUGGAGAUGACUAAAUAAUAUAUCAAUUAACUAUAAAUUUAUUUUGAUUGUUGCUGGGAAGUCAGUAGUUCCUUGCUGUGAAUUCUUGGACCUGUAUUGAUUUUCUAUUGAUCUGACUUUUGGUUAGCUAGGUUUAUUUAUAGCUAAGUUAUUUAUGCUAUGCUUUUUGUACCUUGUUGUUCUACUCUUUGAACUAAAAGCAUCUCAUUGGAAUUUCAUUUUAUGCAAAGGCUCGGUUUUGUAGAAAAAUUAUGUCCUAACCAUAUAGAUUCCUAUUAAGUUAUAGGUUUUAAGAAAUAAUAAUUAGAGUAAAUUAUAAUUUAGUCUAUGCAUUUUUUUAUGAUUUUAUAAGUCAUUAUGUUUUUGAAAACCAUAAGAUAUAAUAUUUCAUAUUAAAGGAUUUAUGUUGAAAAUUAAUUUUCAUGUGAAACUCACUUCAAAUCUGUUCUGAAAUAUGCUCUUUUAACCAUGUUUUUUUUUAAAAAAAAAAUCUAACAUUAUGUGCUGGUGGGUGUUUCUUGGGUAGUUCUAUGCUUUAUUGAUGUGCUCUUUCAGGAGUGGAGGUCUUACAGUGUGAUGAGAUGCUAAUUUGGGGUCUAUUUGGUUAGCAAGAAAUGAUGUGAUCUUUAACAAUACUAAACCAUAUAUGCUGAGAUGAAAUUUAUUCUCGUAUCUUUCAUAAUGUUGCUAAGUGGGUGAGGUCUAUUCAUGGUUCCUUGUUAUAAAUUAAAUGUUAGUUAUUUUGAAACUUCAAAAUAACUUUGUAAUCUUGUUCAAGAUUGAAAAAUUUUAGGUUAGAUUUUAGAAGAAAAAAAAUUGUUAUGAGAAGACAAUUGCCAUGAAAAUAUAAAAACUAAACAGUACUUUAACUUGGAUAUUCUUUCUAUUUUUCAUAGUUUAACUUAGAUUUGUUUUAAAGACUAGCAAUUGAUAUAGCUGGAUGGGUUUAACAUACUGUUUAUGUUUUUUAUUUUUCCAGCAAUAUGAAUGGCUUAUUGGAUCACAAUAUAAAUCAUUAGAGUUGGCUAAGUCUGAUUGGGUUGUAACAAGGAAAUCUCCACCUUGGGCCAUUGAUUAUUAGGGCUUAGGUAAGUCUAUUUUGCUCCAUUUUUUUAUUGUUGCUUAAUUAGAUUAUGUUUAAUUUGUCUGCUGGGCAUGCCUAUUGUAAUCUUUUCAAUUAAUUGGAACUCUGCUUUGCAUUGGGAUAAGAUUAUUCAUAUUUAAAUUUAUUUUCCUUGUAGAUCCUAGUUUUUGAGGUUUAUGUGAACAUGAUGCUGGGAUUAUAUUCAAUUAACUUUUCUAGGCAUAGUACUGUCCUUUUUAUUUCUGCUUUUACAUAUUGCUUCCUGAAGUUCAUGUUUUUGGUAAUUUUCCUCUUAAGAAGAAUAAGAAUAAGCCACUGUCUUCUUUAUUUAAUUUCAAAACCAUGAAGGCAUUUAGAGGCCCAAAUCGCAUUUUGAUUAUUUGGUUAGACAAUAUAAAUCAAUGACAAGGUAUUUUAGAACUUUGGGUGGGUAGUUCAAAAAAAGCCCUUUCAUGUUUAAACCAACUUUAAUUAUUUUUAAGGCUGAUUAAUGGGUUGUCCAAAAAAAUAAUAAUUAAUGCUUUUUGAAACUUAUACUGUAUUUUUUAGCGGCAACGGCAAAACCAUUGUAAUUAAAAUAUAAUAUUAUAGUGUUUAUAUAUUAAAAAAAUCUGAAAUUAAAUUAAAUUAAUAGUUUACUCCAAUAAUUAAAAAGGAAAUGGAUAAAUAACAAUAUUGUUUAAAUUUGGAUUCAAUUAAUAACCUAUUAGAAUUCUUAUAUUUCAAAUAAAUUUUUGAACUCAUUUAAUCCUUGUCUAGAAUUCCUUGACAGCCUCUUCAUAGCAAUUUCUUGUCCAUCUUCUAGCUUACCCUAAAAGAAAAUGUUUAUAAAAUACCAAUUACAUAUAGCUAAGUGGUACAUAUUUUAUUUUAAAUGAUUGUUUAAGUACUAGUAGUUAAAGAAGUAUGUUUAUUUAUAAAAAUACUUAUUGGUGUUAUCAUGUUAAUUAGAUUAACAUGGAUGAUCGAUCGUGGAUGUAUCGUCGUCUUAUGAAUGGUCGUCUUCGUCCUGAAUACAUUACAGGUGUUAGAAGAUUUAUCAAUUUUGCCUUUUCAAUUGAUAAAAAUAUAUCUGGGGGGGAAAUUAGAUGUCCUUGUGUGAGGUGCAAAAAUCAAAAGUUUUUAAAGAAAGAUGAUGUUUGUAAGCAUCUAUUGAUAAAAGGUUUUUUACCUUGUUAUGAAAAUUGGACUGUACAUGGGGAGCCUUAUGUCGCACAACCAAUAUUGGCUGGAGCUUCAUCGGUUAAAAUUAGUCAAGUUGUAAAUGAUGUUUGUCUAGAAAAUCCAUAUAGGAAUCUAGUAAUGGAUGCAAUGGGGGGAUGGUGAUGCAUACUAUAAUGAUAAUAUGUCUAGUCCUGUGGUAGCAGAGGAACUUCCAAAUCCGGAGGCAACUAAAUUUUUUCAGCUUUUGAAAGCUGCGGAGGAGCCUUUGUGGGAUAGGUGUACCAAGCAAUCCAAAUUAUCUGCUUGUGUACAAUUGCUUAAUAUGAAGUCAACUUUAAAUUUGACUCAGACUGCUUUCAACAAGUUUAUUGAUUUUACAAAAAGUUGCAUGCCCAAUGAUGAAAAUUUGGUAUCCAAUUUUUAUGAUGCCAAGAAAUUUAUGCGGCCACUUGGACUUGGUUAUGAGAAAUAUGAUGUGUGUCCUAAUUACUGUAUGCUAUACUAUGGAGUAGAUGCUAUGAAAAUAAAUUGUGAUUUUUGCGGAAGUUCACGAUACAAACCUAGAAAUCCAACUAGUAAAGGUUCCAAUAAGGUAGAGAGGCAACAAUAAGGUAGAGAGGCAACUUCGAUACUUUCCCUUGACACCAAGGCUUCAGAGACUGUUCAUGUCUCCAUAUCAUGCCAAAGAUAUGACAUGACAUCAUUUUCAUACGUCAGAUAAUGGGGUUAUGGUGCACCCAUCUGAUGGGGAGGCAUGGAAGGAGUUUAAUCGUGUCCACUUAAGCUUUGCAUCAGAUCCGAGAAAUGUUUGGUUAGGGUUAUGCACUGAUGGGUUUUGUCCAUUUGACAUGUCUUCAAAUACAUACUCUUGUUGGCCAGUAAUUGUUACUGUUUAUAAUUUGCCUCCGUGGAAGUGCAUGACUAGACCAUUCAUGUUUUUGACAAUGAUGAUUCCUAGGCCAAAGAAUCCGGGGGAAAAGCUUGAUGUUUUCCUAAGACCUUUGAUUGAUGAGUUAAAGAAUUUGUGGUCUGUUGGUGUUGAAACAUAUGAUGUAUACAGAAAGGAAAAUUUCCAAUUAAGGGCAGCUUUGAUGUGGACCAUUAGUGACUUUCCAGCAUAUGGCAUGUUAUCGGGGUGGAGUACUCAUGGAAAUCUGUCUUGUCCUUAUUGUAUGGAGUUUGUGUGAAGGGAAGUUGCUAUGAUGAUAAUGAACGUGAUUAUUAUGGAAUGCUUAAAGAAGUUGUUCGGCUCAAAUACUUGGGGAGUAAGUGCAAGUUAUUUAUGUUUAAAUGUAAUUGGUAUGAUACAAAACGAGGGAUUAGAGUGCAUCGUUCGAAUAGUUUGGUUGAAAUCAAGCAUACAUCUCGACUACACGGAAAUGAAGAUUUUGUGUUAGCACAACAAUGUCAACAAGUCUACUAUACAUAUCCGCCUAGUAAUAAAUCAUCUGAAUGGUGGACGGUUAUUAAGACAAUUGCUAGAAGUCGUUCUAAUGUUGACAUGGGUGAAUUUAUUGAAGAUGCCAACAAUGUGAGAUCAUUUGAUGUUGAUCAAUCAGAUGAGAUUUAUCAACCAUGUCGUGUCCUUCCUACCCAAACACUUGAUGAUCAAAAUAUAAUUGUUGAAUCAUCUUAUUAUGAAGAAAUCAGUCAACAUGAAUUGCUUCAACUUGACAUAAAUUAGGGAAACAAUGAAAAAGAAGAAGAACAAGAAGAUGAUGAUAAUGAUGGCGAUGGCGAUGAGGAUGAUUCUUAUGGUGGUGGUGGUGAUGACGACGAAAACAUGGUUUUGUGUGAUGAUGAUGACAUGGUUAGGAGUGUCGCACGUCACCCGCACGUCGCGGCGAAGAUUCCACUUCAAUCUAAAUGUGAUGUGUGUCCCUACUUAUCUAUCUUUAUUUGGCAAAUAUGGGGGACAAGAAAAUCUAGUCUUUUAUUGGUGAAAAAUGGAAUAGGAGUCGCCACCUAAUAUUUUGGUCACUAGAAACCCUAACUAGUCUCAGAGAUCGGGUACGGGGACUGGUUGUGUAAAGGGAAGGUAUUAGCACCCCAAAUACGCCCUACCUAAGGUAAGCUGCAUUGUUUUAUUGUCUGAUAAAAUCUAAGGUCUUUUCGUGUUUCCUAGUUGUGUGUGUUUCCUAGUUGUUGGUAUGGUUCCAGAAAAGGAUCUCCUCGGUAAGGAGAUCCUUAUCUUAUUGGGUAAUUCUGACAUUAACAAGAGAAUUUAAUAUCCGGAAUACGUCUUACGUAUAAGAUCGUAACCCAAUAUAAUAAAAGAAAAUAAAAUAAUUUUUUUAGAAUUUUUAAAAUAUUGGCCUAGUUCUCAUGGCUUGAAUAAACUGGUUAUUAAAGCCAAAAUGCAUGUUAAUACAUAUAUUGUUUUGAAAUUUCCUUUGUUGUAUGAAAAUAUGAUGUUACAAUAGUUAUAUAUAUAUAUAUAUAUAUUGGAGAGACUAGGCCAUAUGCAUGAAAACAAAACAUUUUUAUUUUUAUUUUUAUUUUAUUUUUUUGAUGACUUGACGAAAACCGAGUAUUUUAAUACCGGACUUGUAUCUUUACAGUAUAAAAAUACAAGCGAUAUUGAUCAAAAUACAGUAACAUAUUUGCGGAAAAUCACGGAUUUUUUGAAAUAAUUCUUUGAAGAAAUUUUUUUCGAACGGGCCAGACCCGGCCCAAAAAGAAACUAGGCCGCAAUCAGCCCAAAAUAAAUUGGGGCCUGAUUUCUACAGGGUUGGACUCAGCCCAGCAGCAGGGGCUGGGGUUCCAACCCAAAACAAGCAUGGACUGGUACUGUGCACCUGCACAGUAACCAGUUAAUUAAUUAGCUGGUUACUAUAUACAUGCACAGUAUACCGGGUAAUUAUUUUCUUGCUUGCAGAACGUGCACAGUGCACGUUUUGCAUGCAAGAAGAUGAACAAUAAAACGAGAUAGGGGGCAGAGGGCUGACCUGUGGUGGCUCUGAAGGCAGUGCUGCUGGCGGUUGCUAACCGGAGAAUGGCUUGGACAGUGGUUAGCUUUUCUUCCUUUUCUUCACUGUGUUUUUUUCUUCUACUCUGUUUCCCUCUGUUUCUGUCUUCUCCUUUUAUUUCUCAUGGUGCUGUUGCCGACUGAGAGAAUGGUGGCAGCUGGAGGUGGUGAUGAUGACAGAGCGACGGUGGCUCUUCCCUACAGUGGCGGGCAGUGUUUUGCUGUUGUUUUUCCCAUCUGUACCGUGGCGCAAGUUCCUGCCCUUUCCUUCGAUGAUGUUCUUCCCUCUUACGACAGUUCUGUUAUUGUUGGCAGCGCUGAUGGUGGUGGAAUGGCGGAGGUUCCAAGGGGUAAGGCACGUUUCUUCUUCUCCUCCGUGCAGAGACCCUAGUCUCUGCUUUUUUCUUCUUGGUUUGCUUCUGUUUGCUUUGCUUCACUGUUUCUAUCACUUUGCUUCCCUGCUUCUUCUUCCAAGUGGUGGUUCUAAGAGGAAGGUAGGUGGUGCCUUGCUGUUCUGACUGCUUCACUGGCAGUGGAGGCCGGUGGCGGUGUAGUGGCUCCCUCGAGAUAACCAACUUGUUUAUGGAGGACAUAAUUCAUAUAGGAGUUAUGGGAGAGUUGAUGGUGAUGAUGGUAAUGAUAAUGAUGUGAACAUUAGAGAUGAAGAUGAGGGAGACGGUAGUAAUGAGAGAGGUGUAUGUGAUGAGGAUCCAGAUGGUGUGCCAUCAAUCCACGGUUCAACAUCUUCUCCAUACAAUUAUAAUCAAAAUGUUAAAAGGAAGGGUUUUGACACACCAAUAGAUCCAAUUACAAGAAAAAAAGAGCUUUGUUUGUAUGGCACAACAGAGUAAGUUUAAACUUUUAAAAACUAACUUAUUAAGGUUAUAUUUUCAGGUAUGAAAAAAAUUAUUUAUUAUUGUGUAAUUAUUUGUUUCCUAUAAGUUUGUUAUUAUAUAUUUUCAGGUUCAAUAACGCAUCGUGUGGACGUGCAAUCGGAGAUAUUUUGAGGUCCAAUUUUAAGGGAGCAUGGCACUCUUGGGAAAAAGUAGAUUCAAUGUGCCGAUGAACUCUUUAAAGAGUUUAAGGUAAGAACCAACACUAAUUGCUAUAUUCUUUUCAAUUUUGAUCACUUUAAUAUAGCAUUAUGAAAAUUAUGAACUGAAUAGCUAUAGAAGUGUGCUGGUCAUUGUCUUGUUAUUUGUAACCAUAAAUUAUUAACUGAAUAGCAAGUACUGAUUUGUGUUCUAAUUUGUUCUUAUUUCUUGUUUACUCUUUAAUAUCAUUUAAUUUCUUUAGUUAUUACAUCAUCUUGCAAAUUCGGAACAAAAUAACACAAUAUGAUUAAUUAUUUAUAUAAUUUGAAAUUUUGUGCACUCUUUUUACUUGGUAUAUAUAUUAUUUGGUAGAAAAAAUAUUCCUUUCCUGAGGAAGAUGAGUCGAUUGUUCGUAAAUUUUUUGAAGAUAAGGCUAGGAUAGCUUUGAAUCAACAAUUGACACGAGCUCGCAAGAAAGCCAUGUCAAAAGAAAACACUAUAAAUAUUAUAGAUUGCCUUGAUAAAGGUCCUGCUUGGAUAAACAAUGAUGACUAGAAUCAAAUGAUCAAAGAUGUUUGGUUCACCCCUGAAUUUCAAAGGAGGUCUGAAUCUGCUAGGAGGAAUCGAUUAACCAAAACAGAUGGUAAAAUAAGCACUCAUUCUGAAGGAACAGUGUCAUUUGCAUCAUAUCGAGCUAACAUGGUAAGGAUUUUUUUGUUAUUAUGCUUAAGAUAAUGAAUUAAAUUUUAUAUAUUUAUCUUUUAUAAUAUUUAUUAAUCUUAAAAGCAAGAGGAAGCUGGUGGAAAAGAACCUCCAUGGGAUGAUGUCUUUUUAGCUUUGCAUCAGAGUACUAAGCAGUCUGGUAGCUUCAUCGACAACAAGUCUAAAAAAGUGGUUGUAUGUAUUUUUAUUUGAUUAUUUCUUAAUAUAACUUAAGUAUUAUUUAACAUUCAAAUGAAUUUAUUGUUGCAUGUAUUUUAUUUGUAGGAAAAUUAUAAAAUGGAGAUGAUUUCAAAGUAUGGAACUAAUCGGGAAAAUCAUCCUUCAUUUGAUGGAGCAACUUGGUGUGUGGCUUCAGGAGGAGUUACAAAGGGUAGGGUAUAUGGUGCACCUCGUAUGCCAAAAUCUAUAGUUAGUACAAGUUCUUCAUCACAUUCCUACUCGGUGGAGUCAUCAUAUCCUAGUUCAUCGUAUCGAGCAUUGCAACAGGAGAUAAAGGAUAAAGAAGAGGAGAUAAAGAAAAAAGAUGAUUUUAUUCUUAAAAUGAAACGGCAAAUGGAUUCCAUGCAAGAAUAUCUUGUGAACAAUCUUGGAUAUCAUGGUGGGACAUCAAAUAUUGGCCAAGGUAUGCCUUCACCUAUGGCUCCCCAGAUAAUGACACCUAUGGGUCCCACAUCUCAACCACUUUAUCGACCUACACCUCGAUCACUAUAUACUGAUCAAUCUUGUGUCGAUCCACAAUAUCAUGGUUCGUCUUCGCAACCAACACCAUGAUUGUAUCUUUUGUCGUUUUUUUUAUUAUAUUUCGACUUAAUUGUAUUAAUGCAAGUUUGACUAAAUUUUUAUAAUAUGAAUAUUAUUUUUAUUUCAUUUUUUAUUAGUUAUACAAUUAUUUUUAAUAUUAAUUUAUGUUGGUUAUAUAUAUUCUACAACUUUUAAAAUAUCCAUAAAUAAUUAAUUAAAAAAAUUAAAAGUCAUUUUAAUAAAUAAAUAAAAAUUAAUUUAAUAAAAAUAAUAUACUCAGCAACGGAUAUUCCGUUGCUGAUCCCCAAAAUUAGCAACGGAAUUUUCGUUGCUAAAAUUGCAAUGAAAAAUCCGUUGCUAAAAUUGCAACGGAUUAUCCGUUGCUAAUUGUAAGCAAUGGAAUUUUCGUUGCUCAAAAAUCAGCAACGACAAAUCUGCAUCCGAGAUUUGUCAUUGCUGAUUCCGUUGCUAAAUUGUGUUAGCAACGGAUUUUAGUAUUAUUUGCAACGGAUUAUCCGUUGCUAAUUGUAAGCAAUGGAAUUUUCGUUGCUCAAAAAUCAGCAACGACAAAUCUGCAUCCGAGAUUUGCCAUUGCUGAUUCCGUUGCUAAAUUGUGUUAGCAACGGAUUUUAGUAUUAUUUGCAACGGAGUAGUCCGUUGCAAAUUACUAUAUUUUUUAGUAGUGGCAGCUGCAAUAUUGCAAAAGAACCACUUCGGUAAUAAAAUUAUAGAACAUCAACUUGCAGAAGCAAAACACGGGGCUUGUAGCUCAGUGGCCUUGGCAGGCUUUGCACUGCCUGAGUGCCCUGGUUCGAGCCCUCAUGUGUACCCAGCACUUGAGGGUUUAACUGCUGUGGUCCAUCGUGGACUUGUUCCGCCCCCCCUCCCGGGUUCGACCCUCUAUGUGCACGCCUGUCACCCCCGCGGUGCCUUACCUGCUCCUGGGCUUGCAGGAUGUCCAGUGGGCCGUGGGGAAUAGUCGUGGUGCGCGUAAGCUGGCCCGGACAACAUCAACUUGCAGAAGCAAAAAUGGUAGAUUAUUGCCAACAAAAUUAAACCCGAAAUAAAACAUUGCAAAGCAGAAAGAGAAAGUACUUAGCUUAUAACAAUGGAAUUUAGCUUCUCUUUCGGACCACUAGUGCAUAGUUCUACAAGAUCAUAACAAGAUCCAGUAAGGGGCUAGAAGAUUCAAAGACAAAAAAAAAAAAACAGAGAAAUCCAGCAGAGCUACCAAUAGAAGAUACCAGCAAAAGAAGAUAACUUGAUUGUUCGAACUGCAAAGAAAGAAAUUAGGGCAAAAACUUUAGCUUUCCUUUUGCUUUCCCAAAUUCCUCGAGACAGGUGAGUUAAUAUAUAUAUUCCGGGUCUCACUCGGGUUAGGCCGGCUCAGACCGGGUCAGGCUGGGUUUUUUCUUGUACCAGUCUUUUAUGUUGCCCGGACCGGUCUAGGUACUGGGUCGACCCGCCGGGCCGGUCCGGGUUAUUAAAUCCUCGCAUAUUCUCUUUACUUUCUUUUCUUCCUUUCGGCAGUCAUUGUUAAUCCUUUCUUUUCUAUAAAAUAUAAAGUUAUUAAAUCAUUAUGAAAAAUUCAAUUGCUCCGUAUAAAAAAUUUUGCUUAGGCUAUCUUGGCGCUCCUAUGUUUACCAUGUUUCCACUGGAAGAAAAUGUUUUCAAAAAUUAUUUAUUUUUUAAAAAUCAUGAAAUAGCAUGGUUUAAAAAUUAUUUAUUUUUAUAUUUCAAAAAUUUUUUUAAAAAAUUUAAUUUUUUUAUUUUUUUAAAUUAUUUUUUUAUGAUUUCAAAUUGACAAGCAAAAUUAAUUUUUUGAAAAAAUAAAAAAAUAUUACUUUAAAAUAUUUUUAAAUAAAAAAUAUUUUAAAAAUAAAUUAUAUCCACAAACUCAAAUAUAUAUUUUUAAAUAAAAAAUAUUCUAAAAAUAAACUAUUACUAGUGACGCGCCUUUCUCAUUUCUCUUUUAAGAUUUUCAAAGAAAAUCACUUCAUUUUCGGAAACCAAGAUUAAAAAUAUCGGGGCUCAGGCGAUGCUUGGGUUCCUCCUUAUAGAUCGGGCCGGAUUUUGGGCUGACCUGGGCUGAUUGAUGUCUGUUCUCUUAUUAUGCGAAAGUCCAGCUUAGAUCCAACCGAGGCUGAACAGCAUUAUCCCUUUCAAAAUUGUUGAUUAUUUAUGCGGUAGCUUUUAUGGUUACAGUUUUUAAAAAAUAAAUUUUAAAAAAUAUUUUUAAUUAAAAUAUAUGUAUAAUUAAAAUUAUAGUUUAAAAAUAUAUGAUUAAAUUUGUUGUUGAAAAUGUUGUUGAUAAUAAAAUAAUUAUAAAAUAAUUAAAAAAAAACAUUUGUUUUAUAAUGUUAAAUUACAUAAGUAUAUGAUUAUUAAUACAUAAAAAAAAUAUAGCAAAAAAAUAUCAAGAUCCUUGUGUACCAUGGACUAAUUUUUUAUAGUAAUCUAAAAACACAAAUAAAUACACAGUAAGAAUAAAAAAAAUAUGUAUAUGUAUAUAUAAAAAAACUAAUACUGGGAUUUGACAUGAAAUUAUCCCGGAUCAUACCGGGUCAGCAAAUAGGUAUUUUGGUUCAGUAUUACAAGGAGCUUGAGGAGGGGAGACAAAAUUGGUAAUGAUCCUAAGACACAUCAAUUUUCAUGACAAAAGCAAUACUACAAUUUUUAAGAAUGUAUUUGUUUUUAUAUUUAAUAAAAAUGAAAUUUUUUAAAUUUUUUUAUUGCUUCAAAUUAAUUUUUUUUUAUAAUUAUGGAUUGUUUUGAUGUGUUGAUAAUAAAAAUAAAUUUUAAAAAAUAAAAAUAUAUUAUUUUAAUAUAUUUUUAAAUAAAAAUAUUUUAAAAUAAUCACUAGUAUAAUCUCACGUACUAAAUUGAAGCUUUGAAGUUGAGGUAUGCAACAUGAAUAAAAUAGAUUUAGAAUUUCCUUCUGGUAACUUUCUUGGAAAAAAAUAAAAUUACGACAAGCUAAAAAAUAAUAAUGGGAGUCAAGGCCUUAAAGUUGAGAUUCCGCAAUCACGUGAUUUUCAAGCUCUCACAAUCCCUCGUAGAAUUCAACAUGCGGCGAGACAAAUUCAAUCAACCAUUCAUCCUCUUUUUUUUUUUUUUUAGAGAGAGAGAGAGAGAGAGAGAGAGAACUUUUUCCAGAAUUAAAUCUCUUGAAAACCCCCCAAAUUAAAUGUUUAAAGUAAAGUUAUUAAAUCUAAGUAUAGUGCAAUACUUAGAAAACAAAUUAUUCAUGUUAACAUAAAUUGAUGACUCGAUUCAAAAAACUAUUAUUUUAAGAAGAAUUUUUAAUUAAAAAAUAAUAAAGCAUACUCACUUAAAAAAAAAAACAAAUUAAGUUUUAAUUAGAUCGCAGAUUAACUCAUUAAGUUAACUGAGUUAUACUUAUCAACUCCUACCAGUUUAAUUUGAAAAUCAAUGUGAUUUAAGGGUUAGAUCAACGAGUUACCAAAUUGACGUAUCAAAUCAUGCUGAAUUUAGUGCCCAUCCAAUAUUGAUGACCUUGUCCAUGUGUUAAAAAAAUAAAAAUUAGAUUAGAAAUGUUUAAGAUUAUGCUAGUUGUUGUUUUUUAAUGUAGUUUUUGUUCUGAAAUAUAUUAAAAUAAUAUUUAUUAUUUAUUUUAAAAAAAUUAUUUAUGAAAUUAGCAUCUCAAAAUGAUUUAUAAGUAAUAAAAUAAAUAAAUAAAUAAUUUAAUUUUUUUUAAAAUACUUUUAAAAUAAAAAAAACAAAAGUGUUGUUUCAUACGCGGUGUAUCAUUCUCUGCGCCUGUGCUAUCAUUUUUUCAGUGCAUGAAGAACGGAUAGCCACACAUUCAGGCUACCAUCUUGUGGUUCUAACUGGCUUCACUUUACCUCUUUUCUAGGAAAGCCCGGGAGCCGUCCAUUUCUUCUGAACCACGAACUCUAAACGCAAACCAAUAACCUUGGCUUUUCGAAAAGAUUGAAGAGGGAAUAAACCUUGCGUUUGCUUACACUUCUACACUCAACAAGGCUGCUAGCCACAAGACCCUUGCUUGCGUUCAUUUCCUCAGCAUCAAUGCCUGUCAUCCUUCAAAGGUUGCCAGAGAAACAAGGAAUAUUAAUUAGAAGUGUCUUGCUUUGUUUCUUUUCCCCUCCUUGAGAGAGGGAUGGUGGAUUAGCAGAGCUUCUUCUUUUUGUUUUUUUUCAUUGAUGUGUCUGUUGUGUUAGGCAUUAAUCGUGGAUGGACUAUGAUGCGAAUUCCAGGUUUGACGGAUUAACCUGGUUUGAAGGGUUAACAUAGUUAAUUCAGAUUUUUUUCCUUUUUCUUCAUUGGUUUUUUUCUUCUUGUUGGUUUUUUUCUUUUUUUUUUUUAAUUAAUCUAUUUAAUUAUCAUACUUUUAUUACACGACCUUGCAGUUAGACCCACAUUCAAGGCUGUUGGGUCUAGUGUUGCAGCCAGACUCACUUAAACUUGAGUAAUGUAAGUUUAAUAUUAUUAUUAAUAUUAUAAAUAUUACUCUUGGGUCAAUCGUUACAACUAGAUCUAAGGGUGAUCAUUUUCGGUUCGGUUCGGUUUUCACUUGAAAAAAUUAACCAAAUCAAAAUUAUUAUUUUUUUAAAUUUAAAACCGAACUGAAACCGGUUCAAACCUACUGGUUUUGGUUUGGUUUUUGUUGUUCAAAAACCGGUGAAACCAAGAAUCAAAUCUUGUUUUUGUUCUUCAAAGAACUUGUUCCAGUUUACAACCAAAGUUGCAAAUUACAACAUAAUAAAAAAAGCUAAAACCCACAAAAUAUCAAGGAAAAUAGAAACUAGAGAUUAAUCAAGAUGGCAAGGAAAACAGAUUUGUCCAUAGUGAGCGAGUUGGAUCCAAAUGAGGGCUUAAAUUAGUGUUUUAGAAAAAUAGAUCUGCUAGGGAGAGAAGAGAAUUUGAUGGAGAAAUAAUUAAGAUGCAGGGAGGUAAAGAGAAAAAAUGAGGGUCGAGGGGCUGCUGAAUAUGCGAUGGAGAAAUAAUUAAGAUGCAGGAAGGCAAAGAGAGGGGGGGCUGCGAGUGUGUGUUGCUUUAGGGUUUAGUUAGUGACUAUUUAUAUUAUUUUUUUUAGUCAGUUAUGUGGUUGAACCGGUUCGAUUUAUUCCGGUUCAAUCGGUUUUAGGCAUUUAAAACCAAACCGAAUCGAAAAUUCUUUUGGGUUUUCUAAUCGGUUAAGUUUUUUUUUCUCGGUUCUAUUUUUUCGGUUUUCUCGGUUUAAUCGGUUUUUCGGGUUUUUUGCUCACCCCUAGCUAGACCCAAGGUUUUUGGGUAUAUUUUUGCAGAAAGACCUAAUACUCUUAGAUCUUAGUUUUUUUAUAUUUUUUAUGCAAGAAAAAAAAUUAACCCGUGGCGUAUGCCUUUAGUUUUUUUUUUUUGCUUUUUUCUUUCUUUUUUUCUUUUUUAAUUUUUUUUUAUAUUUACGUUCUUAAUAUUAAAUUUUUUCUAUUUAAUUAUCAUACUUUUAUGACACGGAUCCCAGAUUUGACGGGUCAAUCCAGUUGAUUCAUAUUUUUUUUUCCUUUUCUUCAUUAGUUUUUUUAUUCCUGUAGGUUUUUUUCUCUUUGUUUUUGCCUUUUUAAUUAAUCUUUUUUUUUUUAAUUUAGUUCAUUAAUAUUAAAUCUUUUUUCUAUUUAGUUAUCACACUUUCAUGACAUGAAUCCCAGGUUUGACGAGUUAAUCUAGUUGAUUCAGAUUUUUUUUUCUUUUUUUUCAUUAGUUUUUUUCUUCCAAUUCCAUAUUUUAAUAUUGUAUGCAGUCCACAGUGAAAAAGAUGAUGCCUUAGUGUUUAUUUUUGCUUUUUUUCUUUUCUUUUUAUGCCUUUCAUUGUGGACUGCACAAUGUAGUCCACAGUGAAAAGGCCGAUGCCUUCUUUUUUUUUAAUUAUUUUUUAUUUAGUUUGUUGGUAUUAAUUUUUUUUUCUAUUUAGUUAUCAGACUUUCAUGACACGGAUCUCAGGUUUGAAGGGUUAACCCAGUUAAUUUAGAUUUUUUUUUCUUCACUAGUUUUUUUCUUCUUAUAGGUUUUUUUUUCUUUUUAAUUAAUAUUUUAUUUAUUUAAAUUAGUUCAUUAAUAUUAAUUUUUUUUCUAUUUAGUUAUUGGCUGAUGUCUUUAGUUUUUUUUUCUUUUUGCUUUUUUUGCCAUUUUUGUGCCUUUGACCAUGGACUGCACAAUGCAGUCCACGGUGAAAAGGCUGAUGUCUUUUAUUUGUUUUUGUUUUUUAAUUAAAUUUUUUCAUUUAAUUUAAUUUGUUAAUGUUCAAUUUUUUUCUAUUUAGUUAUCAAACUUUCAUGACAUGGAUCCCGGGUUUGACAGGUUAGCCUAGUUAAUUCCGGAUUAACUCGCCAAUUUUGUUUUUCUAUUUAGUUAUCAAACUUUAACGAUACAAAUCCAAGAUUUGGCGGGUUAACCUGGUUUGAAGGGUUAACCCAGUUAAUUCAUAUUUUUUUCUUUUUCUUUAUUAAUUUUUUUCUUCAUGUUGGUUUUUUUUUUGUUUUUUUAACUAAUCUAUUUAAUUAUCACAUUUUUAUGACACGACUUUGCAGCCAGACCCACAUCCAAGGCUAUUGGGUCUGGUAUUGCAGCCAUACCCACUUAAACUUAGGUCAUGGAAGUUUAAUGUUAUUAUUAAUAUUAUAAAUAUUACUCUUGGGUCAGGCAUUGUAGCCAAACCCAAAACUUUUGGGUAUAACUUUGUAAAAAGACCUAACAUUUUUAAAUUUUAAUUUUUUUUAAUAUUUUUUAUAAAAAAAAUUAACCAAUAGCAUAGCGUCAUAAUGGAACUAGUCAUAAUUAAAAAGCAUGACAUAAAAAAAAUAGUUUUAUCUAAAUUUUUUAAAUUCUAUAACAUAUACUGCAAGUCAUGCCUUUCCAAAAGAUAAAUAAAGAAAGAUUUUGUCGUUUAAGACGACAAAUCUCUCCUCUUUUGGUCAUGAAUAUAAUUUAUUUAGUGUUAUGAAAAGAAAGCCGAUUGGAAGCUGAUGUCAUGGCGGCAGGUUUGAGAAUUGAGCACCGAAGUAGGAGGCAAACGCGUGUUCUUUGGGAUUGCACGUGACAAAAAGGCCCUCUUCGUGGUCACCCAAGAAAACGACAAAAUUACCUUUUUCAGAAAUUGUUUUUCCAAUAAUUUACGCGUGUUAUUGUUUAAGUGGUCUGUGAUAAUGUUCGUUGGACAGCGCCGCCCCCACCGACUCCAAGCCGUGCUUCAUUUCCUGCUAUGAACAGUCGUUUUGUAGCUACUUCUACUGUUAUUAUAAACGAUAAAGGAUAGGUUCGUUAGUUCUUCAUUGUCUACUGUUCUUCACUCUCUAGGGCUUCAAAUCUAUUACAGUAUGACAUUACGGUAGGUCCCCGUUUUGCAAUGCCAUAAAUCCUAAAAAAAUAUUAGAUUUGUAUUUUUUUACGUAUUUGAUAUGUUCUGAUAUUAAAAUUUAAAAAAUAUUAUCAUAUUGUAUUUUUAAUUAAGAAACAUUUUAAAAAAUUAAAUGCAAAAACUAGACAUAAACCAAUCACUUCUUAGAAUUUUGUGUUUCGAUAUUUUUUACUAUUAGAUUUCAAAAAUUUAAUUAAAAAUUUAAGAGUUAAAAAAUAAAAUAUUUAAUGCUUUGGAUCGGUCACGAGCAAAUCAAAAGUUUUAUAUUUAAUUAAAGCUAAUUUUAUUCCAAACAAUUGCAUAUUUGCGAUAAUAUUUAGCACUUUUAAAAAUAAUUAGUGUAAAAUAUAUUUCCAUGUGAAUUUUAUAAGAAAUUCUACAGGGUAAGAGGGGCCUACCCUUGAUCAUUUGUUUUCGAGAUUGACAUCGAUAAUUUUUGAGGCGUCAGCUCACGGGAAAUAAUAUCUCGAUCCGUCACGAGGCAAUGCUUUCAUUCUCGAUCAGUCACGAGGCAAUGCUUUCAUGCAUAGCUGUUAUGUCCGGAGUGUCUUGUAAGUUUAAUAAUGUUUUUUUUUAAAAAAAUUAUUUUUUAUAUUAAUAUAUUAAAAUGAUAUGAAUUUAAAAAAAAAUUGAAAUAAAAAUUCUCUUGGAGGACUAGUGAUAUGAAGACAUUUUUGUUUUUACAUUUUAAAAAUAUUUGAAAUUUUUUUAUUUGUUUUAAAUUAAAAAUAUUUGAAAUUUUUUUAUUUUUUUAUUUGUUUUAAAUUAAUAUUUUUUUGAUAUUUUCAGAUCAUUUUAAUAUGCCGUCAAAAUAUUUUUUAAUAAAUAAAAAAAAUAUUAUUUUAAUAUAUUUUUAAGUGAAAAAUACUUUGAACCACCACAUCCCUACACAUUCUAAAAAUCGUUCAAGUAACUGGAACUGGAAAAUAGAAACAUCACUUGCCAUCACAGCCUGUCAAUUAGAGGUUGAUUUAUAUCGAAGGUCAUUUAUUUAUUUAUAGUGUUAUGAUUUUUUAAGUUAUAUUUAAAUUAGUUUAAUUUGGUUUGAUUUUUUAGUUUCAACUUUACAAAACUAAAAUUAAACCAAUGUUUUUUUUUAAUUUUUUAAUCAGUUUAAUUAAAUUUUUUUAUAAUUUAAUUUUCUCAGUUAUUUGUUUUAGUUAUUUUUAAUAAAUUAUAAACAUAAAUUGUAAUUUUUAAGAGAAUAAAAGUGAAGUGAGGAAAUAAUUAAUAUGUAAAAGAAUUAGGGUAAUCUUUUUUUAAUAUUAAUAAUAUUUAAAGAACAAUUUGAUCUGAUUUAGUUAUAUUAAUAUAGUUUUUGUGAUGGAAUUUUGCUCUCAUGGAAUAAGAAUUCUUGUGGAGAUGAAAUCUACGAUCCGAUUGAUUCAAGAGGGGUACGUGUGGCAAUGGAACUUGAUCAGUAUUAGAAAAAAAAAUCUUUCGAUCUUGACAAGUGAGGUAACGGAGAGCUUUCAUUGUGACCUAUCAAUAAGAACUAUUCAAGACAUUUUAAAUGUUAGCAAUGGAUAAUUACCCUUUAGUUAUGAAUUUUUUAAAAUAAAAUAUAGUCAAAUUAACAAAUAGUAUUUGUUUAUUAAUUAUCUUUUCAUUAUAGAUUUGAUAGAUAUUGAUGACUUUGAAGAUGACGUUGAUGAGCAUGAUUUGAUAGAUUUUGAAAUGUUUUAAUUCAUUGACAUUUCAUCCAGGAUUUGCUUAUUUAAAUAUCUAAAAAUUUAAUAUGUUUAUUCCAUCAAAUUCUUUUAAUCUUUUAAUUAUAAAUUAUGGUUAUUAUCAUUUACAUAUUUAAUAAUUUAAAUCUGGUUUUAAAUAUGAAUAUUUAAAUUAUGUCUAUGAUUUUUCUUAUUUGAGUAUUUAAAAUAUCAAGUUUAGUUUAUAUUUUGUUGAUUUUUUUGGUUUCAAUAUUGUUGAAAACCCUAUGGCUAGCAAAUUUAUAAACGUUUGUUUGGGAGUGUGGUUGCAGUUACUUUUUAGAGUGCUUUUCAUUCCGAAAUGCAUCAAAAUAAUAUUUUUUUAUUUUUUAAAAAAUUAUUUUUGAGAUCAGCGCAUCAAAACGAUUCAAAACAUAAAAAAAUAAUUUUUAACAAAAAUAUUUUUUUUUGAAUUUUUUGAAAAAUCCGCAUUUCCAAACGCUCUCUUAGAACUUGUUUGAUAUUGUACUAAUGAUUCAUUUUUAAAGUGUUUUUUUUUAGAAAUGAAUUAAAAUAAUAUAUAUUUUUUAUUUUUUAAAAUUUAUUUUUAAUUACAUGAUAUGAAAAUAUUUAAAAAAUAUUAAUUUGAAAUAAAAAAUUUUUAAAAUAAAAAACAAAAAAUAUGGUUGGAAAGAACUCUGUUCCCAAACGGUCCUUAACCUCUUGACCUCCAAACUUUUCUAGAUACGUCCUCAAGUAGGGAAGGAAGAAGGGAUUUUGAGAGACAUUAGAGAAUCUAACUAACAUUGAAAAAGUCUAUAUUUCUCUACAGCCACACAGUAGUUUACCGUGUUCCUUUUUAUUGCUAAAGUCCAACUAAAGCCCAUGUGGUCUCCCCAUCGGCUUGCAUUGAAUGGCUGCCGAUACCUUUCUUGGUGGAUGGUGUGACCGCCGUACCCCCCUCCCUCCCUCCCUCCCUCCCGCGCUUGCAUGCCAGCCCAUCUACUACAUUUUCAAUUCCUCCCUGCAUUUGCGUUCUAUUUUAAGCAGCGCUGACGAGCUUUUGGGCUUAUCUCCGUCAACCUACUUUUAAUAAUGUUUUUUUUUUGGAAUAAAAUUCUGAGUAUUUUUAUUUUAAAAUAUAUUAAAAUAAUAUUUUUUAUUUUUUUAAAAUUAUUUUUAAUAUCAAUACAUCAAAAUAAUUUAAAAAUAUAAAAAAUAUAUUAUUUUUUUAAAAUAAAAUAUUUUUAAAUAAUUUUUGAAAGAUUUUCAAAACACAAUACAACCAUUAUCUUUUCUUCACAUGAAAGUAAAGUCAAAAAGAUAAAAUUUCUAAAAACUAAAAAAAACCCUAAAAACUAAAAAAACACCCAAUAUUAAAGCUCUUCCUACAGCACAAUUCUUUCCCUUCCAUUCCAAUCCAUGGCCAAUUCCAUCCAAACUUCCACCACUGACACUGCCACCAAACACCCCUCGGCCAAACGUAGAAAGCUAACCACAGACCAACACCAGAACCACCAAGAACAGCCUCUCAUACCAGGUCUUACUGACCACGUAGCCCAACUUUCCCUCUCCCUUGUCCACCCUUCUACACUUUACCCUGUUUGCCACUCAUGGCGUCGCCUAAUCUACUCCCUUUCUUUCCCUCCUUUUCUAUCUCUCUACGCGGUUUUAUCAUCAACAAAUAUAAAUCACCGCCUUUCCAAUAACAAUCCAAUCCAAUCCUUCAACUUUGACCCCAUUUCUUCUAAAUGGGAUUCUCUCCCUCCUCCACCACCAGACCCACCACUCCAUCUCCUUCUCCGCCACCCUUGCUUCAUCUCCCGUGACCUUCCUAUCCAAUCCAUCUCUGCUUGUGGUCGCUUGAUACUUAUUGCUGCUACUUCUCACAAUUUUUCCCCAGCUCUCUCUCGCCCUCUUGUUUUUAAUCCACUCUCAGGCGUAUGGGGCUUUGGCCCCCCACUCACCACACCUCGCCGCUGGUGUGCUGCAGGCUCAGCAAAGGACACGGUCUAUGUGGCGAGUGGGAUCGGAUCCCAGUUCAACACGGACGUGUCCAAGUCAGUAGAGAAGUGGGAUUUGCAAAGCAAGAACGUCGGGAUCUCCACCAUCGCCAAUAAAACAAUUACAUGGAAAUGGGAAAAGGUUAAAGGACUAAAAGAUGGGAGAUUUUGUAGGGAUGCUAUCGAUGCAGUGGGGUGGAGAGGGAAACUUUGUAUGGUGAACAUGAAAGGAGAUGCACCUAAAGAAGGGCUUGUUUAUGACACUGAGAAAGACGCAUGGGAGAACAUGCCAGAGGGUAUGCUUGCAGGGUGGAGAGGACCCGUGGCAUCCAUGGAUGAAGAGACUAUGUUUGUGGUGGAUGAAGCCAGGGGUGUGCUUAGAAAGUAUGAUCCAGAAAAGGAUUAUUGGGAGCAUAUGAUGGAGUCAGAAAGGCUUGUUGGAGCACAGAAGAUUGCUGCUGGUGGCGGUAGAGUUUGUGUUAUUCGCGGCUGUAGUACUGAGAUUGUGGUGCUAGAUGUGGCGGCGCUUCCGGUGAAACUAUGGGUGGUGAAAACGCCACCGGGAUUUGAAGCCUUGGCAAUUCAUAUUUUGCCAAGGAUGAGCCGGCCAGAUUUUUGAUUUCCUGGUAUUGCCAUGGUUUUUAUUUUUAUUUUUUAAAAAUCUUAUAUGAUCUGUGAUCUUAUGUUGCGUCUUGGCCUAAUUUUCUGCUCAUUGUUGUACUGCAAUUUUUUUUUUAUCAUUCUUUUAAUCUCAGUUUAUUCUGAUUGAAAGUGCAAAUUUGUCGUUUCUAGGAUCAAUACAGCACUGAUGCUGAUCCCAGCAAGAUUUCGUUUGCCCAGAGUAUAGUUUGCUUGCCCACUUCAACCACCGCUGUUAAAAAUAUAUUUAGAAAAACAUUUUUAAAAUUUUUUUUAUUGCAAAAGAAAUGCUAAAAACUAAGUUAACAAAAGAAUGUUUUUGUACCCUUUAACUUCACGAAGAGAAAAAUAUUUUCCAUUGAUUUACAAUAUAUUAUUAUGUAAUUACUUCAAUUCAUUAUAAUCAUAUUAUCUUAAUCACUAUUAACCAAUUUUAUUAUUAUUUUACUAUAAUUCUCCAACGGCAUUUAAGUUUUAAAAUUUUCUUUGAAAAAAUUUAAUUUUUUUAUUUUAAAUUAAUAUUUUUUGAUGUUUUUAGAUUAUUUUAAUGCGUUGAUAUCAAAAAUAAUUUUUAAAAAAUAAAAAAAUAUUAUUUUAUAAAAAAAACAUUUUUAUUGGUAUAUUAAUCAUACAACGGAUAUAACUUAUUUUUUUUUUAAUUUUUUUUUUGCAAAACAAAUGUAUCCUUAAAGGAUAAACAUAGCAAGAAUAUGCUUAGCAAAGAUAUUAACGAUGGCCUCAUAAUAAAAACAACGUCAAAUAAUAAUUGUUUGUAAAUAUAUUCGAAGCCUGUAAUCUCAUGAAUUGUGUUAAAAGUUGUUUCAAUAAUAUAUAGUUCUGUAGGUUAUAGUUUUGGUGCGUUUAUAAACUUGUUUUCUUGAUCAGGGUUUAAUUUCUAAUUAAUUUCAAUUCAUUUAUACUGUUGGAUCGCAUACAUACAUACAAGUGAUUUCAAACCAUGCUCGUCGAAGACCGACCUGUUCAUAUAUAAAUGUUAACGGAGACAUUUUCCCCAUAUAUAAUUAAUGCAUGUGAAGCUGGGAAAAUGGAGAUUAAUGAAAAAGUUGUGACAUGCACCGUGUUAAGGCUGAACUAGCAGCCUUAAUAUAGCAAGUUCUAGGCUAUUGAAAGAGUCUUUAAUCAAACGGUACUCUUGUUGUUUUUGUAGUAAAUGGAUGUAUGCAUGUACAGCGAUCAUGCUCCCUUAAGAUUUGAUAAUAAUAUUAGUCAAAUUACGAACGAAAGCGAAGAAUCUUCGGUUCAUCUGAGUUUUAGAAUAAGAACAGAGCAAACAGGUAAACUACUUUUAAAGCUUUUGGGAUGGGACAGAGGGACCGGCAGUAGCAGUCGACGGUGGGAGAAUGCAACAGUAGAAUAUUGCAUGCUUAAGAAGGAGAAAAGGCAAUUUUUCAUAACCACUCAACAACAUUUCUGUCCACCGCGCGCCCCCACACCAGCAACUAAAACUUUUCGUAUUCAUUUCUACUUUGUAAUUUCUCUCGUUUUGAUUGCUAAAGUCAAGCCAUGCCUUUAUGCCGGGUCCCCAGUUGGCUUUGAAUAUUAAUCGCUGCAGCCCCGGUUGUCCAGGUCAUCCUCAUGAAUGUCAGCUGCACCUUUCCACAAAAAACAAGACACGUACUACCUCAGCUUUACAGAUUCUGGAUAGCCUGUGGCGUCAGUCCUUGUCUUCCAGGGUUUUAUGCAGUCCAGUGAACAGCUUCCUGCUAUCCGUUGACCGUCAAAGCACAAGCCUUUUAUACAUUUAUUCCUUAAUGGCAAGUUACUACUUUUAUGGUCAUUUUUACAGUGUGGUCGUUCAUAAAUACAAUCCAUAAAAACAUAUAAUAAAUUGAUAUCACAGUACUUUCGAUAGAUUUUUAAAACCUGCUCAAUCCAUAUAAAUAGUGUUUUUUUAUUUUCUUCUCAUGUUUUUUUUUGUUUCUCACUUGCAUAGUUUCCUCUCAUUCUAUUUCUCUUAAUCUCUUUCUUUUCAAUUCUCUCCUUCAAACCUAAGAUACUUAUAAUUUUUUCUCUCUCUCUCUGUCAUCAAUGCUAUAUAUUGGCUUUCAUGUGUCACUGAUUUAGCUUUCGACUAGUUUAGCGUGAAACAUUGGGUUUUUACCUUAAGCUCGCCUGUGACUGCCCUGCUCUCCUAAGUCAGUUUGGCAAGCGGUUGAACUUGAAGCUUCUUUCCAAUCAUCUACCAAGGUGAGAUCCCAAGGUUUGACACGCUUUUAGAAGGAAGAAGUUUAUUCUUGACGAUGUGUGCAAAAGGGAACCUAAUGCUACUUUUUUUUUUUGUUUUGUUUUAGGGUUCACUAGUUACAUACCCGCGUAAUGCCGCGGGGGUUAAUUUUUUUUAUAUAAAAUAUAUAAAAAAAACUAAGAUUUAAAAGUGUUAGGUCUUUCUGCAAAACUAUACCCAAGAGUCUUGGGUUUGGCUGCAACACCUGACCCAAGAGUAAUAUUUAUAAUAUUAAUAAUAACAUUAAACUUGCAUGACUCAAGUUUAAAAGGAUCUGGCUGCAAUACCAGACCCAAUAGCCAUGGAUGCGGAUCUAGCUGCAAAGUCGUGUCAUAAAAGUGUGAUAAUUAAAUAGAUUAAUUAAAAAGAAAAAAAAGAAAAAAAACCAACAAAAAGAAAAAAACUAAUGAAAAAAAAGAAAAAUAUCUGAAUUAAUUGAGUUAACCCUUUAAAGCAGGUUAACCCGUUAAACUUUGGAUUCGUGUCGUGAAAGUUUGAUAAAUAAAUAGAAAAAAAAAUUGUCGGGUUACCCCAUAAUUAAUUGGGCUACCCCGUCAAACCAGGGUAACCCGUCAAACCCGGGAUCCGUGUCAUGAAAGUUUGAUAACUAAAUAUAAAAAAAUUAAACAUUAACAAACUAAAUUAAAUGAAAAAAAUUAAUUAAAAAGGAAAAAAACAAAAACAAACAAAAGGCAUUAGCCUUUUCACUAUGCAGUCCACAGUCAAAGGUAUAAAAACGACAAAAAAGCAAAAAGAAAAAAAAAAGAAAAACUAAAGGCAUCAGCCGAUAACUAAAUAGAAAAAAAUUUAAUAUUAAUGAACUAAAUUAAAUAAAAAAUAUUAAUUAAAAAGAAAAUAUAUAUAAAAAAAAACUUAUAAGAGGAAAAAAACUAAUGAAGAAAAAGAAAAAAAAAUCUAAAUUAACUAGGUUAACUCGUCAAACCUGAGAUCCGUGUCAUGAAAUUCUGAUAACUAAAUAGAAAAAAAUUUAAUAUCAAUAAACUAAAUAAAAAAAAUUAAUUAAAAAAAAGCAUCAACCUUUUCACCGUGUACUGCAUUGUGCAGUCCACCGUGAAAGGCAUAAAAAGAAUAAAAAAGCAAAAAAAAAAAAAACUAAAUGCAUCAGCCUUUUCAUCAUGGACUGCAUACAAUAUUAAAAGAUGAAAUCGGAAGAAAAAAACAAAUAAGAAAAAAGAAAAAAAUCUGAAUCAACUAGGUUAACCCGUCAAACCUGAGAUUCGUGUCAUGAAAGUGUGAUAACUAAAUAGAAAAAAGAUUUAAUAUUAAUGAACUAAAUUAAAAAAAAAGAUUAAUUAAAAAGGAAAAAGCAAAGAGAAAAAAACUAAUGAAGAAAAAGAAAAAAAAUCUGAAUCAACUGGGUUAACCCGUUAAACCUGGGAUCCGUGUCAAAAGUUUGAUAAUUAAAUAGAAAAAAUUUAAUAUUAAGAAGCUAUAGAAAAAAAAAACUAAAGACAUAAACUUUUUCAUUGUGGACUGCACGGUGCAGUCCACGGUAAAAGGCUUAAAAAGAAAGAAAAAAAAACAAAGGCAUACGCCACGGGUUAAUUUUUUUCUUGCAUAAAAAAAUUCAAAAAGGUUAAGAUCUAAGAGUGUUAGAUAUUUCUGCAAAGAUAUAUCCAAGAGCCUUAGAUCUAGCUGUAACGCUUGACCCAAAAGUAAUAUUUAUAAUAUUAAUAAUAAUAUUAAACUUAGAUAUUUUAAAUUUAAGUGAGUUUGGCUGCAACAUCGAACUCAAGAACCUUGGAUAGUUCGGCCAUGUUAAAUUAUUAUAUUAAUAAUAAUAACAUUAAAAUUAUUUAAUUUUUUUUUAACGUUUUAAUCCUUUAACAACCUAUUAUUUCACAUUUAAACUAAGGUUAGCUAGAUCUUAAAACUAUGACAACGUGGAAUUUGUUUGAAUUAGAACACCAUUGAAAUGGUGGUAACGAGCUUAAUCUCGACUUGCUAGAUUGAACAAAUCACAAUAAAUUACUCGUACGUUGAAUAAUUAGAACACACACACGAACAUAAAUCUUUAAAGCCCUCAGUGCUGUUGAGUGACGAACUGGCUAAACUACUCAGAUCAAAAGCAUUCAUUGAGCUUGGAUCCGUUGCCUUUUCUUUCUUUGGACAAGUACAAGAGUCAUGGCCGUCAUUUUUUACACUUGGCACACCUUCUUUUCUAACCUUUUCAAAUGGCGAAAGAUCACCUCUCGUAAAAGCAAUUGAAGUGUCUAGCGUGGAUAUAAAGCUAGGAUUCUCGAACCUCUGAGUUAAAGAUUUAAGCUGCAAGGAAAUUUUUUUUUGGUGUGUUUAGCAGUUACUAAGCUAUGAUGAGGCCGUCUGCUUCAAAAUUUAUUAAUUGGCUCUUGGGUUUGAAGAAUUCCAGUCCCUCCAUGGUAUGUAGCCAUUUUCUAUUCCUUUUCUUUUCUUUGCACUCUUAGUUUUUCAUUAAGAUUCUGCAUGACUGGACAUACUUGUAGCAUCCUAUUUAUGUUUAAUUUUCAUUUGAUCACAAUGCUACUUAGUGAAGCCCGUGAAUUUUUUUUUUCAAAUUUUUAAUCUUUCAUUUUGUUUGUUCUAGCAGAACAUCUUCAAUUUUCCUCUCAUCAUGUUUUAGACAUGCUACGCCAUUAAUGCCAAUCUCCUUUUUUUUUCGUUCAUAAUACACGAGGAAAAUUCAUUGCUCUGUAACUACUAAGGGGAAUUAUAGUAAAAAAACUGUUCUUUCUCAACAAACUUCCAUCUUAGUGUCUUUUUUAUGAUUGUUAACCUUGGGAGAUUUGGCUUUAGGAUGGUCUUUCUUCACGUCAAGGUUGAUGACAGUAUACGACUACUGUUAUCUGAUCACUUUUCAUAGUCAUUAGGUUAUUCCUUUUGAUGUUCAAUUAUUUGAUGUAUACCCAAAUACAAUUCUGAAAGUGUUUUCACUAAUCUCUAUCAUCUCAAGAAAUUAUGUUAAUCAAUUAUGUGCUUGUUGCACGUGCUUGUGUUUACACCUUGAGCAUGCUUGAUGAUUUUCAGUAUUUUGAUUGCUACUCUAGUUAACAUGCAAGUUUAAAAUGGUAACGAUGUUUAGAAUUCACUUGUAGGUUGAUUGUGAGGUUGGAUCUUAUUCUGCAUCCAGAAAGAGCAAAUGUCAAGGUUCUUUUAGCGGCCAUCUUAAUGGUUCCUUGACAAAGGCGUAUACAACUUCAUGUGCUAAGUUGUCAGAAGAUCCACAGAGCACUAAUCUCACUUCUGAAAUGUUAAUUGAUUCAUUUGGGAGGAUGCACACUUACUUGAGGAUCUCCUCGACAGAUCGUCGCAAUCCACAUUGUCAAUACUGUAUGCCAACUGAGGGUGUGGAGCUCACUCCUAGCCCUCAAUUACUCUCGCAGAAUGAGAUUGUUCAUUUGGCAAAUCUCUUUGUAAGCUCUGGAGUAGAUAAAAUUCGUUUGACUGGUGGUGAGCCAACCAUUAGAAAAGGUAUUGAAGACAUGCUUACAGCUGUCUAACUUGAAAGGACUAAAGCCAUUGGCCAUGGCAGCCAAUGGAAUCACUCUUCCGAGAAAACUUCCAGAGCUGAAAGAAUGCGGGCUUACUUCUGUAAAUAUCAGCUUAGACACAUUGGUCCCGGCAAAAUUUGAAUUUUUGACCAGGCGGAAAGGGCAUGAAAGAGUUGUGGAUUCAAUUAAUACUGCUGUGGACUGUGGGUACAAUCCAGCAAAAGUAUAUAUCAUCUUUGCAAUUCUGUUGGUCUUUGCUUUCUCCUAAUUAUGCUCUCUUCAUAUUCAAUAUCUUAACACGUACAAUUCUUUUAUUGACUGCUGCAACGAUAAGUUCACUAUUAGUCACAUAUUUAUUUAUUUACUAUUUUCAGGGCUUCCACUGACUCUAAACUAAACUAGUUUUUUUUUUCCUGUCUUUGUUGGUUGCAAUUAGGUGAAUUGUGUGGUGAUGCGUGGGUUUAACGAUGAUUAUAUUUGUGAUUUUGUGGAGUUGACACGUGACAAACCAAUUAAUGUUCGGUUUAUUGAGUUCAUGCCUUUUGAUGGAAAUGUGGAAUGUCAAGAAACUCGUUCCUUACUCACAAAUGCUGGACAGAGUGGUAAGGUAGAACUCUGACAGGUCUGUGAGGAAAUUUUAUAGUUUCCCCUUAUCAAUUCUUUUGGUAACUUCUGUUAACUGAACAGGGGAAGCUGUUUCCUGGCCUAAAGAGACUGCAGGAUCACCCUGCUGAUACAGCCAAGAACUUCAGGAUGGCUGGGCAUAUUGGAACGGUUUCUUUUAUCACCUCAAUGACUGAGCAUUUCUGUGCUGGUUGCAAUAGAUUGCGACUUUUAGCUGAUGGAAACUUUAAAGUAUGCCUCUUUGAUCCUUCAGAGGUGAACCACAUUCUUCCAUGCCAUAGCGAUUUAUUGCUCAACUUCUCUUUUCUUCAAGUUAUAGAACCAGAUCAUAUAAUUGCUAUUGCUUCAUCUUCAGCUGUGUGUGUUUAUUACGUCUGCCUAACCUGAUUAACUUUUCAAUAUGGUCAUGCUUGUCUUUUUUUAUUUUUCUCAUGUAUUCCUGGGCAUAAGAACCAAUUCGCACGCGUACUGAAUUUGGAAUACAUAACACAAAUUUAUUAUCAGACUGUCUAUUGGUUUGACUUGCCAGUGUCAGAUAGAAAGACUAUAAGCUUCAUUUUCUUGCAGUUUCCUUAUUUAGCUGAGCAUGUGGGAUUUUCAGGUACAAGUUUAGUCAAUUAGGUAGAGUACAAUUCAGCUUUUGGGGUUUGCUACAGAUAUCAUCUUUUGUUUCUGCUAAAAUUCUGGAUGCCAUGUUUCUUCAGAACCUAUUUCACAGUUCUUACAUCCUUAAUCUUGUCCUGUCUUAAUUUGAAUCUUCCAAGUUCAUUUUUAUUCCAAAUGACUUAACUAUUGUCAUCUAAUGUAGAAAUAUUUAUAUUUAUUUUUCUUCCUUUCAGGUGCCACAGAUCCAUCACAGCAUUCUCUUUUAGAUGACUGUCAUACCACGGCACAUAGUGCUACUCUACUCUAGUGUGCACAAUAUUAUCUGCAAUUUGACUAACAGGUUGCCAAUUGAGUAGGAGUGCUCGUAACAUUCUUAGUAUUAAGGAUCUUCUCCUUUUCUUUCUGGUACCCAUCGAAGAGAAAACUUUAGUUCUUCUAUCCCACUUGCUCGGGCAGCGUCCUCUUUCUUUUCUUCUUGUGGUUGUUGCAACUAUUACAUUGAAUUUGGUUGAAUUGAGUUAUCUCAUUGCAGACUUUUUCCUUGCGUGUUUCAUAUUUAUUGGCUCAACCUAAAAUUGUCUCCGUCCAUCUUGCCUCCCAUUGACUGACAUAAAAGCAGCCAAAACCAUUUAACAAGAGAACAUUUUGUAUGAGAUCAGAGUUGUGCUAUCAUACUAAAUGGUAAAAAAAAAAAAAAAAAAAAAAAGAGAAAGAAAGAAAGAAAAACCUGUAAGAUUUAAACUCCAUGCAUCCUUGGGAUUCAUACAAACUCAGAAAUUACAAUAUUUUGUUUUGAUUUCUAAAGGUUAUUUGUCCUUUCCAGGUUAGCUUGGGAGAUCCCCUUCGGUCGAGGUGCUGAAGAACGUGAGCUUAAGGAAAUAAUUGGGGCAGCGGUAUGCAAUUUGUAGUCUUGUCAGGUCAGCGUUUUCUAAAAUAGAUAGAUGUUGCAGAUCAUCAUUAGGAUUAACAUUCCUUGCACUGUCCUAAGUUGCGAUUGCAGUUACUUCCCUGGUCCAGUGUUACUCCAUUCCGGGCUAUAGUUUUGGGACUAAUGCACAUGAAUUUUUAUUAAUGUUUAGCAACAAAUUACUAAUAAAUAUUUAAUAUAUAUAUAUAUAUAUAUAUAUAUAUAUAUAUAUUGAUUUGAAAUACAUGUACCAACUCAAGUCAAGCAAAAUUAAUUUAAGAAUAUUUUUAAAAUAAAAAAAACUUAUAUUAUAAUUGUUUUCUUCGAGAUUUUAUAUUUUAAAACUGCUUCAUAAUAAUUUUAUUUUUAAUUUCAUUAAAAAUAUAUUUCUCAAUAUAUACUACAAACUUUCAUUUAUCUAUUUCUAAAUCUUCCAAAGACUAGGAAAGUUGUUGACAACAAUUAUAUGCUGACAUAUGGUACAUAACAUCUAAAAUCAUAGCUUAAAAGAAUUGUUACAAAUUGAUGUUGUUCUUACUGACUUGUUGUUUUGUACAAGUAGAUUAAAUAUAAUUAUUAAAUAUUUUUUUUUAAUUUAUCUAUUAUAUCCCUAAUUUUUUUAGUUGUCUUGUACUUCAUUUUUAAUCAUUAGUAAAUUCAUUAUCAUCAUUUUUCAUAUGAAAUUCAUAACAAAACUUAUCAAUUCAUCAAAACUCAUUUCAAUUCAUAUCUAUUAGCAUAUAAUAUUACCCAUACACAUAUUAAUUCAACAAACCCAUAAAUUAUUAUAAACCCUAACAUUUUUAAUAACUAAUUUUUGGAGAUGUAGACCCAGUAUUUUUGGAGCUUCCAUAUCUGGUUGACCUAUUAGGAAGAGAUGAAGUGAAAUUCAAUUUUUUUUUUUGUUAAAAAUUAAUUUUUUUUAGUAUGUUUUAGAUUGUUUUGAUGCGCUGAUCUUAAAAAUAAUUUUUUUAAAAUAAAAAAAAUUAUUUUGAUGUAUUUCGACAUAAAAAACACUUUGAAAAGCAGUCGCAAUCACACUUCUAUACAAGUAAAGUCUCUAACAGCACAAGUAUAAAAAAUAUAACUGCUGGGCAAGCCAACUCUUUUCUCAAACCCAUCAGCUGGCUCAUUAUAAUUAUAUAUAUAUAUAUAUAUAUAUAUAUAUAUAUAUAUAUAUUAGACCAUGCAUAGAAUUCUCUUUAUUAAAAACAGAUAAGAGAAAGGAAUCGGGGGAAGGGGGGGCAAUUGCCCCCUCUUGCCCCUACGUGGCUCCGCCACUGCCUAUCUUUUAUGAAUGAAUUUAAAAAGAAUUUCACUGGAAAUAAAAAUACUAGUACUUAAAUCAAUGCAUGCCUUAAUUCUAGUGAAAAAUAUGCAUCCUUUUUCAUUAAAUGAUUAAAAGUUUACCAAUCUAGCUUGACUCAUGUAGAAACCAAGAGAUUCUAGCAGUAUUGUGUUUAAAAAUAAAUAUACUUUGUUAUUAAGCUUUUAUUGCUUGUCUCAUUGAAUUUAUCUUGUUUGCUUCAGAUCAAGAAGAAAAAAAGCUUCACAUGCCGGGAUGUUUGACAUUGCAAAAACGGUGAAUAGGCCAAUGAUACAUAUAAGUGGCCAAGGCCUGGCGUGUCCGCGGACCCCUUUUCUGUUUAGUGUUCAUCCAGAUGGAAAUGUUUACUGCAUUAUUUAUUCAGAUCGGUCCAACUCCAUUGUCGGUGAAUUUUUUUUUCUCUUAAAGUUGCUUUCAACCUCAAAAAACUAGCAUAUCUUAUGGUGUUUAUUUAAUUAGAAGAAUAUUAGGCUUGGUCACACCUUUCGUGGGAGGUGAAUUGGUGCUCUCACAGACAAAAUACUUCCAACUAAAAAGCUACUUACAGGUAAGAUCCUAAGCAUGAGAGUGCGGUACUGCAGUGCACUCUUAAUAUAGUACAGAGAUUUGGUGGUUUUGGAAAAAAACCAAGUACCUAGUCUGCUCUUCAAGCUUCCCUCGGGAUUUCACCAUGACAGUGUCCACUCAACGAGUUGGAGAAAUUUUACAAAAAUCUUAGCCAGCUCACUUGAGUUGUUACAAAUCUGAAACUUCCCUCGAGCUUUUCCACCUACUCUUAUACAGCAUGUGAAUCCUGCAAGCCCAAAUUUAUCUGCACUCAACCCAUCAAGAUAUCACCUGUUACCCCUGUUUUCUCUCUGGACAAACCCAUAGUUGAAGCAUUUUCUCUGGUUAGUUUAGUUACUCAAGGCAGUGAAGCAUAGGUGCAUAAAUGAGAGCGAAACUUUAUAAAUUAUGUUUCCAUUUACCCUGUCUUUAUGGUUAGGACCACUUUAUCUUACGAAGAUGCUGCGAAAAGCAUAGCAACUGAUUGCCCUUCUAAAAGUCCGCUAUGAACACUAAAUCUAAAGCUAAAAUAGAGUCACUUUUAAAACACAAUUGCAAUUCCUUUCAGGUUUGGUGAGGCGAUGCAGAGCAGAAACGACUCUUUUCAUCCCCUCAUUUAGUUGAUGUCAUUGCAUUGAGAUGAAAAACACAUUGGUGGCUAACCAUGAGCCAUCACCACCCCCAAAAAUUCGAAAUCAAUGGGCAAGACGUGAUCAAAAUUCAUCCAAGACCUUAGAAGAACUUUCUGACAUUGUAGCUGAAUGUUGUGAUGAUUACCUUUACAAUCAUUUGUCAUUUUGCGUUCUGUUUUUGUAUUUUUAUUUUGUUUUGGAGUAAUUGUAUAACUUUGAGAAAAUAUUUGCCUAGUUUUUGUUAAGAUUGUCAAAAAUGCUUUUUUGACAUGGCACAAAAAAUACAAUAUAAACUCGGAUAGUAAACCCGAAUUGUAAAAUCAUAAAAUCAGAAGUUUUUUUUUAACUAAUUAUAUAUUGAUAAUUCUAGUCAAGAAAUUAAAUUACAUUAAAAUCUGAUAAAAUAAGUCAACAAUAUUAUAAUCAAUGAGUGAUCUAAAUAAAAUGAGAGAGAUAGAUAGUAUGAAUUAAUAAAUUAAUGACAUGGAGAAAUAAAAAGUCUCAGAACAAAAUUUCUCAAUACAAGGGAAUCACUAAAAGGUAGGAAGCACAUAUAAACUCAGUGACAACCUGGUUGUUCCCAUCCUGGUUGUUCCCAUCACAAUAAGUCUUGAUAGACCUCUUUUGGGUUGCAAACUAAUGAGUUUAAAUUACUAAUCAACUAAAAUAAACUCAUAAACAAUGUCUAAUGCGCUAGAAAAAAUUCAAAUUAAAAAUAAUUAUUUAAAAAUAAAUAAAUAAAUAAAUAAAUAAAUAAAUAAAUAAAAUAGAAUAAUAAAAAAAGUCUUCAUGUUAAAAUUCAUCUAUAUAGCCUGAAUCUCUAAUUUUUGUAUAUUCUUGACAGAUUUGAGUCCUGAUUUCAAACAUGUCGUUCUCUCUCGUUUAGAUGAAUUAUUGGACCUACAAUAUAUAGUUGGAAAGUUUCAGAUGUCUAGUUUCUAUCCUAACUUUAAUCGAAGCAAAAUUCCACUGGUAGCUCUAGAUAUGUCUCAAACAGUACACAAAGAUAUUGUUUGACAUAUUUGAUAAUAUUAGUUUACUAAAUUUGACCCUCUGAAAUAUUAUGUUCCCUAACUCCAUUUGACUUGAAAAUAUACCACAAUAUAUUUUCAUAUAUUUAAUAUUUCCCUGUAAAAUUUCAGCUUUAUCCAAUAUACGGUUUGAAAGAUAUGCUCAAUCUCGCAAAACUAGUCAGCAGACAUUUUAAGGUCAAAUUUGGACAUGACUUGGUUCAUAUCACAAAUUUAGUAAACUCGUGAAAUCAAACCGAGUUUAUCGAUUUUACUGAUUUUGCACGACUUAAGUUCGAUUUUACUGGUUUCGAGUUUUUAGUCCGAUUUAGCACGUUAGAUACAUGUUGACUCGUAAAAUCCUACAAUUUUACGAGUUAACUUAUGAUUUUAACAACCUUGGUUUAUAUGAUAUCUAUUCAGUUUCUGCAAUCUGGUAUUUUGUUUUUCGCUGCUUUUGUGUUCUGGUUUUAUUUGUUUGUUGAUUAUGGCUAUUGAAAGAGAUGAUUCGCUUAGUCUAUAAGUGUGAGGUUGGAUGGAAAGAACUAUUUGUAUUGAAGUUAUGUAAUGAGAAAUUUCCUUGAGGGUAAAAAGAUGUGGAGAUAUGUUAGUGGAACUUAUGUGAUACCUAAGAAUACUGAGGAGAAUGAUGUACUUUGAUAGAUGCAUGAGAAGCAAACAAUGCAAAGAUUAUUACUUGAAUUAGCAAUUCUGUUGAGAAUUCCAUAGGUAUGUAGUUGGUAAAGUAUGAGACAACAAAAGAGGUUUGAGAUCAUCUGCAAAAGUUAUUUAUGCAAUCAAAUUUUGCAUAACAGUAUCAAUUAGAGAAUGAUAUACGAGCUCUUCACUAGAAGAAUAUGAGUAUUCAGGAGUUUUAUUUUGCUAUGAUAGAUUUUUAGGAUUACUUGGCUCUUACAGAAUCGGCAGAAUUAAAGGUAUGUGGUGCCUAUAUUGAUCGUAAAGAGGAGCAACAAUUGAUAUAGUUUUUUACAGCACUUCACAGUGAUUUUGAAGGACUUAGAGGUUAAAUUCUGCGUCGUUCUCCAAUAUCUUCUGUUGACUCUGUUAUCAGUACUAUUGACUGAAGAAAUACAUCUUCAAUCUUAUUCUAAAAAGAGAAUUCUUUAUGUUUCAAAUCCUUCUAUACUAGCAGUAUUCUCUAAGCCAUUCUCUAAUCAUCAGAAUAAGCAUUACACAAGGGUUGCCUUCGACGAGUACAAUUUCUGUAAGCAGAGAGGUCAUUGGAAGGCUUAGUGUCCCAAGUUGAGACAACAAAAACAAGUUUGGAAGCCUGAUAACCAGUCACAAUCCAAUGCCCAUACACCACCUGAGGGUUAUAAAUCGCCACACCACAACACUGCAACAAUAGUUUCAUCAGGCUUUGUCACCAAUCCUACUACUCUAGCUGAGUAAUUUCAGAAGUUUCUCUCUUUACAGCCACAUGCAAUUUACACAUUUUCUUUUGCAAGUCGGUUACCUCAUAGUUCGACAGGUAUGUUACAUUCUGAAUGGGUUUUGGAUUCUGGUGCUUCAUAUCAUAUGUCUUUAGAUUCUUCAUUUUUUACUUUUGUGUCCCCUUCGCUCUCUAUUCUUGUUAUGACUGCUGAUGACACUCUCAUGCCCUUAGCAGGUGUUGGUUUUGUUGUCACACCUCCCUUGUCUCUCUUUAAUGUUUAUCUUAUUCUGAAACUCAGAUUGAAUCUUGCCUCUGUUGGUUAGUUAUGUGAUUCUAGUGCUUAUUUAGUCAUUUUUUCCUUUUUUUUUAUUGUGUGCAGGAUCUUAAUUUCAGAAGUUGAUUGGAACAGGUCAUAAGGAGAAUGAACUAUAUAUUUUGGAUGAGUUAAAAGUGUUAGUUGCUGCUGCUGCUACUACUACUACUAUUGAUUUAUCUUCUUUUCAUUUGAGUCCUUCAUCUUUUAGUUUUUAUUUAUGACAUUCUCAUUUAAGUCAUAUUUUGUCUUCUUGUUUGAGAUUUUUGGCAUCCACAAGAGCUUUAGAAAAUUUGCAAACUUGUGAUAUUUCUAAUUGUAGUGGAUAUAAACUGAUAAAAUUUUUUGCUUUACCUUUUAAUCGAAGUAUUUCUGUUUCUUCUUUCCAAUUUGACUUGAUUUAUUCUGAUGUAUGGGAACCUUCUCUUGUUGCUUCAAAAAGAGGGUCUCGAUAUCAUGUUUUUAUUUAUUGAUAAUAAUACUCGUUAUUGUUUGGUUUAUUUAUGAAAUAUUGUUUUGAAUUCUUUAAGAUAUAUACAACAUUUCAAGCUCUUGUCAAAACUCAAUGUUUUGUUGUUAUCAAAUGCUUUAGGUGUGAUUUGGGUGAUGAAUACACCUCUAAUAAAUUUUAUGAGUUGCUUACCUUAGAUGGAAUCAUUCACCAAACUUCAUAUACAGAUACUCCUGAGCAAAAUGGAGUUGUUGAAAAAAAUAUAGGCACAUUGUCAAAACUGAUUGUUCUCUCUUGUUAUCUGCUUCUAUUCCUAGUGAGUUUUGGGGAGAAGCUGUCCUUACUACUGCAAGUUUGAUUAAUACAAUUCCAUCUUCUCAUAUUUUAGAGUUUUCUCAUUUAAAAAAGUUAUAUUAGUAAACCCCUGAUUAUUCCUCAUUUAGAGUUUUUGGUUGUACUUGUUUCGUUCUUUAUCCUCAUGUAGAACGUAGUAAGUUGUUCGCUUGAUCUGUUAUAUGUGUUUUUCUUGGUUAUGAUAAAGGUAAAAACGAGUAUCGUUGUUUUGAUCCAAUAACUCAGAAACUUUAUGUGUUUUGUCAUGUUGUCUUUCUCGAGCAUAUGCCUUUCUUUUCUAUUCUAUCAACUACUUAUAACUUGUCUAGAUCUGAUAAAUCGUUCUCCACUGCCUUCUGUUGACUCUGUUGUCAGUGAGUUAUUGGCUGAAGAAAUACGUCUUCAGUCUUAUUCUGAAAAGGGAAUCCUUUCUGCUUCAAAUUCUUCGGUACUAGCAGUACCUUCUAAGCCAUUUUCUAAUCAUCAGAACAAGUCUUACACAAGGGUUAGCUUCGAUAAGUGCAAUUUCUAUAAGUAGAAAAGUCAUUAGAAGGCUUAAUGUCCUAAGUUGAGACAUCGGAAUCAAGCUUGGAAGUCUGACAGCCAGUCACAAUCUAAUGCUCAUAGACCACCUCAGGGUUAUAAACCACCACACCACAAUACCGCAGCAGUAGCUUCCCUAGGCUCUAUUACCGAUCACAAUACUUUGGUUGAGCAAUUUCAAAAGUUUCUCUCCUUGCAGCCACAAGCAAUGUCCACUUCUUCUUUCAUAGGUCAGUUGCCUUAUCGUUGCUCAGGUAUGUCACACUCUGAAUGAGUCUUGGAUUCUGGUACUUCCCAUCAUGUCUCCAGAUUCUUCAUCUUUUACCUCUUUGUCCCCUUUUUCCUCCAUUCCUGUUAUGACUGCUGAUGGCACUCCUAUGCCCUUAGCAGGUGUUGGUUCUGUUAUCACACCUCAUUUGUCUCUCCCUAAUGUUUAUCUUAUUCCAAAACUCAAAUUGAAUCUUGCGUCUGUUGGUCAAAUAUGUGAUUCUGGUGAUUAUUUAGUCAUGUUUUCUGGUUCUUUUUGUUGUGUAUAGGAUCUGCAGUCUCAGAAGCUGAUUGGGACAAGCCUUAGGGAGAAUAGACUAUAUAUUUUGGAUGAGUUAAAAGUGCUGCUGCUGCUGCUGUCGCUGCUACUACUACUGUUGAUUUAUCUUCCUUUCGUUUGAGUCUUUCAUCUUCUAGUUUUUAUUUAUGGCAUUCCCGUCUAGGUCAUGUUUCGUCCUCUCGUUUGAGAUUUUUGGCAUCCACAUGAGCUUUAGAAAAUUUGAAAACUUAUGACAUUUCUGAUUGUAGUGGAUGUAAACUAGCAAAAUUUUUCGCUUUACCUUUUAAUCAAAGUAUUUCUGUUUCUUCUUCACCAUUUGAUUUAAUUCAUUCUGAUGUAUGGGGACCUUCUCCUGUUGCCACAAAAGGAGGGUCUCGAUAAUAUGUCUCUUUUAUUGAUGAUCAUACUCGUUAUUGUUGGGUUUAUUUAAUGAAACAUCAUUCUGAAUUCUUUGAGAUAUAUGCAGCUUUUCGAGCUCUUAUCAAAACUCAACAUUCUGUUGUGAUCAAAUGCUUUAGGUGUGAUUUGGGUGGGGAAUACACUUCUAAUAAAUUUUGCCAAUUGUUUGCCUUAGAUGAAACCAUCCACCAAACUUCAUGUACAGAUACUCCUGAGCAAAAUGGUGUUGCUGAAAGAAAACAUAGGCAUAUUGUCAAAACUGCUCGUUCUCUCUUGUUGUCUGCUUUUGUUCCUAGUGAGUUUUGGGGAGAAGCUGUUCUUACUGCUGUAAGUUUGAUUAAUACGAUUCCAUCUUCUCAUAGUUCGGGUCUAUCUCCUUUUGAAAAGUUAUAUGGGUAUGUCCCUGAUUAUUCAUCAUUUAGAGUCUUUGGUUGUACUUGUUUCAUUCUUCGUCCUCAUGUAGAACGCAGUAAGUUAUCCUCUCGAUCCGCUAUUUGUGUCUUUCUGGGUUAUGAUGAAGGUAAAAAGGGGUAUCGUUGUUUUGAUCCAAUAACUCAGAAACUUUAUGUGUCUCGUCAUGUUGUCUUCCUUAAGCAUAUACCUUUCUUUUCUAUUCCAUCCAUACUCAUAGCCUGACUAAAACUGAUCUUAUUCAUAUAGAUCCCUUUUCUGAGGAUUCUGGUAAUGAUACCUCCCCUCAUGUUCGAUCAAUUUGUACUCAUAACUUUGCAAGUACUGGUACUUUACUCUCUGGCACACUUGAAGCUCCAUUCUCAUCUACAGCCCCUCAAGCUUCAUCUGAGAUUAUGGAUCCACCUCCACGUCAGUCCAUCCGUAUUCGCAAGUCCACAAAACUGCCAGAUUUUGCUUAUUUGUGUUAUUCUUCAUCAUUUACUUCCUUUUUAGCUUCUAUUCAUUGUCUCUUUGAGCCCUCUUCCAAUAAAGAGGCAAUUCUUGAUCCGCUUUGGCAGCAAGCUAUGGAUGAGGAACUUUCUAUUUUGCAUAAGACAGAUACUUGAGAUCUGGUUCCUCUACCUCCUGGUAAGAGUGUUGUUGGUUGUCGUUGAGUGUAUAAGAUCAAGACUAAUUCUGAUGGGUUUAUUGAGCGAUACAAAGCUAGGCUGGUUGCAAAAGGAUACUCUCAAUAGUAUGGUAUGGACUAUGAGGAGACAUUUUCCCCGGUUGCAAAAAUGACUACUAUUCGUACUCUUAUUGCCGUAGCUUCGAUUCGUCAGUAGCAUAUUUCUCAGCUUGAUGUUAAAAAUGCCUUCUUGAAUGGAGAUCUUCAAGAAAAAGUUUAUAUGGCACUCCUUCCUGGUAUUUCACAUGACUCUGGAUAUGUUUGUAAGCUUAAGAAAACAUUAUAUGGUCUCAAACAAGCACCCCGUGCUUGGUUUGAGAAAUUCUUUAUUGUGAUCUCGUCUCUUGGCUUUGUUUCUAGCAGUCAUGAUUCUGCUCUUUUUAUUAAGUGCACUGAUGCAGGUCGUAUCAUUCUGUCUUUAUAUGUUGAUGACAUGAUUAUUACUGGUGAUGACAUUGAUGGUAUUUCAGUCUUGAAGACAGAGUUGGCUAGACGAUUUGAAAUGAAAGAUCUGAGUUAUCUUUGAUAUUUCCUGGGUAUUGAGGUAGCAUACUCACCUAGAGGUUACCUUUUUUCUCAGUCGAAAUAUGUUGCAGAUAUUCUUGAGCGGGCUAGACUUACUGAUAACAAGACUGUAGAUACUCCUAUUGAGGUCAACGCGAGAUAUUCUUCUUCUGAUGGUUUUGAUAGAUCCUACUUUAUACCGCACUAUUGUUGGGAGUUUGGUAUAUCUCACCAUUACUCGUCCAGAUAUUGCAUAUGUUGUUCAUGUUGUUAGUCAGUUUGUUGCUUUUCCUACUACUGUUUAUUGGAUAGCUGUUCUUCGUAUUUUGAGAUAUCUUCGGGGUACAGUUUUUCAGAGUCUUUUACUUUCAUCCACCUCUUCCUUGGAGUUGCGUGCAUACUCUGAUGCUGAUCAUGGUAGUGAUCCCACAGAUCGCAAGUCUGUUGCCGGGUUCUGUAUCUUUUUAGGUGAUUCUCUUAUUUUUUGGAAGAGCAAGAAAUAAUCUAUUGUUUCUCAAUCAUCGACCAAAGCAGAAUAUCAUACCAUGACAUCUACUACCAAAGAGAUUGUUUGGUUACGUUAGUUACUUGCUGAUAUGAGAGUUUCCUUUUCUCAUCCUACUCCUAUGUAUUGUGACAACCAGAGUUCUAUUCAGAUUGCUCACAACUCGGUUUUUCAUGAGCGAACUAAGCACAUUAAGAUCGAUUGUCAUCUUACUCGUCAUCAUCUCAAGCAUGACACCAUUGCUUUACCUUUUGUUCCUUCUUCCUUUCAGAUUGCAGAUUUCUUUACCAAGACGCAUUCCAUCUCUCGUUUUUGUUUUCUGGUUGGCAAACUCUCGAUGCUUGUAGCUGCCGCAUUGUGAGUUUAAGGGGAGAUGUUAAAUAAUAUUUAUGUAGUCUUAUUUAUUAAGGCUUUCAGUUUAACCUAUAUAUACUUUAUUUGUAUUUAGGUUAAGACUAAGCACUCAUAAUAAACAGACCAUUCAGAAUUCUAGCCUUCUUUUUAUGUUUUAUCUUAAUUAUUUUAACAGUUUGUAAGCUCAAGAAAGCGUUAUGUGGUCUCAAAUAAGCACCUCGUGCUUGGGUUGAGAAAUUCUUUGCUGUGAUCUCGUCUCUUGGAUUUAUUUCGAGUAGUCAUGAUUCUGUUUUUUUUAUUAAAUGCACUGAUGCAGGUCUUAUCAUUCUAUCUUUAUAUGUUGAUGACAUGAUUAUUACUGGUGAUGAUAUUGAUGGUAUUUCAAUUUUGAAGACAGAGUUGGCUAGACAGUUUGAAAUGAAGGAUUUGAGUAAUCUUUGAUAUUUCCUGGGUAUUGAGGUAGCUUACUCACCCAUAGGUUACCUUCUUUCUAAGUCGAAAUAUGUUGCAGAUAUUUUUGAGCGGGCUAGACUUACUGAUAACAAGACUGUAGAUACUCCCAUUGAGGUUAAUGCAAAGUAUUUUUCUUAUGAUGGUUUACCUUUGACAAAUCCUACUUUAUACUGUACUAUUGUUGGGAGCUUAAUAUAUCUCAUUAUUACUUGUCUAGAUAUUGCAUAUGCUGUUCAUAUUGUUAGUUAGUUUGUUGCUUCUUCUAUUACCGUUCAUUAGGAAAUUGUUCUUUGUAUUUUACGAUAUCUUUAGGGUACUAAAAACGGGGUACAGUCUUUUAGAGUCUUUUACUUCUAUCCAUCUCUUUUUUGGAGCUGCGUGCAUACUCUGAUGCUGAUCAUGACCGUGAUCCCAUAGAUUGCAAGUCUCUUAUUGGCUUCUGUAUCUUGUUAGGUGAUUCUCUUAUUUUUUGGAAGAGCAAAAAACAAUAUAUUGUAUCUCAAUCUUCAACCGAAACAAAAUAUCAUGUUAUGACAUCUACUACCAAAUAAAUUGUUUGGUUACGUUGGUUAUUUGUGGAUAUGAGAGUUUGUCUUUCUCAUCCUACUUCUAUGUAUUAUAACAAUCAGAGUUCUAUUUAGAUUGCUCACAACUUGGUUUUUUCAUAAACGAACUAAACACAUUGAGAUCAAUUGUCAUCUUAUUCGUCAUCAUCUUAAGUAUGACACCAUUACUUUGCCUUUUGUUUCUUCUUCUUUGCAUAUUGCAGAUUUCUUUACCAAUUCACAUUUCAUUUCUCGUUGUCGUUUUCUAGUUGGCAAACUCUCAAUGCUUGUAGUUGCCGCAUCAUGAGUUUGAGGGGAGAUGUUAAGAAAUAUAUUUAUUUUGUUUUAUUUGUUAAUGGUAGAAUAAUACUUUUAGUUUAACCUAUAUAUAAUCUCUUUAUAUUUAGGUUAAAACAAUAACUUCAGAAUAAAAUGAUCAAUGAAAACCCUAGUCUCCUUCUCUCUUAUAUAUGUUUGUAUUUCUUUUAUGUUAAUUUGGAUUGCUUUAACAUUAUCAUCAUCAUCAAUUUUUUUCUCUUCUAAUUUACAUGCUUCUUUGCAUUUGUAUGAACAAACAACUGGUCCUCCGCAUAGUGUAAUGUGAAUUAUAUGUGUGUAAAGGAUGAUAAUCUAGCAUCCUGAAAGAUUUGACAUUAUUACUGGUCAAAUAUUGUAGGGAUCUCCAGUUUCCCCUCUUCUCAUCAAAAUCUCAAGUCAAUGGACGCUAUGAGAUCAUUGUUCUCAGCAUAGCUUGGGGCAGUUUCCUUCUAAUGUUCUUCUUUUCACAUUGUUUUCUCUGGUUAUUUUAAUACAUUUCGGAUUAAUGAAAGUCAGUUAAAAACAGCAUGAUGCCAUUUCUAAACAAACACGAAAGAGAAACAACAAAACGAGCUAAUUAGAUUAUGAGUUUAGAGAGGAGGUGGGCGUGAGCUUGUCAGACUAAAUAGACAUUUCUCCUGAAUUUUCUGGUCUAUGAUUGUCCAUGUAUGAUAAUACUAUAAGACAAACGGAAGUAAAUCAUAUUGAGUGUAGUAUAAGAUUUCACAAAGUAGCACACAUCACCGUAAUCUUGCAAUUUGGGGCGGCUAGAUAUUUUAUUGAAGAAACAUGGAAGGUGUUCAAUUAGCAGCUGCUUUCAAGAUUUAUUUGUUAAGGAAGUUGACAGAGGCAGGUGUUGACUUUGUGUCUUGUCUGAAACUUUGGAUUUUCUCCUCUCGAGUUUGUAAAACUCAAAAGGAUUACAAUUGAAAGUUAUUGGAUAUGCUCUUUCAACGGAAUUCUUGGUGCCUGCGUUUAUUUUUCACUGUAAAAUUGAUCGAAUGGUUCAAGAUUUACAUUUCGAGCAAGAAUGGAUAGAACUCUGUUGAUAAACAAGCUUAAGCAAUAAGCGAAAUGACACCAGAUGAAUCUUGAUUUCUAAUAUGAAUAUUGUUGUCUUAUCAGCAUGGCUAACCAUGAUUGGCCAACAUUAUAGAAUGAACUCUCGGUUAUCCAACAGUUAACAUUUUAAUUCAUAUGAUAAUACAGAAAAACUAGGAGGAGGAGGAGAGAGGAUAGGGUUUUAGGGAGCCUCCCUGAACGCCUCUCCACUUCACAUCAAACUGAGAGCAAAAUCUUAGGAAAAAUACCAAAGCAAGCAUGUGAUUCCAAGUCUAGGAAGAAACAAAUAAAAAACAGGGUUGUAGCUAUUGCCUCACAGCCUUCCCAGUUUUUCAAACUCAAGGAAAAAAUGAAAAAUUAAUGGAGAAUAGUCAUCAGCAAAAAUGACAAAGCAAGCAUGCAAUUCCAAUUAAUUAAGUCCAGUUGCUCAGUGCAAUGCAUGCAAUAUAAAAGAUCAGCAAAAUAUAUAUACGUUUCAAUGCGUACAUGGUCGAGAUCAGAUCAUAAAGUCAAUAAUGCAAAGGCAUAUAAGCCAAAAGAAGAAGAAGAAAAGAAACCCCCAAUGAACCCAGUUCUUGAAGUCAAUCCUCCAUAGUGCUGUUUCGCUAAGCAAACCCCAUGAAACAGAAACCUGGAGAAACCAUGUAAGAAGAUCGAGGAAGUCCAUGCAAGCCCCAUACUAUAUAUGACGAAAUCAAUCAGGCGCCAUCCAUACCUGCAAACCCAUCAAAGAAACAAUAUCUAAUUUCAUCUCAACUUUUCUGGCAAGAGAGAGUCAUUGACUGACAGAACAAAGAAACACAAAAUAAAACCGGCCAUGCCCUCUCAAACUAAACUUUUUUUUGGAUAAUUGCCCUCAAACUAAACUAAUCCACCUUUUGCCAAGAAAGGUGCGUGUCUUCAUAACCAUCCAUUUCAUGAGAAGAUUGUGAAUUAGGUGUUGUCAAAGAAAAGUUGUUACUCACAUCAGGUACAAAACCUUUCAAAUCUCCAUACCCAUCAAGGGAAUUAAAGUUACUCGAACAAUUCUGACCCCCCAACAUUUCAUUUGCUUCCACCUCCACCCUGAGUUUCUCUCCUCUCAUCAAACUAGGCAAUCCUAGCUCUGGCAGCUGCUGCAUCGCUUUCUUGCUUGACUCACAUAUUGAGGAACCGGUCUUCUUUCUCUUGCCUGGAGCACUGCUUCUUGCUUUCUUCUUGAUCAUGCCUUCACUUCCACAAGGUUGACCAGUGAGUCUUUGAACAAGCUCUCUAAAAUUUGCAACAUCAGUCUUUAUAACUUUUGGUGCAAAUACGUGAAUUAUGCGAACUUUGGGCUUGAUCAACUGUGAUAUUACAUGUGACUCUCUGUGCAUGCCUAGCUUGGAAGAAGCUGAUGAACUAGGGUUACAUGAGCGUGGCCUUACUAUGCCUUCCAUGGCUGCACACACACACACACAAUACGAAGUUACAAUUAAUAAAGCAAGAAAGAAGGCUAGGAGAAGAGAGAAGGGGGCUUGUAGCAUGCAGCUAGCCAGGUUCAGAUGAAAUUAACGUGUCCGUUGUUUUUUGCAGGGAAUAAACGGAGGCUUAAAUAGAAGAGAAGUCGGGCAAUUGACUUGAUUAAAAAAAAAAUAAGGAUUUUUGGUAAUUAAUUAAGGGUCGAUAAGGCUGUCUUUUGGAUAUUCAUAGAAUCACAAAUAUAGAAUUACAAGGGUCAAUGAAAUAAACCAUCCAGCAACUGACAUUGAUUUGCCUUUGCCUUCCUGCAGCUAGCCAAGUACAAAAUACGUAUAUAAUACGUACAUGUACUAUUUAACACAUUAAUUAUCUCAAUUCCCAUCUUAUUACAGCCCACAGAGUUUUUGGGGUUUUUAUAAUAUGCUAUUAAAAUAAAACAGAACCUUGUCAGAUCAAGUUCAUUAUGAUUAUUCAAUCUUUAGGAACUUUCUUGACUUUCGAACUUUUAGUGACAAGAGAAACACAGAAUGUCGAAGGAAGGAGUUCAAACAAAUUUAAUGAUUUAAUUUUCUAAUUUUUUGAUUAUCGAUCAAUUAAAAUUAACAACACUAUAGAAAAACCUUAAGAGACAGACAACUUUAUAGUUAAAGUUUAUUUUUUUUUCUGAUUUUUUAUUUUAAAUUUUAAAACCAGCUCCUUGAAUAUAUUAAAUCAAUGUGAGAAUUUAAUUGAGAAAAAAAUUGUUUUAAAUAUUGAUGCCACCAUUAUUAAACUCAAUUUGACUCGACAGAUUAACUUAAAACCCGAUUAUCUCAUUAUCUAACUCAUGCUAGUGUAAAAAAAAAUUAACUUGAAAUUAACUAGGUCGAUUCAACAGAUCAACUCGCAAACUAGACAAAACCCAGUAAAAAACCUAGUUAAAGCUGCGUUUAUUUCCUGGAAAGUGGUUUUUGGAAAACCACUUUCCAAACUUUCCUGUGUUUGUUUGCCAUUAGAAAAGUUGAUCAACGGAUAAUACUUUUCGGUCAACGGAAAACACUUUCCGGUCAAAUAAAAAUUUGGUUUGGUUUCCAGGAAAGUGUUUUUCUUUGAUUUUGAGCGGAAAAUACUUUUCGAAAGUUGUGAAAAAUUUAGAAAUGUCAUAUUAUUUGGUGAUUAAUCAAAUUUGGUCCUCAAACUUUUGAUUGCUACAUAUAUUUUGUUUUGAAUAUUUGUUUUUCAAUUUCAUCCCUUAGAAUUUAAUUUUUAUAUUAACUUUGGUCCUCAUUUUUAUAAUUGUUAUUUGCUUUUCCCUUAUUAUUUUUUAAUUAAAAUUUUUUAUCUAUUAAAUUUGGUCAUUAUUCUUUUGAUUGUUACUUAUUUUAUUUAAAAUAAUUUAUGAAAUGUUAAUUAUUAUUAUUUUAAUUUCUUCAUCUUUCAAUUUUUUUAUUUUUUAGAUUUGAUUUCUAUUAUUUUGAUUAUUAUUUAUUUUAUUUGAGAUAAUUUAUAAUUUUUUUUUUCAAUUUUAUUCUCAUUUAACUUUUAAAUUUAUAAGAUUUGUUCCUCAUUAUUUUUAUAAACUUCAAAAAAAAUAAAACAUUAAUAAGUUAUUUUCCAGCUCAUUUUCCAUGACAUAACCAAACACUGGAAAAUGUUUUCCAACUUAUUUUUCAUUACACUACCAAACAUCGAAAAAUAAUUCACUUUUCGGAAUUCACUUUUCAAAAGAAAACUAUUUUCCAGCAAACAAACGAAGCUAAAUAAUAUAGAUUUAUUUUAUUUUAUUUUUAAAAAUGAUCUACCUUGAUCAACACACUUAAUCCUUGACCAGGCCUUACAUCAGGUAGAACCCCGGAUCAAGUUCAGAAACCAUGGUUGAUACUACAAGAUGACUGGGAUAUCUAACAAGAACAAUAAGCGUGUAAGAAAAUUGUCAAAUUAGGGAAGGUGCUAGCAAGGCUGGUGAGGUGAGGUCUUGAGAGAGAGUAACCGCUUGAUGUGUGCUCGUGGAUGUGCACGUGAAGGUGGCAGUGCAGAGGCCUUACAAUUGCAAAAGUCUGUGCUGUGUACUGAGAAUCAAAUUGGAGACGACGACACACACAAGACUCGUGCAUGAGAAACCCACAUGCUCAUAGAGUCAUGAUCCUGCAGAGAUCAUACCAUGGCUGACACCAAGAUUUGUCACAGGAAAUUCAUGAUUCUUUCUACUUUUCCCCGUAAUUGUCUCUUCUAUCACCUCUAUGGAUCGGGCUUAGGAAUCCAUCCCCUUAGGAUUAUGUAGUUAUAUCUCCAUGGCAUCAUUUUAUAUAAUUCCUUUCGGGUCAAGAAACUGGGGUUUAUUCCGACAAAAACAUGCUCUGCAUGUACACCUCUCUAUGUUCUUACGCCUUCAUACGUGAAUUUAUCUCUCAUGUAUUAGAGGGAUUUCUCAAUUGAUACUUCAGUUAUAAAACUCGUUGCUACCCCGUUUUUGUUUUCUUUUUAAGAAAAAAAUUGACAGUUUUCAAGAAGAAAUAAGUGAUAAAAAAUGGCGUUGACACAUGAACAAAUACGAUUAAUUAAUUAAUUAAAUGUGUAUUAAUUUCAACAAGUUUAUUGCCAAGCUUGUGUAGUCAUGAUGAUGGGGAUGAGAGAGUUGCAAAAACGCUGCCAACACAUCAAUUUGACUUAGCAAUGAAUAGAAAGAGAAAUUAUGAAGCAGCCAAAUCGAUUUGCCGUCAUCCAAGCUGCUUGGUAAUAUUCAAAGAUUAGUUUAAGUGUUCUUUUCUAAUUUGGAAGGAUUAACUUCAACUAUAAUUAAGUAGAAAAUUAAAAUGUUAUUAAUUUCCACUACCAUGUCGAUUACCCAUUUACCAAUACUUUAGCAAGUUAUUCUUCUGAUAGAUUACCCUACUAUUAAGACAAAGAUCAACAAUUUAAAAUUAAGAUAUAGUUAUUUGAUAUGUUUUGAUGAUGAUAAAAUUAUAGAUACACCAUUUAUUUAUAAUAUUAAUCAAUUAAUUUUAUCUAAUUGUUAUUCAUGUACGUAUCAACCACAUUGCUUGUCGCAUGCAAUAAUCCUACUAGUAAAUCUAAAUAUUCUAGUAGUGGCAUGCAAUAAUCCUAACACAAUGUUCACAUAAUUUCAGCUUAAUUAAUUUUUUUCUGUUAUGAUGUUGUAAAAUUCAAAAUAUUAGGGAAGUUAUUUUUUUUUCACAUUUGAAUGAUGGAUAAUGACAUGUUCAUGUCCAUCUUCUAUUCUUCAUAACUGAAGAAUCUGGGGGGCUGUGAUGAGGACUGAAUUUCCUGCAAAACAAUCCUUUUUUGGGAAUCUUUGGGAUCCCCGAUGAUUAAAUCAGUAACUUUAUUAUAAGAAGUUGCAGUAAAUGAACAUUAAAUUUUAAGAACAAGAAAGUUUAUCCUCAGUUUAUGCACGAUAAAUGCUGAGAAUAAGUUGUAAGAGAGUGAAGAUGAUAAACCUCUUUCCUGAGUCAUUCAUAGAGUAUUUAUAACCUUGAAUUUUCUAUUUUCUUACAUGAGGGGUCGUAGGUCUUUUCAAUUUUCAUAUCAAAGUGGGAGGAAGACCCUUAUAAUCAACAUUAAUAUUGGUUGUAAGUGUCUCCUUACAUGACAUUAAUUGUUGAUGAAAGUAUCACGUGUCUAUAGAAAAUGACCCUGCAUCAAUCUACACAUGAUAUUAAUACUGAUGAAAUCAUCCAUUAUAAUCAACAUUAAUACUAAUUGAUGUAUGGAAGACUCUUAGAAGACUUUUUACACAGCUACGGUGUAGGAACAUGAUGAACCUAGAUUCUCACCUUUAAUGCUUGUAUCUAGAGAAAUCCUUUGCUCGAAAGGGCAUUGAUCUUGGCGUUUUAGGCUUGGCACGUAACCGAGCUCAAGGAGGCUGGGUUUGACAUUUCGCCAUAUCCAUAGGCACUUAGGUUUAGCACAUAGUCGAGUUCAAGGAGGUUGAAUCUGAUAUCUUUCCAAACCCACAGAUGUUUGGGCAUAGCACACAACCGAGCCCAAAGAAGUUAGGUAUAAUAUCUUGCUAGAUCCAUAAGCGCUUGAGCCUGAUAUAUAGCCAAAUCCAAGAGGGAUUGAGCUUGGCAUUUUGCUAGAUCCCAUGCUAUGGGUCUUGGCCUCUACUAAAUUUCUGUAAUGAAUCUUCUUUUUAUUUAUCCUUUUUAGUUAUGGACUUGAUGAGAAAAAAUUGUUUUUUGCAUGAAUUACGUCCAUCCACCAUUCUGAUUAUACAAAAAAUUUCGAUUGAUUAACUUUUUCUUGACGUCCCUCUUAUUUACAUGUUCCAGUCACAUAUGCCACAAUUGGAUAGAAAGAUUAUUUGAAUUAACUAAACCAGCAAUGGUUAACUCUCAAAGAUUAUAAAGGCCGUCAACUAGCUUUCGUUUUGUAUUUAAAUUGUUUAUAAAUUCAGUGAUUACAAUUCAUAUUUGAAGGCAUCAUGCAUGAUGAGAUUAAAUCCUUUAUGUGUGUAUAUAUUUGGUUGUUUAAUGAGGAGGAAAGAAAUACCAGCAGCUAGUUUUCUUCACCCAUUGUAUGUCGUGCCAGAGACUGAUUUGAUUUUUAAAAAAAAAAAUAUUGAAACAAAACUAUUUUAAAUUAAAUAGGUUAAUUAAGGUGAAUUUAGUAAACUGUGAUCUAAAUUUUAAGUUUAAUUAUAAGUCGAGUUUUUCGAUACGAUAAAAAAAGAACUAAGAUUUUCUUUUCGUUAAUAUUACUGAGAAAUUAAGCAAAGUUCAAAAUUAACUAGUUAGCUGCAUUGGCAAAAUUAAGACACAAGUUUGGAUUCAAGAACUAUUUGACAUUGAAACAAGGUGUGAGUACUUUUGACUGGUAAUGGAGAGAACCAGCAGGAGGUUGAUUUGUAUCAACAUGAAGCAUGCGUAAUUAGAAGGUGAUAUAUUAUUAAUAAGUUGGAUUAAAUUAUGCAAAAAACCCAAAAGGAAACAGGGCAUGCACGAUCAAGAUGAUUGUUAAGUUGUCUUUUUAGCCUAACAACCGAUUACAACUCGCGCAAUGUUUUGUCAUGGAUUCUCCUCUGCUAGCUACAAAAAGUUUCCAAAAUAUUUUAUCAUAACUCAUUGGAUCAUGACUAUUAAUUAAAAAUUGUAGUUACAACUUUUCUAAAAAGAGUUUGACUUUACAAGUUGGAGUUUUUAUAUAGCUAAAAAGUCUUGGAAAAUCAAGAUAAAUUGCAAGACUUUUUCUUGGUUUUUUUAUACAGAUUUCAUUUGAGGUACGUAAAAAAUAAUAAUAAUAAUCAAAUACUGGGAUUUUUGUGAAAUGACGUCUCCUCCUCCCCCUCCUCCCCCUCCUCCCCCUCCUUCUUCUGUUUAAUUGAUUAGCCACGCACCUUGUUUAUGAAAGUUUAGAAACAGAUUAAUGGACAUUAAAAAGAUAAUUUAGGCAAAGUUGGGAAACAGGUACGAACCCUACAAUGCCUCCAAUUCUCCUACGUUUCUCCUUUUCUUCUAAAAAUCUUGAUUUUAAAAACUAGCUAGCUUGAUUUGAAUUCUAUUUGACUUUGAGCAAGUAAUAUUACAAGCUGAUAAUACUAAAUUUAUACCAAAUUAAGGCUUAGAAAAGUAUUUUAGCCUUAGUAUAGGAGCGUGGCAACUAGCACAAGUAAUUGCAAAAUGCUUGUUUUCACACAUAUCCUUCCCCGGACGUAAACUUCACCAAAUAUUUGGAGGUCACUGUCUACAAUACGUGAUUAACAUUUGACAUAAUUGUUAAAUGGUUUGCAGCUUUCUUUGGCUUCUUUUGUUAUUUUCCUUUUCUUGUACAAGAAGUAUCUGCAGUUAUGAAUUGAUUGAAUGAACUAGAAUUUAUAAAAAUAAGCAUUUUAAAUUUUAAAAUUAAAAUAAUAUAAUUUUAAUAUUUUUACAAGUCAAAUCUAGUUUUGACUUAAUUAAUUUGGACAACUCUAAAUUAACUUUCUUUUAAUCCAUUUCAGAUCAAGAAAUGGAUCAAUCGAGUUCUAGAUUAACUUAUCUAGAUUGGUGUAAUAACUUCGGGCUUCUAUAUUGUUACCAUAUCACGUGUACAUGAUCUAUUAUUUAAAACAGAAAACCCUUCUAGAAAAGAAAAUAUAUUUUAAAAGAAAAAAACAUUAUACACGAUACCACAAACAAGGACAAUAAUAGGUACCAUUGGUCGAGUUUUUUUUAUUUUCAUAAGAACUCGUUACCUAUCGAAUAAUGAAUUUAGAUAUUCAUACUAUAUUUAUUGGGUUUUAGAUAUUCAUAUAAGUAUUUAUUAUUCUAUUAUUAUUUAAUAUUCAAUAAAAAACAAAAUAGUAAUAUAUAUUUGAAGUAUUUAUAUAUGUAUUAAAUGAUAUAAAUACUAUAGUGUAUCAUAUCAAUAUUAAGAUAUGUAAAUAUUACAUUGGAUUAAAAAAAAAUGUUCUAUAUAGAUUUAUAUUUAUAUAAUACAAAUAUAUAUAUAUAUAUAUAUCAAGUUAAGUGUGAGUAGAAUUUCAAGUUGAAUUUAACAAUAUUUAUACUAUAUUUAUUACUUAUUAAAUAAAAUAAUUAUCUAAAAAAAAUUCAUUCAAUCAAGUUGGUUCAGCAUGGAAAACAAGGAUGUGAGUUAUUACUAUCAACGAAUAAAUUUGAGGACACGGUCUUGAUAUAUAUAUUUUUUCAUUUUAAUUUAAAUGUCCAACCAACUUGAUUGAAGCUUUAUUAUUUCGAAAGACUUGGUGGUAAAAAUUAUGGAUGCUUAAAUGAUUUCUUUCGUAUUUAAAAUAAUUGGUUUAUUAUCGAGUGCUCCACACGCGAUAUAUUCAUGUUACUUUUUUUUUUAGUUUAAUGUGAGUGUCCGGGUCAGCUUGCGCGCACCUCAACUAAUCCCACGGGCCAUGAAGUUAACGACCAUGUAAGCUUCCAGUAGCCACCAUAUGAGCAACCACAUGACUUGAACCUGAGACCACAGAGAGAGCAAACCUCUUGGUUCUAAGUUCUUACCACUGGGCCACCAUCUAGAUAGUUUGUUACUUUUAAUUUAUAAAUAAUAUAAUAUAUUGCCUUAAAAUUGACAAUCAAAGAAAACCAAACUCCAUCUUUGAAAAAAAAUCUAUAUAAUAAUCUUGAAUAAUUCGUAUAAAAUAAAAAUCUUUAGAAUCUUCCAUCUCUAUGAAUAUUUAAAGUUAAGAAGCUAAGAUAAUUUGCCUUUUUUGUUGUUAAAUUGUAGCAGAAACAUUUUUUUCUUUCCAUCAUUAUUUUUUUUCAUCUUUCAAAUUCAAGAAUUAAAAUCUAAAUAAAAUAUAAUUUUUAAAACAUAGUAAAUAUAAAAUUAAAAAAAAAUUGAAUAAAAUAAAAAAUGCUUGAAGAAUAAAAAAAUAUUAUAUAUAUAUAUAUAUAUAUAUAUAUAUAUAUAUAUAUAAAAUUUUAAUUUCCAAGUUCCGAAAAGAAAAUUCUUAAAACCAUUAACUUGCUGGGAAACUUUUGGGUUGGGCUACGUAGACUGACCGAUGCAUCUUAACCUACUUCAUUUAAUAUUUUUUGUUUAAAGCAUGAGAUUAUAUAAUGCACGCUACUAUAUCAUUUUCUCGCAUUUGUCCCCCUUAAUUAAUUAUUUACCAAGGAAUCUGCAGCACGAUCAAAUUUAAUUUAAGACUAUUGAGAUUCUAAAUAAAUAAAUAAUACUUUUGAGAUCUGCACAUUUUCUUUCUUUUGUACCUAGGAGGAAAGUGAAAGGAAAUUAAAGGAGAGGAUAUACCCAAAAAAGAAAUAUUGUUAAUGAAUUAAUUAAUAAGGUGACACCUGGAAGAUGGAUAAAGAAAGAUUGUGAUAUUACAGUAAAAUGUUACAUUUUAAUAUAUGAUAGUUUUGGUGAAAUGUAAAUUGAUAUAUGGUAAAUAAUGCAAAGAAAUAUUGAAAGAAAUUAAUAGUAAUAUGGUUAAGUAUGUAACAUUUGAGAUUGAAAAGAUAUUGAUGUGUUGCCUCUCUUUUUGAAAACUACGAAAGGCACCAAGAGUUGGAGCGAUUGUAGUUGGAGGGGAUUGACUUGCUAGAGAUGUAUAUAGGUGUUCAUCACCUUAUUUAAAUUUAAAAGUUAUGAAGUGGUAUUAUUAUAAACAAGAUGUGAAGCGAUUGUUGGAAAUGUAAAGUAAAGAGAGGAAUAAUGUCGCGAAUGUAAUGAUUGAUUGAGAUCUACGAGGGGAUAGCUAAAUUAUUAACAACCAAAUAGGUUAGCCAGAUUAUUCGCAACCAUAAAAAAAUAACUGAAAUAUAGGCAACCAAAUAAGUUUGUUGAAAUUAUAGUGUUCGUGAGGGAAGCCAGAAAUUGCGGCAACAAUGUAGAAUAGUUGAAAAUAUUAAAUGUUAAUUUAAAAUAUAUGGGUUAAUGGUGUUGAUUUGAUCAAAAUAUUAGGAAAAUAAUUUAGAUAUAUAUAGUUGGCAAAAUGUAUUGUUUAUUAUUAUUAUUAUUAUUAUUAUUAUUAUUAUUAUUAUUAAAUCUUUAUGUUAUUAUUUGUGCACUUACAAGUUAUUCACAUUACAAGUUCUUCACAAGCCAAGCGGAGCUUUAUGUUCUAGUAUAAUAAAUUUUAUAGCUUGAUAAUAAAUUAAGAAAUGUAAUUAAUAAUAUACUUUAUAUCUUUUAGAGAUGUAUGGUAUUAAGUUUCAGGCUAGAUGUUUUAAGCUUUUGAAUAGGAUUAAUUACUUGUAAAUAAUAGUGUGUAUGGUAUGUUGAUUAUUAUAUAUUAAUGAAGUAAUUUAAGUAGAUGAAUUGUAUGUUUAAUUUUAAAUUUAAAAACAUGUUUAGUAAAAACUUAUGUUUUAAAUUCAUUCACUUGCUAUGUAACAUGAUUGUUUGAUACUAAGAAAGAAUAUAUGUAUGUUGUUGGAAUGUUAAAAAUGAAAUUGAGAUGAGAUGUGAUCCAUGAUGGUCGGGUCAAAUAUAAGAUUUGAAAUUAAAUGUGUGAUUAGAGUAAAUAUCAAUAAUUUAGUAUGCUUAAAAAUAGAAAAAACUAUAUUAAAUUUUCUGCAAGGACAUGUGAAAUAUAAAAAUAAAAUCUAAAAAAUAGAUUUUUUUUUUGUCAAAGAGUUGAGAAUAACCAUAAUAUAUAUAAUAUUUAAACAUGAGGAUGUUAAAUCCAUGAUUUUUACUAGAUUAGAUUAGGUCAGGUCAUUCUUUUUAUUACAUUAACUUGGAUUAGUCUAAAUUCUAAAUUGACUAAGUUUUGGAUUGACCUAUCAAGUCCAUCCAGUUUAAUGACUAAGUUAAACAAGACUUAAUGUUCAUCUCAAUGAGAACUAAUAAAAAUGAAUUUUAACUAGCUAGGAAUGAAUCAUAUCUAGCUAGGAAGACAUUGAAUCCUUUUCGCCUCAUCCCUCCCUUCUCCCUUUUACUUUGUUCCUAUAUUCAUCUUCUUCCUUUUACUCCACCACCUCCUCUUCAAUUAUAUAUAAUACUAAACAUAAUUUUAAAGCAUCAAAUAGCUUGAUCACAAAAAAACAUAACUUAAAGUACGCAUUCUAUAGAAAAUUAACUAAUUUCAAACUUCAAACUGUAUAUUCUUGAUAUGAACAUUGAUACAAUACUGAAAAAUGAACCAAUAAAUUAAAGAAUCACUCAAAUCCUCAUACAUGCAUGCAAUAUAUUAAACACAAUUUUGCACAAGUAAUAAAAUUAUAAUUCUAGCUAUAAUCACAACACGUAUAUUUUGAUCAAAACCCAGUAUAUAUAUGAAGCUAGCUAGCUAGCCUAAUCAAUUAAUUAAUCAGCAAAACAAGACCUUCGAUCUUUAGACCUCUCCACAGUAGGGGAUUGCAUUGGCGUGGUCUUUGAAGAAGCAGGAGACAACUCACCACCAGCAGGCAAGUCUUGUAGAGCAGCAAGAAUCCGUUGGAUGCUAACAGAGCGAGCUAUCUUGAAGCUAGAUGAUCUCCUCUCCCUAUGUGUCUUGGAGAAAAUAUUGGAUGAUUUUGAAAGGAUGACAUAAACCAAUGCUUGCACCGCAACAAACACCCCCACCUUCAAUAACAUGUCCCCUGUGCUGCUUUCCAUCAUCAUAAUAUUUCUUUCGUUUGGUCUCAGUGUACACACAAUUGAAUAGCUUGCCGAAUCCUUUGCUCCAAUUUCAUCUCAUAAAACCACGCAUAUAUAGUGAGAGGCAUCAGCCUUCAGCCUUGCUCGUUUGACUGGGAGGCUCACUUUUUUAAACUUUGAAUCAUUGGGCAAGUGGGCUUCUUGUUCAUGUAUAAAUAUAUAAUCUUUAAUCCUUUCCACGCAUAGAUACGUGUAGGAUGAUAACAACUUGAUGUUCACACAAUUGUAAGGACAGGGUCCUACCCUCUGUAUUCCGUGCCCAGACAGCAACUAAUUGGCCGAAACUUACCGCCCCAAAGGCAUCGCGUGGAAGUUUCCAGGUAGGGUUUACUACGGGACCUGGUCAAUCUUGAUUUCAUGGUCUACAAUUAAAGCCCUUAAACAUUCACCGGUCAACAUCACCAGCUACGCAAGAACAUUAGCGAUUACUAAUUCUUUGGUUUAUGGUAUGGUAGGGAUAUAAUUACUAUUGUUCAAUGGAAAAGUAAACAUGGAAUCCUGCUAACUAUUCAGAGUUCAGUGAACGUGAUUAGGCUUAGUUUCACGUGCAUUUAAUGGUUCAAAUUAAUGAAUGCUUGAUUUCAUUUCUUAAAGAACUGAUCAAACUUUCUAUUGAUGGGGUCAUGAAGAAUGAUGAUUAGAUUACUUAUACAACACGAGACUCGAGAGAGCUUUCUGCUGUUAUAUCAAAAUCUCUAGAAAGAAAGAAAGGACGAGUUCCAAGGCAGAAGGUGUUUGCUUCCAAGGCAUUAUGCGGCUCCACAACGCUCCGUGUUGUCCAUUUGCUGCACGUGACACAUUAUUUUCAAUCCUUAGCCAAAAGCUGGUGCCUAAACUACUGGAUUUGCCCCCACAAGCACCUUGAUGCUACGCAAAUACAAAUUAGAUUUGAUAGUAAUUGUAUAUAAAAGGUUACUUUUUUUCCAGAAUCUGAUGAUCACGAUCUUUUACUGAAAAGGGCUCAAAUGAUUAUUAGACCUUUUAACGGCCGAAACAAAUAUUAGGUAGACUUUCGAAGUUUGUAGUUACUGCCAACUUUUUUUUAUUGUUGUUUGUUCCUCAUUAAGAUAAAAUGAUGAAGAGCCAGCUAAGCUGCCUUUUGCAACGCUUUCGAAGGACUAAAGUUGGUAAAAUCAGGCAAUUGGAUAUUAUAUCUGAACUAUUUUUGAACUUGAAGCAUUCCCAAGAUGAAGAAAACAUGAUAGGACGAAGAAAAAUCAAUUCAACCACGCUGUAUUUCUGGCCAAAAUCCAAUCCCAAACAAGGUAUUACUUUACAAUAUCCAUAGUGAAAGUCUGAAGGGGAGAAGGAGAUGCACAACCAUCACAAGUUCUUUGUGUAACACAAUCGUUCACUGUUGAUUUACACUUCACUCGAUCAAUUCCAAACCAAAAACCCAAAAUCCCCAGAAGCGUUUAUUUACCUGCAUUCAAAUUCUGAAAUGGACAUGUAUUAGUUAGUUAAUGACCAAUACCAAGUCUCAGCCUGAUAUAAAGAAACAGUGUACCAUAUAUGCGUAAAUUAACUAACUAGCUUGCUAACAAGACCUGGUUAUCCCAAUUGUGCAGGGACACCAUGCCAGAGCUAGACAUGCUUGCAAAGAUCUCCUAAUCUAUAUUAUGCCCUGCCAAAAUGGUUUGUUCGUUGUUAGGAAUCAACAAAUAAUCAUAGCAGUCUCUGUAUCCAUUAACUCUUUUGCAGAUUAAUAGCACAAUUCUCUGAUUGCCAACUUUACGAGGCACAAUCCUAUGACAGGCUAAGCUGGAGCUUCAUAGAUGAUAAUUCGAAGGAAUUUACUGCACAUCAGGUAAAACCUACAAAGAGUAUUUGUCCUAAACAAAGACUACAUAUUAAUUAUGAGAAUUUCAAGCACCAUUAGAUUUACAGUAUAUGAAGAAUCUCGUCAUCCAUCCUCAUCCAAAACAUUACUUCUCAUGGUCUAGAUUUCAUUGGUACAAGUUCUGAAAAUUCUCUCUAUACAUUAAAAUUUGUUGCAAAUCUAUAUAUUUCAUCCGAGGAUACAACUGGAUGAAUUAGUUUUCUGGUCAUUCUUUUAUCUCACCCAACUAGAAUGUUAUGAUCUGGAAUCAAGUUAUAUCCAAGAAAAUGAUUUGUGAAAUCAAAUUCCAUACAUACAAAUCUAGCUUAAAACCAGUAGAUUAUCCCUAUCCCUCAGGGCUUAGCUUUCUAGUUUGGUAUGAUUUUAAUUGCGUUAUAGUCUAUCUUCCCAAAUUCCAUGAAUACCACCCUGUAUGUCAUCUAUGUUCAACGAGAAUGCAUUACAGGAAAUUGACCAGGCAGUAUGCUCAGUCAUAAUGGGAGAAGAAACUUUACUCUAUUCUCAUCCACAACACGGUUUUAUAGACUUUUGUACAGGACUAAGUUCAUUAGAACCGAGCAAGAACAUUAAUAUGAGGAAACAAAUUACUUUAACAUGGUUGAAAACAGACACAAAAUCUGUUCAACAUAUAUAUGCCAAGAACAAGAGCAAGGCAAAAUUUAGCGAGCUAUCAUUGCUGAAAUUUAGUAACUAGAAAGUAUUACCAUCGAUUUGAUAUAUGUAAAUUCAAUCAGAAGCAUUUAGAAGGACUUUGAAUUCAAAUGAAACAAUUUUUUGAUUGACCUAAAAUAGGGACAGCAAGUAAAAAGACAGCAGACAACAUACUCCUAUUGAAUUGUCAGAGAUAGCAGAAAUUGUGUGAGGUUAGCAGUUAGACACAGUCAAUCCAAGAUCAAUGCAACGUUGAAAUUAUGCUUCCAUACCCAUAACCUAAUAAAACAAGUUUAGACAAUCCUAAUUACUGCUACUCAAAUCAGCAAAUCAACAAAAUUCAGAAGCACAAAUUCAAUAUCAUAAAGAAACAAAACCAAUGUGAAGAAAAACAUGCAACAGUCAAUAAAAAUCCAAGCAUUCACCCCUAAAAUCUAAGCAACCCACAUAAUUCUGACAUGAAAAAAUAUAUCCCACCAGUAUUUUUUAUUAAAAAAAACUUUAAAAUUAAAGAAAUUGAAAGAUUACCAAAAGUGUGGAGGAAGAGAGGUGGACAAAACCCCGACAUGAGCAUGAUUAGCAUCAUGAUGAGGAUGAUCAGGAGACCAAGUUUCCAAAUUCUCCUCUCUGACUACUGGCGUUUGUAACUGGAAGCGACAGAGAGGACAAGAGUUGUGGUUAGAAAGCCAGGGGAGAAUGCAGCCUGGAUGGUACAAGUGACUGCAGGGCAGCUGCUUGGCCUCAACAUCAAUCAAGAACUGAUCUUUACACACUGCACACACAAGCAUUGGAUCCAUUUCUAGCAUGCAAGAAGUGAUUUUUAUGGUGGGGAUGAUAGAGUCAAUAGUGGCGUUUAUAUUAUCAUCUUCACAAUCGCAAUGGCUAUUGGUGUUGAGAUGUUGAAGGAAGUUGAGGAAGGAGGGGCUGUCAAGGAGGAAAGUGGUGGUGUCAGCGGCGGUGGAGGUGGGAAUGGGGUCCAUGAGUUCAAGAAAGUCAUGGUGGCAGUGAGGACAAAGAGGAGUGGUGGUGGUGAGAAGGUGGAUGCUGAGGUCACAUUCAUGACACCAGUAGGUUUGCCAUUCAUUUGUUGGGGUGGAAGACAUUGUUGGUGUACUUUUUUUGUUGCUCUGAUCAGUGUGACUUAGCUUCUGGCGUUGUAAUCUCUUCUUGGCUAGGCUGAUUCCCUGAACAAUAAUGGGGUAAUAAAAAAGAGGAAAGAAGGGAGUGGGGGGGGUGGGGGGGUUGUGAGAUGUGGAUGUGAAUCUGAAGGAUAACUUGUUAUUUGUUUGCUUCUAGUUUGGAGUUUGGAGGAUGGAAAGGAAACGAGGAGGUUAGGUGGGGUCUAUCUAUGUGAUAUUGUGAUGUGAUGUCCUCUUGUGGCCUUGGGUAGCUGCCCUUUCUUGUCAUCUUAGCUACGUUUCUCUCUUAUUCAUUACAUUGUAAUAUUUAAGACGGAUCACCAUCAUUGACGUCGCUUUGGCCGAGUGGUUAAGGCGUGUGCCUGCUAAGUACAUGGGGUUUCCCCGCGAGAGUUCGAAUCUCUCAGGCGACGUAUUUGUUUUUUUUCUUCCCCGUACUCUUUCCAACAUCAAUCAAAAUUGUCAGGAAAUCCACAACUAGUAUAAUCUAGUUAACAGGUGGAGAUUUCAGUAUAGUAAAACUGAAGACAAAUACAAGCCUGCAAUUAUGGCUGCUGGCACAAGAUGUUGGCUACAGACUACACCUCAGGUGAAGAUUGCGAGUCCUUAGGGUACUUUGAACUUCGUCGAUUCCAUUGAAUGGUGAUUUGCAGAAUCUGCUGUUUUUGAAACUGUUGGAUGAACCAUCUUUAUUUAUUUUUGCAAUGUCAUGUGGGUUACAUUUACAUAUUUGGAUUAUAUCUUAUUAGGUUUCGAAGCAAAUGCUACAAAAGAAUAAGAAUUUUCAUAUCUUUACCAAGAAUCUGAUUAUGUGGAAUGAGAGGUAGAAGGGUGUCUUGGUAGUCUUGAAAGGUGGAAUUGUAUGUGCUGGUACACACAGAUACAUAUGUUUUCCCAUAGCAACCCUAUAGCCCAGUGGACAGUAGUCUGAGAUUUAGCGCUGAGCGCCAGUGAUUAGUAAUUAUGAAGUCAGGGGACGUCCGAGAUUCUAUUUUGUGCAAAAUUUUGUAGGUUUUUUUUUUUUUUUUAUGGGAUUGAUUGCUUUUACAGAGAAAUGAUGAUCCGACUUCUAUUUUGUAUUUCAAUGCAGUGCUGCAGAUUUACAAUAGCUUGAGGAGUGGCUCAGAAAAUUGUCAUGGCUAGUAUGGUCAAGCAAAUGCAAUUGAAAUUCAACCAAUAUUGAUGUUGUUGUGUGCUGAAAUCUUGGAUCUGCAACGCAAGAUUAGGUUUUCCAGUAUUGCCAUACUAGCUGUAUGGUUGUGCUGUGCGGCAAGACAUUGUGAUGGUCAGGAAGACUGUUCCUCCUUUUCUGCCUCUGCUCUGGUACCUCCUACUCCUCCUGCUGCUGCUGCUAAUUUAGAUAGUCAUGGGUUUGAAGAUGAUAAAACAUCAACGGAGUCCUAGUUUUAAACACAAGUGGAGAAGGCAGAGGUAAAUCUUUACCUAGAAGAACCUAGCAAUUAUCUAAAUACUGAAAUUGAUGUCUCACAAUAUUGACUUUCAUCUUCAUUAGCAGAUUCAGGGCUACCAGGAAUUCUCACAAUUUCUUAGCCAGCUAAGUUUGCUUUCGUUAUUGUAAACUCUGUGUUCCGACUAUAUUUUAUGGACUAUACAUUCUGGUUGUCUAAAAUCUGGUCUAGGAAAGCAGGCAAUUUGGGGAAGUUAACUAUUAGUGUAAAGAUAGAUAUUUCUGUAUGAUAAUUGCUUGUGAGUGAGGUGAUUUGAACAGUGUCAUUUCACUAUUGAUACUGUUGAUGAGUCUUCUUUAGCACAUUACAGAAUGUGGUGGUUUCUUUUUUCAAAUGCCCUGUAAAGGUUAAAUAAGGAACACUUGAGAUUUUGAUGCAGUUGGCAUAUAUACUUAGUGGAGAAUAAGCAUAUCAAUGGAAUCAUGUUCUGUUCUCUCUAGUUACUUGGUAGGAAAGACCAUAUUCUUGAGGACUGAAGUGGAUGCCAUGAUGUGUAGAUGAGUAGAUGACAUUCAACAAAAUGAAAUGAUAUUGUUCUGUUCAGUGCAGGGGAUCCUUUCAAAGCUUCUAUCUGAACAAAUUGUAUGCAAAACCCUUGACAAAUGCCUUCAAACUGGCUUAAGUUGGCAAGUUAAGGUGCAAAAUCAAAGCAUAGAUUGCAGUCAUAAACUAAUUGAGGCCCUGGAAUUUUAUGCCUCAUCCCAGUUUCUGAAGCCUGGAUUACAUCUAAUCAGCCUGUAGAUCCCAUAUUGUAAUUGAAAAGUGAAACUCAGACAAGAUCGCCAUUUCUUAAAUAGGAACAAAAAUUUAUUGCAAAUCAAAGAGGCAGAGACAGUAACACACAUAUGACACAAAUUUUAUUGAAGGGGGCAUUGACAUUGGAUUCGAAAAUUAACACAACUAGAGCUCAGCAGAGAGAGAGAGAGAGAGAGAGAGAGAGAGAGUGCUCAAGCUGAAGAAGGCUAUUGAGGGAGAGCUUAGAGGCCUCAAGAUUGGCAUCUUUCUUGAUACAAACCCUGGUCGUCAUCUUCAAGAGGGCAGAGACAGUAACGCAUAUUACACACAUUUUAUUAAGGGUUUCAAAAUUAACACAACAAGAUCUCAGCAGAGAGAGAGUUUACGGUCCAGCCGAAGAAGACUGUUGAGGGAGCUUAGAGGCCUCAAGAUCAGCAGCUUGCUUGAUAAAACCCUGGUCAUCAUCUUCAAGAGCCAUCUGAAUAGGACUAGACCCCAACCCAUCAGCAAUAGCAAGCAUGAUCUUCUUCAACUCUGACCUGUACUCUUCAAGAUCAACACUUCCACUCUGAUCACAAUCAAACUUGUCAAAGAUUGAGUCAUACAGAUUUGUGAGCUCCUCAGGUGCUGUGGCCACGUCCACUCCAAAGUGGGUUUCGAUCAAACGCAAGGUUUCGAAGGCCUUGCGGAGUUCAGAGCGGGACAAGACUCCAUCGUUGUUGAGGUCAAGCUUUGUAAAUGCCUCGUCCACACUCUUAUUGAACUGAGCCUCGUCGUUAACAAAGUCACGUACUGUUGAUCCAUCUAUGAUCACCACUCCCAUUUUUCGUUGAAAUUUUUUCCGCUCCCCUUUCUCUGUUGAAGGAAUGAAGAAAGGACUGAGAUGAGAUUUCGGUGGCGAUUAUUAACUGUUCUAGGGAGACCUUAGAUUAGUUCCAAUCUUAUAUAUACUCAUUCUCAAUUGAGUCCAAUUCUAUAAAUUCUAUCAAUUUGAUCCUCAACGUUUUCUUAAGAAAUAUCAGGUCUUUCUUAUGAUUUCCAUCAAAAUUUCUUCCAACUGACUCCCAUUUUAGUACAAUGUUAAUAUUUAUAAUUUUUUCUGUUCAAUUGCGUUAAUUCAACGCUGCUUUAGCGUAUAGAAUAUGCAUAUUAAAUUUAAAUUAUCAAUAGAAAUUGAUAAAAGGAUGCAAUUGAGAAAAAUAAGCAAUUUUCAAAACCUAAUUGAUAAAAUCUAGCAGUUUGGGGUCCAAUUUAAUACACGUAUAUAUAGGCUUAAGGCUUUUCUUGGGAAAUUUCAAAUUAACCAUUCUCAAUUUUACCAAAAAAAGAAAAAGAAAUUGUUAAUUGGACUCCUGAAAGUUCAGAUACUCCAUCUUUUCCAGAACACUAAAAGGAGGACUCAAUUGAGAAUAUGUAAAUAGAUUGGGGGAGACCAUUGAGAUAUUCCUUUUGUUUUCUUUUUCAUGGCCGGUGCCUUUCUUUCUGAUUUUCAGGGAUGCAAAGUCAGGUGGCAAAAACAUGAGGCUACAAAUGUGUACGACGGACAGAUGGUGUCCUACCGUCACGUUGUGCUGUUGGUGCCGCGGGUUUCCCAAAUCCACUUGCUAUGCUUUGUUGAUUUUUUUAGGACAGCUUGCAAUAUUUUUGUUUUUACACCUGAAAUAUGAAAAAAAAAAAAAAAAAGUUAUUGACCAGAAUAGGCUUGGGAUCCAUUAUACAAAUGGACCAAGUCCUCCUAUGAUGCCAGGGCACAGGCUGAACAUGUUCUUGUGAGAGCCCAUCGGCCCAAUGAGACAUGAUGGGUGACAAAAGAGCAAAUAAAUAAAUGAAAUGAAAUGAAAAUAUCUAAUGAUUUAAGGCCAUUAAACAGGAACAAAGAAAGGAAUGAAAGGCAAAGGAAACUGGAAGAACAGGAGGAAUGAAGAGAGGAUUGAGAUGAGGUCCGGGCUGCAAUUAUAGAUUCCUUUUCCAGUUCUGAAUAAUUUGAUGGUGCUGAUAUUGGAAUUCUGCAGAAAAUGUGAGCGUUUUUCUUUUCCUCCAAACACUCGGACGACAACUUCCCAGCUUGAGAUACACGGAAUGGACAGCCUAAGUUGUAUAGUGGGAUUAGCAGAGGAUGUAGUAGAGUGGAUUCAAAGCUGUUUGCAGCAUCAAAAGGUUCUCUGUAGCUUAUAUGGCUAGUCUAUUGGAAUGGAUGGUACCUGCCUGCUGUUGAAGGUGGUGAUGCAGCUACUGGAAUACAACUAGUAUUUCCUUGCCUUGAAGUGUUUGUUGUACAUUAUGAGUCAUGCCAUGUUGAACACAGACUUUGAGCUUCAAGACUGAAACAUCUAUAUUGAUUUUUAUUUUUUUUAUUGAUUUUUUUUUUUUAGAACUUGGUCUGAUUUUCAUUAAGACCAUAUUUUUACAGGUGUACAUGAACAUGAUUAAGAUAUUUUUUGUUAUGUAGCCUAGCGGCCCACUUUUUAAUAAAUAUUUUCUUUGAGACCUCCUUUAAGUUGAUAAACUUUUUCUUUGAUUGUAAACCCGCAUUACAAGCCUUCAAUGUCUUAUCCAAGUCGUAAAACUAGUGGAGCAUCAUACAUCAUUAUAAAAGAUUUUGAAAAUAAAAAUUCUAGUACAGUUUUUAUUUUUUUGUGUGAUUUUUUUUAUUGAUUUUGUUUUUUUAGAACUUGGUCUGAUUUUCAUUAAGACCAUAUUUUUACAGGCGUACAUAAACAUGAUUAAGAUAUUUUUUGUUACGUAGCCUAGCGGCCCACUUUUUAAUAAAUAUUCUCUUUGAGACCUCCUUUAAGUUGAUAAACUUUUUCUUUGAUUGUAAACCCGCAUUACAAGCCUUCAAUGUCUUAUCCAAGUCGUAAAACUAGUGGAGCAUCAUACAUCAUUAUAAAAGAUUUUGAAAAUAAAAGUUCUAGUAUAGGUUUGAAGUUUUGGAAGGGUGAAAGAUCGUUUUUUAAUUUGAACCAAAAUUUUGUUAUGUUGAACGAUAAAUUUUUCAAUAGAAAAGGUUAAUGUAGCUUUAAUGUUUUUAAAAUUCAAAAUGGUUGGAAGGAGUGUAUAAUAUUUUAUGUUUGGUUUUGAGUAUUUUACGUCAUUGGUUUCAAUAGAACUAGUGGAGCAUCAUACAUCAUUACGUCAUUGGUUUUAAUAGCUUCAGAAAAUGUGAGAGUUUUAUUGUUUUUCAUUAAUGGCAUUAUAUUUCUUACAAUGGAAAAGUAAAUUUGAAUUUUGCCUAAUGACGUGCAAAAUAUAAGUGUGGGGCAAUUUGAUAAAUGCAAGACAUACAUAUGAUUUUAAUCCUUACAUUAUGUUUUUUUAAUGUUUCUUGAUCUUAUUUGAGCUUAUUAGAAGUUAUUUAAUGAGUUUGGCGUACCUAAAAAACUUUGAGAAUUAAUUGCUAAAAGAUAAGAAAUUCUGCAUUUUAUAUUUUGGACUUUACUUCUUGUGAUAGGUUUUUUACCAAGUUAGAGUUCCAGAAUGUGAACGUAGGCUUAAUCUAAGUUUAAGUACACAUAUCAAGCUUUUCAGAAAGGUAUUAUAGGCAUAAAUCCGAGUUUAUUUGGAUCUCUAAAUAGAACUGUAAAGAUCAGGUCGGAAUCCUACUUGUAGCAAGAUUCUCUGUUUUCACACUUAAUAUUCCGACGGACAUAUCUUGAGCUUUAGAUAUCGAAGUCAGGCCAUUCAAAAGCCUAAAUUCAUCGGCACAUUCAGGGUGACAAUGUUUAUGAAGGGCUCCAUAUCAGAAAGAAUCGUUUUCAAGAUGAAAAGUCUAACGCAAGAUGAAGGACGAGUUUUAUCUCCUAAUCUGAAGGAAAACUAACAGUUUGAGAGUAUUAUCGUUAAGAAAAAAAUCUAAUGGGAUCAAAUAGAUUUUCUCUACAACCUAUAACCUCCUAAUCUUUACCCUUGAUAUCUUAUUAUGAAGGCUACCUAUUAAGAUAUAAAAAUACCAAGAGAUCAAUGUGAGAAGGGAUAUUUUUUUUUUUUGUUGGAAUUUUCACAAAGGACUUAGCUACUGGAAUUUCCUAGAGGAUGAGCAAUUAAAUCUUGAGUUCAGUUCAAGAGAAAUAGACUUUCUCUCCCUUAGCAGUUGUGAAAAGUAACGUUUUCAUUGUAAUUCUUUCAUAUUCAAGUACUUAUUUAUCAUUAUGCUAUUGAUUUCUUUUCAUGGUAAUUGAAUUGUUUUGAGAUAGCACAUGUGCUUUCUAGUUUCUUUCAAUCUAUAAUUGUUGUUAGGGACAAGAAUGAAAAGCAAAAGAAUUAACUUGAUUGAUACAACUUUCACCUUAAUUUGUUAGAAAAGAAUAAGCUAAGUUAAAUUGUUCAAGUUUUUGAAUGGUUGCUUAGAAUAAAUUUAAUAGAAUUUUCUCCUAAGGCUAGUGUCGAGUGAAUGAGAAUUGUUUUUCAAUAUUAAAUUCUCUUGAUGAUAAGAAAUUGAUUAGAAAGUUUUGUCUAAUUAAUUUACUCAUAAUCUCCUCGACCUCUCUUAGCUUUAAAUGAUAUUGAAUUUAUUUGCUUAACUUGUAAGGAUAUUUAUGUUAGUUUGAUGAUCAAUAGAUUUAUAGGAAUGAAUGUCUAGACCCUUGAACUAAAUUAACGAUAUAUCGAUUCAGCAUUUUAUUUUCAAAAUCUUGUUUAAAUUUUGAUUCAAAUCACCUUCUGUCCUUUUUUAUUUCAGUAUCUUAUAAGAAGAUUAAACAAGAUUUUUCUUAGGUUCACUCUGGUUUUCACGGUCAUACUACAAAAUUAUUUUGCUAUCAAUAAUAAAAUUAAAAUUAUAUUUUGAAGGUUUCAAUUACUAACCAAUUAGAGUUUGCCUUACCCAAUUGAAGAAAUCGCAAAUUGGUCCUCUCUCAUAGGAGUUGGAGGAAUUUUCUGGCUCCCUUGAAAACCUACUCAUAAUGGGAUGGGAUGAUAAACUGGAGCGUUGUACCACAUCAGCUUCAACACCUCACUUCCGAAAUUGGAGAGAGGAAUUUUUACCUUUAUCCUCUAUAUUUUAUAUGUUUAUUUGAUUCUCAUGUUUUAUCUUCCCUUUGAAUUUACUAAUGAAUUAGAACAAAAGAAAGAAGAAGAUGAUAGCUUGCCAAAACUCAUUGCAAAUUCUUUCUCAUGCUGCUAACUGCUUGCCUACUAAGUACACUACUUUUCUUUUCUUUUUCUCUGGCGUCUAAUUGAUUGUAUGUAGCCACUGUUCACAGAGUUGGUUUCUUUCAUAGCUUCUAUUUAAAUGUCCAAAAUUUAAAAUUUUUGCCUUUCUGCUUAAUUAACGCAAGGCAUGACUUUUUUUGCAAUCCCUGUUUCCAUAUGUAAGAUAAUAAUUGCUUGCUUUUAUUACACCUACCUUUCUGUUCAUAAUUUUGGUUCAUAAUUAACGCAAGGCAUGGCUUUUUUUGCUUUCUUUGAGUGCAAAUGUGCUGCUCUAAUAUAGCAGAUUCAAUUUCUAAUUCCUGUGUUAAGGGUUGCUUUCGUUAUUGUAGAAAAAUUGACUGUGCAGCUUACACUAGAGAUAUCUAUUUCUGAUAUUUUGUUUAAGGUUACGGUGUCUUUUAUUGUUUUGUUUAAUUGCUUUUCCAGCUGUUCUGCUCAAUUUUAAAUCAUAGGUGAGGAGUUAAGCACAAUAGUUGGUUCUAAAAUAAUAAACUUAUUAUAUUAUUUUUAAAUUUUGUUGCAAUUCAAUGGUGUGAUUCAGUUUAGCAAGCUCAUAGACAAGUAAAACACCUGCCUGAUUCAUUGUCUGCACUUCUAGACUUUUGUUUCAUUUUCCUAAUGCCAAUUUGGUUGUGAAGGUCCUGCAUGAUGGUUUAUUUGCUUUUUAAUCUUUCUUUUCUUUUCUUUUUUUUGAACCUGAUUGAAUGAUCACACAUUGGUUUAGGGAUUCUGAAGGAAGGAUAAUACUUGCAGAUUUCAAGAAAGUGGAUAAUCAGGCAUGUGCACAGAUUGCAGAAGUCCAAGCUAUUAUACAUAGAUUAGCAUAGGCAAGAGCUAUUGGUUUGCUAGUACAGAUGUGGAACUUGACAGAUUCUUGGUUAUUUCGCAAAAUGACAAGCCGUUUUAGUCUGCACUACUUGUAAUCCACCUUAUAUGAUGAUGUUGAUAUUGUGGACCUAGGGAUAUGAUUUUUUGAAACAGUUGUGGUUGUGACUGUUAUUUUAUAUAACUUUAGGAUUCUGUUAAUAUUUAUCUUUAGGCUAAAUAUUAGGAAUGAGUUGGAUUCCAUUUAUAACACAUACUUCCGUGUGUAUAUAUAUAUAUAUAUAUAUAUAUAAGAAGAGUGGAACUCAGGGGAUACUGAUUCCAAAACAAAGUUCUCUGUUUCUGUUUUCUCUAGGUUUUCUAAGUAUCUUGACAUGGUAUCAAGAGCAGGUUACUAGAUUAUCUGUCCUUCAUGAUUUUUUUUCUCCUUCUCAGGAGAGCUUCCUUGUGGGUUCUCUAUUCUCGGUACUGUCUUAGUCAAUUUUUGGAGACCUUGCUUUUUAGUUCAACAACCAGGAUUUCAUCAACUUCCAUUCUGUUUUUGGGUUCUAUUCUUGUUUCAGUGGUUUUUGGAUUUCUGCAUUUUUUUUCUCUGGUUCAGUUGGGCUAUUUCAGCUCAUAUUUUUUCUGGUUUGGGAAUCACUUUUUAGCGCCAUCUGUUCAAGCAUUCUGGUGAGUUACUUCCUUUUGGCACCUCUGUUGUUAUUCUCGCGUGUGAUUAUUUUCCUCCACUGCAUCAUCAUGUCAUACGAUAAAGUUGACUCGUUUCAUAUUCGGUUUACUGGUAAAAACUAUUCUGCUUGGAAGUUUCAAUUUAAAUUAUUUGUUAAAGGCAAAAAAUUAUGGGGUCAUAUUGAUGGGAGUACUCCCGCACCUCAAGAGGUUGAGGCUUUGUCUAAAUGGGAAAUCAAGGAUGCUCGGGUUAUGACUUGGAUUCUUAGCUCAGUUGAGCCUCACCUUAUUCUCAAUCUGAGGCCUUAUACAACUGCCGCCACUAUGUGGAAUUAUCUUAAUCAAGUUUACAAUCAAGACAACAUGGCUCGGUGUUUUCAAUUAGAGUAUGAGAUGGCUAAUUUUACAUAGGGAAGUCUCUCCAUUGAGGAAUAUUUUUCUGGUUUUCAAAAUCUUUGGGUUGAUUAUUCAGACAUUGUUUAUGCUAAUGUUCCCGUUGUAGCUCUAUCUGUUGUUCAAGCAGUGCAUGACACAAGCAAGAGAGAUCAAUUCUUGAUGAAGCUUCGUUCUGAUUUUGAAACUGCACGUUCUAAUCUGAUGAAUCGUCAUCCUGUACCAUCUCUGGAUACCUGUUUGAGUGAACUCCUUCGUGAGGAACAACGUAUUGUCACUCAGACUGCCAUGGAACAUCAGGCUAAUGUUAAUGCACCUGUUUUUGUGGCUUAUGCAGCACAAGGGAGGAAUAAGGGUAGAGACAUGUGUGUUAUCCAGUGCUUUAGUUGUAAAGCUUUUGGUCAUAUUGCUCGGGAUUGUCCUAAGAAGUUCUGUAACUACUGCAAGAAACAAGGUCAUAUCAUCUUUGUUUGUCCCAUUCGACCUGAACGGAAGCAAGGUACUGCUUAUCAUGCCUCCACUAGUGCCUCUAGUUCUACUGCAUUGCCUGUUGCCUCGCCAAUUGUUCCUAUUCCUGCUCCUAUAGCUUUAGCAAACCCGAAUACACUCACUCCUGAAAUGGUACACCAGAUGAUUAUUUCUGCUUUUGGGCUCUCAGGUAAUCAUAAAUUUUCUUCUAAGCCAUGGUAUCUUGACUCUGGGGCCUCUAACCAUAUGACCAAUACUGUUGUUCCUCUUUUCAAUGUUAGAAAUUAUGAGGGCAGUCUAAAAAUUAACACUGCCGAUGGCAACUCUCUGCCUAUCAGUGUUGUUGGUGAUCUUUCCUCUUCCUUAACCGAUGUUUUUGUGUCUCCUGACCUCUCUACAAAUCUUAUUUUUGUUGGUCAAUUAGUUGACAAUGAUUGUGAUGUCCAUUUCUCUCAUUCUGGUUGUGUUGUGCAGGAUCAAGUGUCAGGGAAAAUGAUCGCGAAGGGGCCUAAAGUGGGCCGACUCUUUCCUCUUUACAUUUCUCCUUCCAUUAUUAUUCCUAGUUUCCCUUUAUUGUCUUUUGCAUGUAAUGUUGUUGGUUCUGAAAAAAAGAUAUGGCAUAAACGUCUAGGCCACCCAAACUCUGAUGUACUUCAUACUUUGAUUAAUUUUGGAUUAUUGGGAAAUAAAGCAUGUUCUUCUCUUGAUCUUUCUUUUGAUUGUACAUCAUGCAAACUUGGCAAAAGUAAAGUUCUACCUUUUCCUCGUCAUGCAUCUCGUGCCUCACAAUGUUUUGACAUUAUUUAUAGUGAUGUUUGGGGUAUUGCACCCGUUGUUUCUCAUGCACAUUACAAGUAUUUUGUUACUUUCAUUGAUGACUUUAGUCGUUUUACUUGGGUUUACUUCCUCCGGGCUAAGGCUGAAGUUUUCUCAGUCUUUAAGUGCUUUCUUGCACUUCUUGAGACUAAAUUUUCUGCCCGCAUCAAAGUCUUGCGCUCUGAUUCUAGCGGUGAAUACAUGUCUAAUGAGUUUUAUGCCUUUCUUCAAAGCAAAGGGAUCAUCUCUCAGCGUUCUUCUCCUUCUACACCACAGCAAAAUGGUGUUGCUGAGAGGAAAAAUCGUCACCUUCUUGAUGUGGUACGAACUCUUUUACUUGAAUCAUCUGUUCCUCCUCGUUUUUUGUGUGAAACACUUUCCACUUCAGUUCAUUUGAUCAAUCGCUUACCCUCUCCUACGUUAAAUCAUGUUUCUCCUUUCUUUAAGUUGUUUGGUCAUUCUUCUUUAUAUUCUAAUCUUCGUACAUUUGGUUGUGUUUGUUAUUUUCAUCUCCCUACUCAUGAACGAUAUAAACUUACUACUCAGUCUGUUAAGUGUGCUUUUCUUGGUUAUGCUAUCCCUCAAAAAGGUUAUGUUUGUUAUGAUCCACAUGUUCGUCGCAUACGAGUUUCUCGGAAUGUGAUUUUUUUUUAAAAUCAAUAUUUCUUUCCAUCUCAUAUUGAGCAGCCAUCUGCAUUCUUAUCUCUUUUGCCUAGCUUUUCCGAUUCCACAACAAUUAUGGAAAGAUUCAAACCUGGUUUUAUUUAUGAAAGACGUAAUCGACAUGAGUCUGGUUCUACUUCCCCCGUGCUCCCUUCCGAUCUUGACUCGACGCCUGAUCCUGCUUUUACUUCCACCACCCUUCGUCGGUCCACUCGUCCUUCUCGACCCCCUAAUUGGUAUGGUUUCUUCUCUCCUGUCUCUCUUGUUGCUACAUUAUCCACUAUUUCCGUUCCAUCUUGCUACAAACAGGCCAUGAAACAUGAGUGUUGGCAACAUGCAAUGCAAACAGAACUUCAAGCACUUGAGGAGAAUCAUACUUGGGAUAUUGUUCCUUGUCCUCCUACAGUAAAACCUAUUGGGAGUAAAUGGGUAUUUUCUGUAAAACUUCAUUCUGAUGGCUCUUUGGACCGACACAAAGCUCGCCUCGUAGCUCUGGGUAACAAACAGGAAUAUGGGGUUGAUUAUGAGGAGACCUUUGCUCCUGUUGCUAAAAUGACCACAGUUCGAACCAUUUUAGUUAUUGCCGCUUCACAGUCGUGGCAACUACAUCAAAUGGAUGUGAAGAAUACCUUUCUUCAUGGUGAUUUGCAAGAAGCGAUUUACAUGAAGCUUCCUUCUGGUAUGACUACUUCUUUUCCUCAUGAUGUCUAUAAACUAAAGCGUUCUCUGUAUGGGCUUAAACAGACACCCCGGGCUUGGUUUGAGAAGUUUCGCAAUACAUUUCUUGACUUCAAUAUCACACAAAGUAGGUAUGAUUCUUCUCUCUUUUUUCACACGUCUGCGUUGGGUAUAGUCCUUCUCUUGGUUUAUGUAGAUGAUAUUAUUAUUACUGCAUUGACUGUGGUUUGAUUACUAAGCUUCAACAACUGUUACAUGCAACUUUUCAUAUGAAAGAUCUUGGUCACCUCACAUACUUCUUAGGAUUGGAAUUUCAUCAUCGGGCCAAUGGUAUAUUUGUGAACCAGCAUAAGUAUAUUCAAGAUCUUAUUACUUUGGCUGGUUUAGAGGACACUUCUUCUGUUGAUACUCCUAUGGAGGUAAAUGUCAAAUAUAGGAAAGAUGAAGAGGACCUUCUAGAUGAUCCUACUCUCUAUCGGCGCCUGGUUGGGAGUCUUAUCUACUUGACCACUACUCAACCUGAUAUCUCCUAUGCUGUUCAUCAGGUUAGUCAGUUUAUGUCUUCUCCUCGGCAUCUCCAUCUUGCUGCAAUUCGACGCAUCAUCCGCUAUCUUCAAGGUUCACCUACUCGUGGGUUGUUCUUUCCUACCGACUCAUCUCUUCAACUUGUUGCCUAUAGUGAUGCUGAUUGGGCUGGGUGUCCAAAUACACGUCGAUCUACUACGGGUUGGUGUAUGUUUUUAGGUAAUGCCUUAAUUUCUUGGAGAUGUAAGAAACAAGAUCGUGUUUCUAAAUCCUCUACCGAGGCUAAGUAUCGUGCCAUGUCUACUGCUUGUUCUGAAAUAGCAUGGCUACGCGGUCUUUUUGAGGAGCUUGGGUUUCCUCAGACUACUCCUACUCCUCUUCAUGCUGAUAACACUAGUGCUAUUCAGAUUGCCACCAAUCCUGUUUUUCAUGAACGUACCAAGCACAUUGAGGUUGAUUGUCAUUCUAUUCGAGACACCUUGGAAAGUCGAGUGAUAUCUCUUCCUAACAUCUCUUCCGAUCUCCAAGUUGCUGAUAUCUUCACCAAAACUAUGACUCGACAGCGACAUCAAUUUUUUAUUGACAAAUUGUUGCUAGUUGACUUACCAGCAUCAAUUUGAGGGGGGAUGUUAUUGUAUAUAACUUUAGAACUCUGUUAAUAUUUAUCUUUAGGCUAAAUAUUAAGAAUGAGUUAAUUCCAUUUAUAACACAUACUUCCGUGUGUACAGAUGAAAUAUAUAUAUAUAUAUAUAUAUAUAUAUAUAUAUAUAUAUAUAUAUAUAUAUAUAUAUAAAAGAAGAGUGGAACUCAGGGGAUACUGAUUCCAAAACAAAGUUCUCUGUUUCUGUUUUCUCUAGGUUUUUAAGUAUCUUGACAGUGACAGCCUGUUGUCACCUAGAGAAGAACCCCACUUUGUAGUCUAUUUAUUGAUUUACUGGAACAGUUUAAGUGGACUACAGUCCCAUGAGGUUUACUCCAUACUGCGGGUUUUCCACGUAAAAUUAUCGUGUCUUGUUCUUGUGAUUGCUGGUCUUGGAUUGUGUUACUGUUGUAUAUUUUGAUUCAUUUUUGGAGAAGUAGUGGGACUUGUGCUUGUUUAUGCCUGCUAGAGCAAAAAUUUACUGAAGCUAGUGGUUCUGAGUGGCUCAGGAUUUCUGGUAUCCCACAAAUCAAGAUGGAUCUCCACUUUAUACAAAGAAGUUUCACAUCAUCAAGUUCUAUUUUUUUCUACAAGAAGUUCUCAAAAGACUCAUUUUUUAUGCCGCUAUAUUAUCUAUUGUUUUGGGAUACAACUUCAUUUUUCUUGUAUUAUCUUGUCAGUGAAUGAUGAACAACAACAUGUCUCAGUGUUAUCUCAGUUGAUUUUUGUAAUCUAUCUCCAAUUAAUGGUCUGAUUUUUUUUGGUAACCUGAUUUUCUGGGUUUUAAUCACUCUCAAUCGGAUGUUUUUAAUCUUAUCAGUGUUAUGCCAAAAUUCUAGCUCAAUCUUCUGGAAAUCUUAUGCCAAUGCUUGGAAAACUGGUUCAAAAAAAUUUCAAUUCGUUCAGCAAUGAAACUUGAUUCUGAUAUCAGUUGUGUCAGAGGAUUUAAGGCGUUCAAUAGGCAGCAACUUCCAUUUUCUGAUAUGUAGAAAGUCUCAGCAACUACACAUGCGAGCCAUUCUGAUAAAUUUACCUCUAAUGCUUUUAGUAAUACAGGCACGGCUAUUGCUACUUGUAGAUAUCUUGCAUGGGAUAGAGAACAUGGUGGCGGAUUAUCUUCCUAAAGUGACUCAACUUCAAUGAACAGUUGCAAUAUUUUUGCUCUGUCUAAAGGCAAGUGUUCUGGACUGUGCAGGAUGUUGUCAUCGUCAAUGCCAUUCAUUUUCUUCCGUUUCUUCUUGCAUGUAUGUUUCAAUCUCUUCACACUCAUAGGGUGUAGUCCAUUUGUAAGCUUAAACUACUAAUAUGAGUUGAGCAAGACAACUUCUUGGCAUUGAUUGAGCAGGACAUUUAUAAUAAACAGAUCACAUAAAAGCUGUGUUCUGAAGGUAUUUACUUACUGAUUAGAUUAUAUGGAGGUAUACAGUAGAAGAAUUAAUUUACUUAAUUAUUAGCUGACAGAUUAGUUUCAAUUUUCAAAAGUUUUAUAACAGAAGAGUACAUCAAAACUCUCACACACCCCUUCUACCAGAGUCAGACUUGGUCAAAGAUCUUAAUCUAACAAGAAACUUUGCCUUCCUCUUCUUUCCAUUAGUCUUCCCCGGAGAUGAGUCCCAAUUCUCCGGUGACCCCACCGUUAACACACUCUGAGGUGACCUUGUCAAGGCCGCCAUAUCUUCAUACUCUAUACUGGUAUUUAGAUGUUCAGUGCUGCCAGUACUCAAAAUUCUGGCUUGCAUUGCAGACACCACUUCUUUUAUUGCUAAAUCAACAUUGUUCCCUCUAUUCCGCAGCAAUAUCUCCCCUAUCUGAGCAGGAGUGAGUGCGCCACCUGACCGUAUACAGCUCUCUACCACAUCAAAAGAAGAAUGCCACUCUAUCCCAAGAUAGUUCAUAGCCAAUGCCUUGAAUGCAUGCAUCCCACAGGUGCCUAAGCUAACAUGCACGUCCAUCCGCCCGCAUCGAACCAAUGCAGGAUCCACAUUUUCUCGAUGAUUGGUUGUGAACACUAUUAUCCUCUCCUCCCCACAACAAGACCAUAAUCCAUCUGUGAAGUUGAGGAGACCUGAUAAGGUAACACGCCCACUCUCCUCUAAUAACUGAUCAUUGCCUGUACCCAGGUCCUUAUUAUAACCUGAUGAUGAUGAUCUUUUCCUUCUUGUUGCAGUAGCAGUAGUGGCCUUCAUCAUUCUAUCAGCAGUCAGAUCAAGGGAGCAGUCUAUGUCCUCAAUGACAAUUAUUGAUCGAUUACUAGUCUGGAUUAGUAGAGCUCUGAGCUCUGAGUUGUCAGUGACUUUGGUGAGUUCAAGAUCAUAAACAUCAUAGCACAAAUAAUUAGCCAUUGCAGCUAUCAGACUUGAUUUGCCCGACCCUGGUGGACCAUAAAGCAAGUAUCCCCUCUUCCAUGCCCGUCCAACUCUGUGAUAAAACUCUCUGCCACUAGCAAAUGCCUUCAAGUCCUCCAUCAUCUGCUUCUUCAAGUGAGGCUCCAGAGCCAGCGUUUCGAAGGUGGAUGGAUGACGGAAAGGAACUGAGACCCAGCCUGACUCGUAUGAAGCAUUGCCAUUGUUAGUAAACAGCCUCCUUUCUCUUGACACUCGCUCAAACUCUUCAGCACGUGAUGUCACGUGCUGGAUAUAAGGCGACAGCAGCAAAUGCCGGAGUCGCUUUGGAAGCUUGAGAGUGAAGCUACGUUUCUCUUCUAAUGAGUCCUGGACAGUGUCCACAUGGUGUGUCCAAGAAAGAGAAUGGCCAUUGAAGGAGUCGUGGAUGGUAUGAUUGGGAGCUAUAGUGAAGGAAAUGCAAUUGGAUGACUUGGAACGGGAGAGGGUGAAGCGUCGGCAGGUGGAGGCAGUGGCAGAGGAAUUGACAGAGUUGAGAUAGAGGUUGACAUGGCGGUAGAGAUCAUUGAUUUCAACACCACAGUAGCCAUUAAAUUCAGGGAUGUCAAAGUAUGAAUAUGGGGAGAUGAAGUCCUGGAGGGACUCAUAGAGGGAGUGAAGAAGGGAGAGGAGUUGUGUAGGUAAGAUGUUUUGAAGAACUGUGAGAAGGCCUAAGAGUGACCAAAGUUGUGACAAUAUCUCCAUGUUUGUCUGUUGUAUGUUUUUUGGGUUGGUGAAUUGUGAUUUUGUCUCUGCCUAGCUAUAUGCAAUGUUUGAGGAGGUUCGGCAUUUAUAUCAUGGAAGAUGACAAAUGGGAGGAGGGUGGGGAUUGUUGAUUGAUGAUUAUGUUGGGUAUAUAGUGUAUCUAUAUGGUUUUGAGUAAGAUAUAUGCAACCUUAUGGAAAACUCUAAAAAGAGACAUAUGAAGGCAAAGACAGUGAGUGUUCAGAGGUCUGGAAAAAGCAGCAGCAAAGAUAAAGCUAAAGGUGAAGCCGACCAGUCUUCUUUUGCUUUUGUUUUUCCAUGUAAGCUGCAAUAGCACUAAUAGACGCGCUAGCUAGAGUAGAAAGAAAGAAAAAAAGUAGAGAAGAGGCACACUAGGGCAUGGAGUGUGCAUGUAAACACACGAGAAGAUAGAUUGCUUUUGCUUUUGCUUUUGCUCCCCUCUUUACCAAUCAUCUUUUGCUUUUUCCUUCUCUUAAUAUGGGGUUCGCUUAGGUCAGAGAAUGUUCUUGGGAAUAAUUACACUCAUCAUGAUCAGAGGAUAUAUGCAUGAUAAUUGUGCAAUUGGUGACAGCAUAUAGUAGUAGUCCCGUAAAUCCUAUUCAUGAUGUUUCACAUUUACACUGUAUUACAUAGCUCUCCCAUUCAAUCAAUCAACUUGGUUCUCUUUUCUUAAUCUGACUUUCUUUUCUCUAUACAUGCAUCAUCACUGGAAUUAAUAUUGAGAAAUGUGUUAUAUACCUUGAGAGGCUAAGAUUUGCCGUGGCUAGCCACUUAAUUUCGGAUGAUUGCUAAAAAAAAAGUAUUAGAAGUAUAGAUAUAAAUCCCGAUUUAGCUCAAGACUUGUUAUGUUAUAAGUUGAAUAGGUCAAUUCAGAUUAAGAAAAGAUAUAAAAUUAGUCGAGGUUAAUCUACUAAAUUGACUAGAUUAACUUUUAAUUUUGAUAUAAAACUCCAUCCAAGUUAAUAAAUAAUUAGUUUGUCUUGCUAGCUAGGUUAUGUUAGGUUUAAUACGUGGCUUGGUUGCACACUUGAUAAUCAGCUAUGACUACUAAUUUCAGGUCCGAUCAUGAUGAAAGUGAAGCUAGCAGGAGAGAGGUCUAGCUAGGUGAGAACAAUAGAAAGGGAAAUAGGGCAUAUUGCAAAAAUUAAUGCUGCCACUUUUAUAUCCUUUUAUAUUCAGAAAAUUAGCUUUGAAGAUGACGAGUAAAGUUUCUUGAGAAAUCCCAGGAAUAAAAUUCACAUGAAAGGGAAUGUGGAAAAGUUGUAGAAAUUUCAUUGUUAAUUUGUUCGAAAUUAAUUAUAAAGAUCCAUUUGGAUAGUCCACUUAGUCUAAAAGGAGUACUCCGACGUUGGAUCUUAUAUAAUCACCUUGAUCGUGCAUGCCCUGUUUCCUCAUGUCAUCAGUAGUUUUUUCAUGGCAUUAUAAAAUUUUAGAAUGCAUGAUUUAACCAAAUUUAUGCUGGUAAAUGCACGAUCCGAUUCCAAGCUGGGAAAGAAAGAAUUAAUCACUGCUCUAUUUUCUUCACUUUUUUUGUUGUGAAAAGAAGAGUGGCGGUGGAUAAUGAGCGGAUCGAACAUAUUCUCUUCCGCUCCACUCGAAAAUUUCUCAAAACUUUGAAUGCUUUAAUUUGCUUUUAAGCAAAGUUUGAUUUACAGUUCUUUUGCCAAAAUUUGGUCCAAAAAUACUUUGAAGAAAGUGAGGGAUUGCUCACCCUUCAGAUUGCAAUCUAGCGGUGAUAUACCGCUGUCCUACAUGUGUUUUGGUUACACUUUUAGUUUUUUUAAGCUAUGAAAAAUGGUUGAGAUUUGUUAAAGGAGAAAACAAAGCAAAAGGGGAAAAAAGAAAAAAAAGGGUUUUUGUUAACAUGAAAAGCCACAACCAGCAAGCAUGGAGGGCUUGGAGAAAACUCGGAAAGCUGUGCUUCUAGCUAGCUAGCUAGGAGAAUCAAGAAUAAAGCCAUGGAUUAUAAAGGCUCCACCUCCAAUGUCAAACAUCAAGUGGCUAGGAUUCCAUCAACCAAGAAUUCUAUCAUAUAUAUAUAUAUAUAUAUGCACACUAUCAGUGUAGUAUAUAAAGCAUAGUUAAUUAAGAUGACCAAACACAGUAGAGUUGUCCAUGCAUGCACUGUAAUUAAUUUCUUUUCAACAUGAGUUUGCAUUGCUUUCCUUGUCAAAAUCUCAUGUUUUUAGGGUUAUUUUAACGUAUAUUUUGCGUCUCUAUAUAUGAUGGUUGGUUUGCUAAGAUAACUACUUGUUGUGAUGAUGGAUGACGAUAGUUCUUCCCUUGAAAAUCAUCAAAGAUCAUUAACGACCAGUCAAGAGGCAUUGACAGUUGGGAUUCUUCUUGUCCUAGACUAGGACUGUACUAAGUGUACUUUAUUAACAAGUGGAGAGACAGUGCGUGGACAAAAGCAGUGCUUUAUUAACAAAAGAAGAAGAAAGAGAUAAAGAAGCUUUGGAAUGGCAACUUAUCCACCUCACACUGCGCCCUCACACAUGAUGAGAAGAAGAAGAAGAAGCAGCAGCAGCUAGCUAGAUUGGGUUUUGAACUUCAUUAUAAUUUAUAUCCCCACAACGAAGAAGAAGAAGAAGAAGAAGAAGCUAGGUAGAUUGGGUUUUGUAUGUAAUUAUUAAUAAAUUAAGAAGCUCUUAUGAAUAAACAACGUCCGAUUAAAAGGAAAUUGAAAUGAAAAAUCAAUUAAAAUGCUCCUUUUCCAUUUUUAAUUUAAGUUUUGUGUCUGUGUGUGUUAGCUUCACAAGUAGAGAUGGCAUAUACUAAAAAGGGAGGGUUGGAUUUUCACAUGACAUUAAUCAUCUAAUUACAUCAUUUAUAAGAUAAUCCUGGUAGUCACUGUUUGAGCACUAAAAAAUGGGAUAAAAAGAAAAAGGAAAGCAUAUUUGCAUUUUACCUAUAUUGUACUGUUUUAAAUUAUUUAUUUCACAUUGAGACAUCUUGUUAUAAUUAAUUACAACAAGAAUUUCAAAUAAAUUAAUUGAAAAAAAUGAAUUAGUGAUUAUAUAUGUUGAUAAAACAAGAAUAAGAAUUGUAAUGAAAUUUCUAAAUAGAAUUGUAAGAUAAUACAUGGAUAUAUCUAAUUUUAUAUUUUAGAAAAUCCACAACUUCGUUCGUUAUUAUUAUUGUUUUUUAUUUUUAUUUUCUAUUUUUUAGAAUUUUGAAAACAACUUUUAAACAUAGAAAAUAAAGAAUAACGGUAGAAGAAUUAACAAUUGGGAUAAAAAAUGAUAGAAUUUGGCAAGCUAGUAAGUAAAAAUCUUGAAAAUAAAUUUUAGAAAACAAAAAAGAAAAAAUAUCAAUGUACCAAUCAAGCACUAAGAUAAUAUUUGAUUACUAUCCCUAGAUAAAAGAGACGGAGAUAGAAGAGACAAGAUAGAAAAGAAAACAGAGACAAAAUUAUGUUUGGUAGUGAUGUACAAGAUAAAAUAAUUGUUUCUAUAUUUUGUUUGGUUAUGGUGGACAAAACAUAAUAAAAUAUAAUAAAAUAUAUUUUAUCUUUAAUAUAUAUUUUUAUCAAACUUACAUAUUUAAAAAUAAAAAACAAUUAGAUAUUUUUUUUGCUUUAGUUAUAAAACCAAGACUACUUGACUGAUUGACCCGGGACAUGAAUUGUUCAGAGUUUAAGAAAAAAUAAAGAAAUGAUUGACUUGACUUGACCCGGUUAAAAACUCGUGUCAACAGAGAUAAAACACGAGUCAAAUUGUCUUAUUUGAAAUACAAAUUUAGUCAAAAUAAGAUUUCUUUGAUUUUUUUAAAAAAAGAAAACUGGGUCAGUUGGGUUAACCUUUCCGACCUAUGACAUGAACUAGGAGUGAGCAAAAAAACCGAAAAACCGAUUAAACCGAGAAAACCGGAAAAAAAAAUAACAGAAAAAAUUGAAUCGUGAAAAAAAACUGAUCGCUUUGGUUCGGUUUCGGUUUUAUAAGCCUGAAACCGAAAAAACCGAACCGAACCGAACCCAAACCGAGAAAACCAGGAAAAAAAUAACAGAAAAAAUCGAAUCGUGAAAAAAACCGAUCGGUUUAGUUCGGUUUCGGUUUUAUAAGCCUGAAACCAAAAAAAGCGAACCGAACCGAAUCCAAACCGAGCAAAACCGGAAAAAACCGAGCCAAAACCGAGCUAAACCGGUUUGAACCGGUUUUUUUCCAAAAAAACUAAAUCGAACCGAACCGAAACCGGUCAGUUUGAACCAGUUUCGGGUUUUUUUUAAAUCGAUUUGGUUACUUUUUUUUAUAAAAACCGAACCGAACCAAAAAUGAUCACCCCUAACAUGAACCUUGCCUCGGGUCGACUCUCUAGUUAGGUUUUAAAACUAUGAAAAUUAUCACUUUUACUCAUAUAUUGACUCGGGUCAACAUGGGUUGACCCUCCUGGUUCGUAACUUGGACCUUGCCUCAGUCGAUCCCUAAAUUGAGUUUUAAAACUAUAAUAAUAACAAUUUUUAUCCUUACAUUGACAUGUAUCAAUCUAGGUUAACUCUCCUGAUCAAUGAUCUAAGCUUUACCCUAGGUUAACCCAAAAUCAAGUUUUAAAACUAUGAUAAUAACUACUUUUAUUUUAUAUUGACCAAGGUUAACCUGGGUUGACCCUCCUAACACGUCUCUCGAGCCUUAUCCUAAAUCAAUCCCCAAGUCGAGUUUUAAAAUUAUGAUAAUAAUUAUUUUUAUUUUUAUAUUGACCUAGGUCAACUUUCAAUCUCACUCGUGACCCGAACCUUGCCCUGGAUCAUUUUGCGAAUCGAUUUUCAAAAUUAUGAUAAUAACCAUUUUUAUUGUUAUGCUGACCCGGGUCAACCCGACUCGUGAUACGGGUCUUAUCCUAGGUCGAGCCCUGAAUCGGAUUUUAAAACUAUGAUAAUAACUAUUUUUAUUCUUACGCUGACUCGAGUCAACUCGAGUCAUCCCGACCCAUGACUAGGGCCUCGACCAGUGACCCAGGAUUUGCCCCGGAUUGAUCCUCGAGUUAAAUUUUAAAAUUAUAAUAAUUAUUAUUUUUAUCCAUAAAUAUCUUAAUUGGAAAAUUUUAAAAUUAAGAUUUUUUUACAAUGAUAUUUUAAAAUUAAAAUAAUAAAUAUUAUCUUAAAACUUAUUUUCUUUGUACCUCCUAUUUUAAAAAUACAAAAUUAUCUCUAAAAUUAUCUUUUUAAAAAAUUAAUUUUUAUAUUCUUACAUUUAUUUUAUCAACUAAAUAUAUUUUUAUCGCUAAUAUUUUCUCCGUUACUUAAAUGUCAUCAAAUGCAAUUAGUUGCAGUAGUGGUAAGUAUAGAAAGAGAGCGAAGGGGAAACGUGUGAAAUGGAGUGGAGAGCCCGCAAGAAUAAAUGGGCUUUCCUCUAAAUGGUCCUCGGCCCAUUAUGUAUAAGACCUAGAAGAUCUCAGUAACUUGAAAUCAUGUGUUCUUCUAAUUCGCUGAAUCGUUUAUUUUUGCUCUCUUAUUUUUAUAAUUAAUUAAUUAGUGAUCUUUCUUUUCUUUUAUUUUUUAAUUUAUCUGGGGUACAGUAAUUUUCAUUUAUUAAGGGUUGAUUUGUUUGUACAAUACAUUGUAAAAAAAUGGUGCAUCAGACACUGAAUAAUUUUAUGUCAUGAGUGACCGCUAUAAAAUUAUAUUAACGAGGGAAAAUAUAUUUUAGAGUCAACAAAGUUAAAUGUAAACCGAAAGAACAUGUUUCUUUUAUUAGGUAAAUCACCAAGAAUAAUUGAAUUUUUAGGUUGAAAUGAUUUUUUAAAAUAGUAUUAGAGUCUUGUUGACCAAGUAAUUACGAGUUCAAAUCUUAUUACCCUUAUUUUAUUUGAUAAAAAUUAAACACAAAGUAGUAUGAAUAUAUAUAAGUUUCAAGCCCAAAACGCUUUCAUUUAAGAAAAUAUAUUAGAGAAUAAUAUAAAUAAUUUCUUAAGGUCUCACCUAAUAGCUUAAGCUUUUAGGUGAAAUGAUUCUUUGUGAUAUUAGAGCUAGCCUUAAUGACCAAAAUAAUUACAAGUUCAAAUCUUAUCACUCUCAUUCUAAUUAAUAAAAAUUAAGCACAAUAUAUUAUGGGCACGUACAAGUUUAAAGUUCAAAGGGUUUUCACUUGAGGAAGUGUUUUAGAGACUAAUAUAGAACUGUGCUUGGAACCUCAUGUAAUAACUUAAACUUUUAGAUUGAGAUAAUUUUGACUAGUAUUAGAGACUUAUUGACCAAAUAGUCACGAAUUUGAAUCUCAUUACCCUUAUUUUAUUUGAUAAAAAUCAAGCACAAGGUAGUGUUAGCAUAUGAAGGUUUCAAAUUCAAAGGGUUUUCGCUAGAGAGUGUAUUAGAUAAUCAUAUAAAUCAUAUAUCAAAACCUUAUUUUUACAUUUAUGUUGUAUCUAAAAUAAUCUUCUCAAUUUAAAAUUUUAAGUUAUUAGAUGAGAUUUUAAAAAUAAUUUUAUAUUAUUUUCAAAUAAUUGGAAGGUGGGAAAAAUAUAACUUGAAUUCUUCUUAUCUUUCCGGUACAUAAUUGAAGAUCUCACUUGUUGUCUUAGGCAAAAACCAAAAUAAAGUUGUGCACUCAUCUACCUUGAAUUCUUCUUAUCUUUCCGUUAACUUACCUCAUAAUUGUUGUGACAUUUUCCUACCUAAUGCAUCCUAAUUUUGAAAACCCAAAAUUUUUAAAUAUUAUUCCUUUCUGUGGACACUAUGAAAAGGGAUGUGUCUCCAUUUGAAACAUAGAAAAUCAUAAUUAACCUUAGCAAAAAAUAAAAUAAAAUAACUCAUAUAAGUCCGUGUUAAUCGAUUUUCAAUUGGAUCCCAAACUAUCAAUUUCACUCCCAAAGUGACAGAAGUUCCUCAAUCUAGUCACCCUUUCUGAAUCAAAAUAUUUUUUAAUGCCCAAAAGAAAUUGCUUGGGAAAUUAAAUUUUGAGUUUUUUUUUUCAAUAAAAAAGGGGAAGAGUUUAAACAGAUGACUCGAUAAAGGAAUACAUGAUACAUUGGUGACCCAAUUGAGAUAUUGAUAGUAUGGGGAUUACAUUUAAAACAAGUUCAUAGUUGAGGGACUAAUUGGUCGGUUUGGCCAAGUGAAAAGCAAGGCUCUCAGAUCACAAGACAUUCUAGGAUCCAAAACAAAUCAAAGCAAAAUGCUUUAUGCAAAGGCUAUAAUACUGCUGGAUUAUAGGACUCUUUGCUUCUUUUUUGACUGCUACAAAAUUGAAAAGUGGCAUCCAAGGCUGCACAUCAUUGCGCUGCUAUUCACACAGUCCUUCUUUUACACAGUUAUUUGCAUAGCACAAGUCAGCAGCAAUUGAUCUUGACAACCUUGUGAUUACAGAUAAAGAAAUAAAAACACAAAUACCAUUCUUUCUAUGACUACAAUCAUAUUAAUUACAACUCAGCAAAGAUUAAACGGCUCGCAAAAUCUGGAUGCCCACCAUAGAUUUUUCCUCAGCAAGCCCUUGAUCAACAGUCUCCCCCAGCAAAGAAAACUAUGCGUGAUUCUUUCAUUUGGUUACAGUACUACAGAUAUUGAUAUAUAUUACAAGUGGACAUACAUGGUGGCUAAAGGCUAAAGGCAUACUGUAUUAUGAUCUGCUUAAAAGAGGAAACCAACGCUCUUGGAAAUAAGAGUGGUAAGAGAUCAGGAAGAAGAGAAAAACAAGCAGAAACCCGACUCCCCAAGGAGUUCCUCCAGCUCUAUGUAGAGAGUCUUUCUCUGGAAAGGGAAGGUAAUAGGAAAGCCUCCUGCCAUAUUGAUGAUCAUCAUUCGAAAACCAAUGAACAAGUAGCAAAAGCAGCAAGGGAGACGCCAUUAGAAUCAGCUUCCCUUGAUCAAACAUGCCCUCUAACACCGGCUCAUAUUUGAUGUACCAAGUUAAACCAAUGAACAUUAGCAGAAUAAGCAGGAAAAAGCAAAGGUGUAUCGGUAAUGGAGGAUGAGAGUUAUAAGAUGACGAUGAAUAACUAUUACCCAUGUUUUCUUCAAUAUUAUUUCUAAUUGUUACCCUAAUAAAAAAAAAUUAGCCUUGAUGUGUUGUGAAGAGAGGGGAGACACUAAGAGGGUUUAUAUAGAGAAAUGAUGCAUGUCAGAAUUAAUUUAAUUUAGUUCUAUUUUUUGCACAAUGAAGAAAAGCGAGGACUUUACUUGCAAAA
rnacentral:lncRNA from 1 species